rnacentral:lncRNA from 1 species
GACAUUUUAUGUUAAUGAAUUUAAUCCGCUGCAAAGUUUGAAUUAAUAUGUUGAAGGAUAAAUUAGUUAAUUAACUUAUUUAUGAUUUUAUGAAGUGUAGCAUUCCGUUUACGUGUUGAUUACUCUGAUUAAUUAAAUGAAAUUUUUAAGUCGGGAAAACGGGGUGUUACACCCCACCUUGUAUUUGUGUAGUAUUGACUUCUGAUUUAUUGUAGAUUUUUGUUAAUGAAAUUUUAUUUAACAUAAAAAAAAAAGUAUUUUCUUGAAGUCCUUCAAGACUUCAUAGAACGACUCGCAAUAUUUUUGUGAAAAACUUAUUGUUUCAUUCCCCGAAUGAGAAACUUUGGAUGCAUGGGAAUAUUGAGGGAGGAAAGAUUGCUUCAAUUCAUCCUACAUUCCUACGACAUUAGGAGGCAUACAAUGUAGCUAAAACCAGUCUCCGAGUGAAAAAGGGAAAAGUCUAGCCUCAUGUAAUCAUUAGUCACUCCAUUUAUUUUUAUAGUAUCACAACAUUCGAGAAAAAAUUAUAGAUGAAAAUUUGAAUCAUCCAUUUGAAAAUUAGAGAAUAGACUUUUUUUUUGCAAAACUCUAGGUAAACUAUGUUUUAUUUUAAAAAAUUUAGCCAUAAUAAAAAAAUAUGAACAAAGUAAAAUAAAAAGUAGCAGAGAAAUUCUAGUCUAAACGGGUUAGAGGAUAAUUACCUCAAUAAUUAUAUUCAACAAGUGCCCAACAAUGGAAUCAAUCCCAAGCUCAUAAUAAAAUAUUGAUCCACAUGGACUCGUUGAUAUCAAUGAUACUCUUUCUAAAUGUUUAGCUAGUAUGGUUUAAGUUUUUGGGAGAUUUGAUGAUUGAUUGUUUUGAUAAUAUGCACUUUAUAAAAAGUUUUCUUCAAAUUAUUGAAGUUCAUCACAAAAAUGAACAAUAUAAAUCCCAACAUUUUCCAAUAUUAAGGGAGAACAAACACUAAGGGUAAGGUUACUCCAAGGUAACCUAUGUCCUCUUUCUAGCUAGAAAGGCGUGUCUUACCAAAAUAGCCUUAUAUUUUCAUCGUUGUUAUGUUGACAAGACUCAUUAAGUCUAAUUAUUCAUUUCACUCCCAAAUAUAUUUAUAUUUGUUCUCAUUGUUCGUAUGAUUCCAUUAUUUUGAGUGAUGUCUUAGAUCACAAGACAAUUUAUUUGUAUGUGUCAUCUCUAUGCAUAUCCAUCUUUUGGAUCAUUGCAUAAAACUUUGGUUGAAAACUAAAUUUAGAACAGAUUUGAGAAGGAAAAUAUUUUUCACAUUUUUUUAAAAAGAUUUUUGGUCUUAUAAAUCGAUUCAAAUUGGUUAAAUGGCAUGGUGAAUUGAUUCGCUGCAAACAUAGAAGUUGCAUUUUGAAAAACAAUGUUGUGAAUAGGUUCACACAUGUUGAUUUUUUAAAGAUAAAUGCUCAAAUGUUAAUUCAAAAAUAUUAUGAAUCGAUUCAUUUUUCAUCAAGAUGAUGAUCAAUGAAUUUAUUCGUUUUUGAACUUGUGAAUCUAUCAACUAAAGGAGUGAACUGAUUCAUACAACAUUUUUUCACUACUUUUCAACAUUAAUUUUUUUCUAAAAUCCUCCAAUGAUAAAUACAUAUUCCCACAUGUUUUCCAUUCAUUAAAAACACAUUAUAUCUACACUAUCUCAUGCUCAAACACUCUCUUUUAGCCAAAUAUCUAAUUUAGUUAUGGGACUAGUAUGAAAACAAUAAAUAAAUUAAGGGACCAAAUAUCUAAUUUAGCCAAAAAAAAACUUUCUUAAGAACACUUUGUGAUUUGAUUCUUUGUAGAGGAAUACAUUUAUGAUAAUGUAUGAGUUGUUUUCAUUCAAGGAUUUCAACAAGAGUGGAGUUGAAGAUCUAAAGGAAAAAGACAAGAAAAUUCUUUUCACCUCCAAAGUUGUUAAGGAAAUUUUCUUAAGAAAUUCAACGGAAUAUGUUGAGUACAAGGUAUCUUGGAGAAGUUAGUUGAAGGAGUUACAAGAUUGUAGAAGAAAAAAAUUAUUACACUAUAGUUAAUAAACCAUUGGUGAUCUUAAUGACCUCCUAACAAGUGAAUGCAAACGAGGAGGACCCGAGAGACCUCACUGGCUCUAUAAUGGAUUUCGUUCAGUUGUCAUUGAUCGUAACUUGCACGAUCCCAUUAGAAGGAUAUCAAUUCACAUGGUUCAAAAGUAUUGGGGUCCCACGUGCUGUCGAAGAAAGACUUGAUCGAGCUUUCCAUACAUCCUCAUGGCUCACUCUUUUCCCGAAUGCACGACUUAUUAAUAUUGUUGCAGCCACUUCAGAUCAUUCACCUAUUCUACUAAAACUGGAACCCGAAAAUUAUAUUCACUCGAAGCGUAGCUUUCGCUUUGAAAAUUCAUGGCUCCUUGAUCAAAGUUUUGCCGACAUGGUUGAUGAGAACUACCAUCCAUCUAAUAACAUCCUGGAAAAACUCAAGUAUGAUGUUGACUGAAAGUCAAUAUGGUCGUUGUGUUUACAACCUUAAAUCAAGCACUUUUGUUGGAGGAUGUUGCGCUACUAUCUACCUACACGGUUCAACUUGCAAAGUCAUGGAGUUCAAUGUCCAUCAACUUGUGUUGCCUGUAAUAAUGAUCUGGAAGAUGAGAUGCAUAUGUUUAUGCACUGGAAGUUUGCUAUUGAUUGCUGGAGAGAGGUAAAUCUUUGCGGAAAGCUAGAGCCACACAUGACAACAAGUGGUAGUUUUGCAUCUAUUAUGUUUACCAUUCUUGCAACUCUUGAUGUGGAAGACCGUUCACGAUUUGUGGCUAUCCUGUGGAGUAUUUGGCGCGCUCGUAAGUCAUGCUUAUGGGAACAAAAAUUUGUUAAUGUUAAAGCAUCUUGUGUUUUAGCUUUAGAACGGUUCGAGACUAUAUGUGGUGCAACCGUCUUAAUGUUGAUGCACAAACUGUUCAUCGAACUUAGGUUAAAUCGCCGACGAAAUGGAUCAAAUGCAACAUGGAUUGUGCUCUUUUUGAAGAUGAAGGUCAAUUUGGUGUUGGUAUUUUUUUUUCGUGAUAACCUUGGACGCCUUCUCCAAGCUCACUCCAUGACUUUUCUAUAUGUUGCAACAACAACCGAAUGUGAAGCUACCGCUUUACAACAAGCCAUUCAAAUUGCUCUUGACAAAGGCCUUAAUCAAGUUGCUUUAGAAACCGAUUGUCAGGUAGUUGCGAAUGAUGUCCUUAACACAACAAUUUAUAUGUGAAUGAACUUAGAAGUUUACUGUCUAAUUGUAGGAAUCUACUCUCAUCUAAUGCUAGUUAUACUCUACUCCCUCCGUCUCACAAUUAUUAUCUCUUUAGCAUUUUUUAUUUUUCUCAAAAUAAUUGUCACUUUACAAUACUAAUGCAUCAUUUAUUAUUUUCCCCCCGCUAUUAUACUCUUAUUUAUUAAAUUUCAUCAAACUUAACUACUCCACUAACUACCAUUAAUAAGAGUGUUUUAGUAAAUGCUAUUAAUUUUACCAUGGAAAUCAACACAAUUAAUAUUCCCUUAAUAAUUGUGCACAAACCUUAAACGAUUAAUAUUGUGAGACGGAGGGAGUAGCUUUUAUUAGAAGAUAAGCUAAUAGAAUCGCUCAUAGUUAGGGUUGGGAAUAGGCCAGGCGGCCUACAGGGGCCUACGGCCUGGCCUGUUUUGGCCUGGUCUGGACUGUUUAGUAGAUAGGCCUAGGCUUAGGCUUUUUAGAAAGUCUGUUUAGUUAAAUAGGUCAAGCUUAGGCUUCAAAAAAAGACCGUUAAGCUUAAUAGGCCGGCCUAUUAAUACUUAUUUAUUAAAAAAUAUUUUUUUAUAUUAAAAUAAUUGCAUAUAUUAAAAAUAUAAACAUCUUUUUCUCUAUCUAUUAGUCCCUUAAUAGGCUUUGUUGUUAUAGGCUUUUAUGUAGGCUUUAAUCUAGUUGAAAUUUACCUGUAGUGAAAUAGGCUUUUAAGUAGGCUUUAAGACAUGUUUAACCUAUUUAGUAGGCCAAAUGAACUAUUUGAUAACCUUAAUAUGAAGUAGGCCUGUAAGUAGGCUUUCAGGCCAGUCCAGACUUUUAAAUAGGCCAGGCCUAGAAAAAUGACCUAUGAUAGGCCAUAGGCCAGGCUCAGGCUUGUGAUUUAUUUCGUAGGCCAGACUUAGGCCUAUCAAAGUCUGGCCUGGCCUGGCCUAUUCCCACCCCUACUCAUAGUCUUGCUAAAACGUCUAUAUUACAUGUUAGUCCUAGUAUUUUCUUUCAUCCACCUUAUUGUAUUCACUCUCUUAUUAUGGAUGAAAUAAAAUGAGCUAUCCAUUCCUAAAAAAAUAAUUAAACAAUUUUGAAAGAGGGAAACAUGUCACUUUUUUAUGGAGUUGAAAAAUUUAAUUUGAUAAGUUUUUCCAGCAAUUAAUUAACUACACUUAGCCUUGUACGUGGCUUGAUGAAGGUAGUUUUCCCCCUAAUCUGAUUGAUACUAACAUUGCUUUAAUUGCAAAAAUUGAUAGACCGAAAAGCAUGAAACACCUUUGCCCAGUCUCACUUUGUAAUGUCAUCUACAAGAUUCUAUCAAAAGUCCUUGCAAAUCGACUGAAACAAAUCCUUCACAAGUGCAUCUCUGAUUCUCAAGCCGCUUUUGUACCAAGUAGAUUCAUUCUUGAGAAUGCACUCACUUAUUUUGAAGUUCUUCAUUAUAUGAAAUGCAAAACCAAAGGUAAAGAAGGAAAUAUUGCUCUAAAACAAGAUGUUAGCAAAGCAUUUGAUCGCAUUAAGUGGAGCUAUUUACAAGCGGUGAUGGAAAAAAAAUGGGAUUCUCAAAUGUUUGGAUUAACUGGAUCAUGCAAUGUGUAACCUAUUGAUCCUCAUUGUGGCAUUCGUCAAGGUGGCCCCUUCUCGCCCUAUCUUUAUAUUAUUUGUUCUGAAGGUCUCAACUCUUACAUUAAGCAUCAUGAAAAUACUGGUCUCAUCCAUGGUACUCGCAUCUGUCGCGGGAGUCCUUCUAUUACCCAACUUCUCUUCGCCGAUGAUAGUUUCCUCUUCUACAAGGCUUAUGUUUCUGAAGAUACAAUACUUAAGAACAUUUUGUAUACUUAUGAGGCUGCAAGUGGCCAAGCUAUUAAUUACCGAAAAUCCUCCAUCGCUUUCAGCCGGAAUACUGACUCUAUAGGUCACCACAACAUUACUCAUCUCUUGGGAGUUGUCGAAUCUAUGUGGCAUGGAAAGUAUCUUGGUCUCCCAUCUAUGGUAGAAAGAGACAAAAAAUCAAUAUUCUCGUUUAUCAAAGAACGCAUCUGGAAAAAUAUUCAGAAUUGGAGUGCUUGGUCUCUUUCACGUGCAGGUAAGGAAGUGCUUUUAAAAUCCAUUGCCCAAUAUAUCCCUACUUAUUCAUGGGCGAUUUUCUGCUCCCUACCUCUUGUGGGGACGAAAUAGGGCGUAUGAUGAAUUCUUUUUACUGGGGUUUGAAGAAAAAUGGUGGUCGUAGCAUUAAUUGGCUAAAUUGGGAUAAGAUGAUUGCUUGCAAAGACAACAGUGGCCUCAAUUUUAGAGACCUCAAAGAAUAUUGAUGAAUUCUUAUUGUAUUCACUCUCUCUUAUUAUGAAUGAAAUGAGCUAUCCAUUCCUCAAAGAAUAAUUAAACAAUUUUGACAGACGGAAACAUUACACUUUUUUAUGGAGUUGAGAAAUUUAAUUUGACAAGUUUUUCCACCAAUUGUGUCACAUAUAUCCAUUUGACCUUGUUUGCCUAAAUAUUAUAAAAAGGACAAUUAACAACACUUAGCCUUGUAACAAACUAGGCCAUUAGAAAAGUGGAAUGGAUCAUCCUAUAACAUAGUAUUUUUUUCCACUACUAUGAUACAAAGAAUGUACAACACCACUUAAUCCCAAACUAGAAUCCAAUUUCAAUCACUCCUAAUUUAUCUUGUGAUAAUGAAACCAAAGAAACAUGGUUAAUAGUUGCUUAGUUAGUGGAUUGAAGAUUCAUCCUACAUAGUCACGCAAAAGUUGCCCACCAAUAAAAUCUCUCCCAAAUUGCCUAUUCUGCAAUUGAAAACCGCUCGCGGCGUAACUAUCAGGUUGAUGUGCAAGACCAAAACGCUGCGCGGCACUCAUGUUGAAAGGCUCGGACAACCCAAUUCCAUGAUUUUGAUGAAGACCGAGCGUCAGAGAUACACCAUUGCUUGUUGCACCAUUAUUCAUCAUGCUCACUCCAACAUUACCAACCUGUUGAUUGCUUGCGAUACUAUGAUUCGGCACUGACAUGUUGUGAAGUUCGUUUCUAGUGCGUUUAUAUGCAACAUCGAUAAACUUGUCUGUGGACGUAGAUGGAUUCUCAGCAAUGUUGUUCUCGCUUAAAUUGUUUCGACUAUGUUCAUCUCUUUGUGAUUCCUUUGGAGAUUGCUGUGAUUCAAGCAUGUGUAUUUCCUCCACCAUUGGUUUCCAAAGCCUUACUCUUGCAUUUAUAAACCAAUUAGACACCUGUAACACAUAGACAUAGUCAAUUAUAAUACUGCAAAAAAUCCCUCAAGCAUGAAAUGAAACAGAAAAUGCAGCUUUAAGUAUGAAAAAUUUACCUGGUUACGAGAUAGACCAGUUUGUUUAGCCAACAUUAGCUUGUCAGUAUCACUAGGGUAACUGUAACGAGAAAACAACAUAUUAGUAAUCUAAUAACAUGUCUUAUAAAAUGGUUGGAAUGUCCAUAUACUAGCAAAAAGCUGAAACAGAGACGGAAAAAUAUAAAAUCUGCCUCUAAUUUUCGUCGCUAAGUGAUAUAAAUAGUGACCGAAUUUGGUGACGUUAUUUCAACUUUUUCUACAGAUGAUGAUAGAAAAAGGGAAAAGCCCAAUGUGUAUAUUGCAGUAUAAGGGCGACUUGAUAGAAGGGUUUAAAAAGAAUAUAUGGAGCUAGACAUCAAAAAAUUUGACGUCUCCUUAAUUGAGGCCUUAAUUGAGGCCGCAUCAUCCAUAUUUGACCAUAAUUCUCCACGUUAUUAAGGAAGUGAUAUGACUUUAAUUUUAAAAUCUUCAUUACAUUGCACUAACACCCUUCAUACUGAAAGCACAUUUUGGUGUCCGACAGAUGCUAAUAUUAGUGUCAAGCUGGUGUUUGUGCUUCAUAAGAUAUUAAUAAGACUGAAAUAACACACUUACGGAUGCAAAAAGUGUUCAAACAACCAUCCCCUAAGAACACUGACAGCACGCUCGGGCAACCCUCUUUGAGGUCGCCAAACAGGUUGUUGGACGUGUUCCAUAAACCCUGGACUUUGACUGUAAGGGGCUCCAUCGCCGUUGUGAAACCUGGGAGAUUCAUCCUUUCUAUUGCUUAUAUGAUAAUUAGACUUACCGAUAAACUGAAGCUGGUCGGUAAUCACAUUCUUCAAGAAUCUAAAAUGUUUGGACAUGGCAUUUAUAGCCAAACUUGCAUACGGAGCUGCGUUACCGAGGCCGGCAACAUAUUCAAAUGAAGUUAUUACUGCAUGAAUCUGCUGAUAGUAUUGUCUGUACCUCCUGCAAACCUGUUCAGGAUUGACAAAGAAGAAUUAUCUCACAAGCUAAUGUGACAUGUAUAUAUUCCACUUCCACUUCUACAUCUUAAUCUUUUUAUAAACAUCACAAGAACUCAAUAGUACAACCUAAAGAUCUAAUCUUCCAUAAUAUUUUAAUCUUCCAUAAUAUUUCUACCGGAUCCGGAUUCGCAAGAGUAGCUUGCAUUUGCACGUUGUAAACAAUCUCGACUGUUAUUUUGAGAUCUUACGAAUCGAACUACACAAUAAUAAAAUCAGUUUUAAACAAUCCCAACCGUUAUUUUGAGAUUGGACAUUAGAGAUUUAAACUGCGUGAUGCAAUUACAGCAGCAAAUCCAUUUGCAUAUUCUGAUUUUAUCACUACUUUGGAAUGACAUGCAACUAUAAUAGCAUUCAAAUUUUCAGAAACCAAUCUUUUUAGGCAAAAAAAGUUUUUUUUUUUAAGGAAAAAACUUUGUUAUCUACACACGUUAAUUACUUUAACCUUUGAACAAGAUGAUCAAAUCAAAACACACUUUUUUUGAGUAAAUAUCUUUUCUAAAGGAUUCCUAUCACUUAAUCACUUUAAUAAAAUACAUAUGGUAUAAAAUCUUUGCUAUGAGUAUCAAUUACUUUACACUCCCAUUCUUCAGCAUAUAUUCCUUCUCAUCACUGCUUUUGUAAAAAGAUCAGGUUCAUCAAACUUAUCCUAUAGAAUAUCGGGUAAAAAGUUCAUCCAUAUAGUCACAUAAAUGCAACAUAAACCAAAAUCUAUCCACAUAAAGAGUACAACCAUUUUUUUUUAAACAGCAAAAUUUGAUUCGAUAGUAGUGAGAAAAGUAUCACCAUUGUUAUUAAUUUUAUGUCCCAAGUAGAUAGCUCCAUUGAACUAAGGAACACCAAAUGAGUUUUAAUGUUUUUGAGACAACACAAUUUUUUAUUUUCAACGUUAAAAUUGAGUUAAAAAACUAAAACACAAUAUAUUUCCAAUAAUGUUUCCGACAAUGUUGAAUGUCAUUCAACAUUACAAUUUCAUUUUCACCAAACAAUAUACACUAAAUUAAAAACGUGGACAAAAAGUAAUCCUAUUAUGUAAUAAAUGUAAAAGAUUAAGAUUUUAUCAUUCUCUAAAAGUUCAAAUAGCAUAUAAAUACAUUUUUGAAAAGAAAAAAAAAACUUAACAAGAGGAUAAAUAUAUCAUUCUAUAAUUUUCAUUGAGUUUCUAUGAGUAUUAGUUUAGGUGACAUAAAUUUAAUUAGUGUUUUUCUUAUAUUGCGUUUUGAUUUGCUUGUUAAACUGAAAACCGCAAAUGAAUCAACUCAUACAAUUGAGUAAAAAGUGAUCCGAAUAAAUUCAAACAAAAUGCAAUUUUUUACGGUUUAUGUUUUGAACACCAUAACCAUAAGAAAAAAAAAAAAAAAAAGCAUGACCAAAAAUUCCAUGGAUUAUAAUAAAUUCUGACACAAAAUCCACAUCAACCGUAUAUAUGUAUGUAUGUAUGAAUAGGGUUUCCAAUUAUUAUAUUGUUUUUUCUCUCAUUAAUAACACACAUUUGAGUUAUAUAUUUUAGGUUAAAAUAUGGUUUUGGUCCCUGCAAAUAUGUCUCGUUUUGGUUUUAGUCCCUGCAAAAAAAUUUUGUUGUUUUUGGUCCCUGCAAAUAUGUCUCAUUUUGGUUUUGGUCCCUGGCUCCACUUUUGUGAUAAUUUGCACACGUGUCACAUGAUGACUUAACCAUUUAUUAGAGAAAUAGUCCCUGCAAAAUCUUUUGAUUUUGCAGGGACCAAAAACAACAAAUUAAGAUUUUGCAGGGACCAAAAACAACAAAUUUUUUUUGCAGGGACUAAAACCAAAACGAGGCAUAUUUGCAGGGACCAAAACCAUAUUUUAGCCUAUAUUUUAUAGCUUACCAUGUCUAACUUUUGUAUAUGUUUAUAUAACACAACUCAUAAGCAAAAAAAAUUAAAAAAUAUCGUAAAAGAGAAAAAAGAAAGAAAAAAAAAAACUUUAUACCUCAUCAAGCACUGUUAAUAAUCUAGACUUGUUCUUCCUUCCAUCACCACCAAGUGUAUCUUCAUCAUCAACACCAUUUAUCAUUCCACCAAUAACAUGAUUAGUUUCCAUCAAAGAUGCAUCAGCAUCAGCAAUAAUCUUCUCAGCACGAACACCAACAUCACAUAUCUCAUCCAAUAAUUGUUGUGCAGGUUUCAAAAACCUCGAUCCCUUCAAAACAGAAGCAUAACCCGUAAACGGUCCUAACGGAACCGUGUUCCUAGAAACAUCAACAACAGAACCAUAACGCUGAAAAUUAGCAGCACUCAUCUGAUUCUGGUUGUUUUUGUUUGACGAUAAAGACAAAGAUAAUGGUUCAGAUUUUAACAACAUAACUUCAUUGUUGUUACUAUUACUACCACCAUGGUUGUAUACAUGAUUCAUUUGAUAAAGAAAAGGGUUACUGUUUAUAGCAUCUAAAGGUGAAAUGAGUGAAGGAUCGUAAAGAGAAGGUAAAGGUGAAAAACUAGGGUUAAGGGUGGGUGAAGAUUCAAUGAAACUUGUUUGGUUUUGAGAUAAAUAACGAAGUUUUUCUCUUCUACUUUGUUGUGGGAUAUGAUAAUAAUUUUCAAAACCCUCCUCAGCCAUAGUAUUAAACAAAUCAAUAAUAAAGAAUAGGGUUUGUUUAUAAAGAAAAGAGAAAGAGAGUGAUGGAAGUGAUGUUGAUGGUGAUUGUGAUAGUGAAACGAAAAGAUAUGGUAAGAAUAAUGAUGAAGAUGAUCUUAUACGUGAAUUGGGUUUUGGGUUUUGUUGUUUUCAAUACGCAUUAAUUUGAGAAUGAAAAAUGCACACAAACUCACACACUAACUUUCACAAGUAAAACCAAGUUUAGAUAAAUUUUUCUCUAUCCUAUGAGAUAGUACUAAAAAUGAUUAAUGUGAAUGAGGUUUUUCUAUGUUUGAUUAAUAAUCUUGGAAUGAAGAAAUGAAUAGAGUGAAGAUACAUUGGGUAACGAGAUGAACCGGCUAUUUCCGGUAAUAAUUGAAUUGACUAUACUGCUUGUUUCUGUGCAUGUCUCAGAUAUUUCUGACAUUACUGGCUUUCUGAGUUUUGUCGUCUUCUCAAUCCGUUGUGUCUUGUGAGGUGUGUCAAUUCUUCUUAUUUUUUUAUUCAAUAGGAAUAGUUGUUUCUUUUAUUCCUAUUUUUUUUUCAUGUUUAUACUCGACUUUUAGCAUAGUUUAUAAACAAGUAAAUAGACCAUUAUUCUUUGAAAUCGUAAGUUUUGUAGAUUAUCUUUUUGACGUUAAUAAAACUUUAAUUAUUCUCUUGAAAUUGUUCUGCGUUAAUUAAUUUAUCUCCUCCGUUAAAUUUUUCUGUUAGUCAAUAUCAUGUUUUGCAAAUACCCUGUGAAAUUUUACACUUAUGUGCAAAAUACACUCCGAACUUAAAAAUUUAUAUCUUUGCAAAUACCCUGUCUUGAAAAAUUUAUAAUUGCAAAAAGGAAUAGUUGUUUCUUCUGCACCUAUGUUUUUCCAUUUCAUUCCUAUGUUUUAAUAUUGUUAUUAUCUACUUAAUAGACUCAACUUCAAUCGCUUAACAUUUAUUUUCCUAUUACUUCUUUUUUGUUGCAAAGGCAAAAUAUAAUUAUACUAUUAAAACCACAUCCAAACACAAGAUGUGCAAGAAUGAAACAAGAAGAUAAGCAUACAUAAAUUGUUUAGCUAUCCAUAAACAACAACAAUAAGACACAAGAAAACUCCCAAAACCCAACAAUAUGUGAAAUGAGUUUAUAAUUUUGCUGACAAACUAAUGCAUCUUCAAUUCCAAUCCAAAGUUAAAGCAAGAUUUACGAUACUAUUGCCUAAUCUAAAGGUGUAUUUAUCUAUUAUUCAUUUCUUUCAUAUCUCCUGUGAUUUCAAAAUAGUGGAUGAUGCCACAUGUUAAUGAAUUAUAUUGCUGAAUGAUAAUAGUGUAUAUUGUCAUUUGAUAUAAUUUUCAUAAUCAUAUAAGUAUUGCAGACUAAAACCAUUAGAAACAAUGUCAUCUAAUAAUGAUUAAAAAAAUGUCAUCUAAUCUAUGUAUAAAACAAUGCAUAUCAAUUUAAAUAUGUAGCUAAGCUGAAAAUAUUAUAAUUAUAUAUUUUUUACAAGGAUAUCAACCACUAUGUUAAUUGUUUGCCUUUAAUAUCAUUUGAGUCGAGUAUAAAAAAAAAAUAUAAAUUUUCAAGUUCGGGGGGCAUUUUGCACAUAAGUGCAAAACUUCAGGGAGGUAUUUGUAAAACGUGAUGUUGACUAACAGAAUAAUUUAACGGAGGAGGUAAAUUGAUUAACGUCGUGCAAUUUUAAAGGGGUAAUUGAAGUUUUAUUAACGUCAGAGAGUAAUUGACGAAACUUAUAAUUUUGGAGGGGUAAUUGCAUAUUUACUCGUUUAUAAACUUUCUAAUUUACUAGGUCUUUAUGUUUAAAUCUCUCUUUUAUCGUCUUUUUAAAUGAUUUUUUUUAAUUACCGAUUGUACUAUAAAAAAAAUUGUUUUAUGAUUUCUAAUAUAAAGAAUGUUAACCAGUAUCUUAGGAUAUUGGUUAAACAACUAAAAUAAAUAUAUUUUUUUAUAUAAAAAGUAAUGUAACUAUUACAUGAUAAAAAAUAAAAAGUUAUCUUAUCAAGACAAAACUUGUAUCUCUUGAAACAAAAUGAUGCCUUUUAAAAGUUCGAGUGUCAAAACGCUACGUUUAAUCCUCAAAAAUGAUCAUUUAUAGUGCUAGAAAGACAACUAUUUACAAUAACAAAUGCAUUUCUAGCACUAUUAAAUGACAUUUAUAGUGCUAGAAUUUAUGACGACUAAGAAUAACAUUUUGAGACCCUGGAGCUUUUAAACGAUAAUGUUUUGAUCCAAGUUAACAACUUAACGGCUACAUCAGCAUCAAUUAAUUAUUAACUGACAGCAAGGGUAACGGUGAAAUAGUUUAUCAACUAAAAUAAUCUAUUUUAAACUUUUGAAACUUAAAGACUAACUUGAGAAUUCUGUCAAACUAAAAGAACCUAAUUGAAACUUAUGAGACUAAUUUGUGAAUUUUAUCAAACUAAAAAGACCAAACGUGGUAUUUGGCCUCAGGUUUUUUUAAUGUAUUCAUCUAAGCUUUUUAGUAAGAGUUGUGUUAUUUGAAUAACUAUUUGAUUGAGAACUUUUAGGACAACCUUAAUUUUACAAGAAAAAGUGGUAUUGUCACAAACACAAAAACAAUAGAGAGAGAGAAAGUAAAAACAUGAUGUGAGUAUGAGAGAGAAAUUUGUCAUAAUUGUUGUCAAAAAGAGUGUACAAAUAUCAUUUCUGUUUAGUCAAACUAUGUCACUUCAACUCAAUAAUUCAUGUUUAGAGAUGUGUCAUUUGAACCACCAUUUGGUUGACAACUUCUUUGACAACCAUUGAUUUACAAAGAAAAAGUAGGUAUAAACACGAAAACUAAAACAAUAGAGAGACAAAGUAAAAACAUAAUGUGUGUAUGAAAAAGAAAGUUGUCACAAAAUAGUUGUACAAAUAUCAUUUUUCUAAUGUUUAUUACAACGUUAAUUUUGUAUUUUUAUACUAUAGUUUAUUUUAGUGGUGCAUCAAUGUUUUAUUUUCGGAAAAUGUUAACCAAUAUCCCUAGGGCAUAAGUUAAGAAAAUUAAAUACAAUAUGUAUAUCUUGAACUUGUAUUAUCAAAAUUUAAAAAUGUAAAAAAUGAUAUUUUAAUGCAAAUAUUUCUUUUUGUCUUAACAAAACCCUUUAUAUCCUGACUUCGUCACUAGUAAUCAUCUCAACAAGGUUACCUUGGUCUUACACAUUCUUAAGUAUCUUAAAAAAUCAAAGCUACUUGGUAUGUGUUUGGAAUACUGGUGGAAAGUUCAAAAAAGUACGUCUAGGUAAAAGUUAGAAUUUCCAGCUUCAUAAAAUCACGAUAAAAGUGACAUUGGGUAGCGUGCACCGUAAAAAAAAACGUGAUGUCAAACACUGCUUUAGUUAUAUAUAUCUCCAAGGUUAAUAUCUCCCGUAAUAUUAGUGGUAUUUGUUUAGGACCUAACUAGUGAGGGACAUGUUUAUAAUGGGGUAAGCAACCUCUUUCAUUAUGAUCAAGGGACUUCUUGUUUGAAUAUCUCGUGUAUAUCAUGACUGUUACCUCGUGUAUAUCCAUUAAAUGAUCCUAAAGGUCGAGCUUAUCUAAGGAGGUUGCCUCGUUAGUGUUUUCUCGCCAUGUCAAUAUGGAGAAGUCAUAAGUGUUAUUAGGAGAGGUCAUAUAUGUGUUAUUGGAACAUACCAAUAGGGCUAUAUACGUGAUGGAUCCAAAAAUUCUGACCUGUAAAGGUAAGAUUUUGUAUAAAAAUUAUCAAUGUCUAAGUGAUAAAUUAUAUCAUUGAGCAAAAUACUUAAACCGGAAACAUUGUGAAGUUCAUCGUCAAGAACCCAUGAACAUUUUGAAUUCAAAAUGUAUUCCUAGAACUUUGUGUAAAAGUUGUUAAAUACCAAGACACGCGGCAAAAGGCUAUUGAAAGGGUCUCACUAAUUAAAUGAGGUCCAAAACUCUAUAAAGGGAAAGAAUUUUCACCUUGAAGACACACAACUAACAAACAUACUUAAACAACUUUAAUCUCUUCAAGUCACACUAAUUACACAAAUUAAUUCUAAAGAUUUAUAAAAUCUUAGAGUGUGUAAUAGCUUUCUCUUAUCUUCUUAAUGAUAAGCUUCUUGUUCUUGUUCUUAUUCUUAUAAACUCUCAAAUACAUUGUGUAGAAAUUCUCAACUAGCUUUAAGUUUGUAAAGUAUGGUUGAGUGAAAGAAAAAUGUAAAGUCUUGCGUGAUUUAGCAAGAAAAGUUGUAAGCCAGCCAAGGCAUAGAGAUACUUGUUGCAAACGCUCCAAGGGAAUGGAAUUGUAUGGUGCAUGAGUUAAAAGGUUGUCUCAAGCAUAAUAAUGUAAAAUCUCACCUAAAAUAGGGACUGGAGUAGCCUAUGUUGGAUGAACCAGAAUAAUUUAUCUAUGUUUCGUCUUUCUAUCCAUAUACUCUUUAUUUACGGUAUACAUGUCACAUGGAACAUUAUUAAGCAAUUAUAAUAUGUUUUAUACUAACCAUUCGGAACCUUCUGAAGUUAACUAUAACAUUGAUAUUUCAAGUUUCAAGUUGAGAAGUAUUUUUUACGGUGUAGGAAUUAUUCUAAAAACGGUCACAAUUCAACCCUCCCCUUUCUUCUGACGAUUAUAUCUACUUCAAAUAUAAGUUUUUAUUAUUGGAUCAAUAAAUAUCAUUAUUAAAUCAAAUGAAAUAUGAUGACAUUUAAUGAUCAAAUAGUGAAAAAUAAAUUUGUGUAUGGUGCAAUAAAAAUUUAUUUGUGCACAUUAGACAAAGGGUCCGUUUAUUUGAGAUUUUCUUGAAAAAAAAUCUAUUGUUUUGUUCCAUUUUUAAAAAAGUCAAUUUUGUAAAAAAAUAAUCUUUUUUAGCCUCAAAAUGAAAAGUUAUUUCUAGUAGCUUUUUCAAAUUAAUUUUUAUGAUAGUAAACAAACAAAAAUAAUUUCAGAUUUUUUUAAAAACCUCUAAAAAAAUCUUUAGAUUCUUUUAACCGAAAAUUCUUUUAAAGUUGAAACAAACGAACCCCAAAGUCAUAUUAUUGUCGUCGUAAAUCUAGAUUGAUUUUUGGGAUGAUCAUGUUAACCACAAUUUAAAAACAUGAUUUAAAGAAUCCAUAAUAUUUUGUUUUUGUUUUUUAAACAUAAAUAAAUCAAACACAUAUCAAAGUUACGAAUACACAACUUUUUAUACAAAAGUUAUUAGUAUAUAGAUAUUUGAGCAACAAGUUUUUAGAUAAUUUAUGUGACAACCAAAGAUAUACAAAGAAGGAAAAUGUUAACCGAUGCUUCUGGACACUAAUUAAGGACUUUUAAAGGGUAACUUUUUAUAAAAGUUUGUCUUAUCAUUGAUUGAAAAUUAAAAACUUUGACAUUUUAAAAAAUAAUUAUUUAAUUUAGAAUGUUUAAAGAGUACCUUGGGGGCACUCGUAAAUAUAAUGUAGGUAUUGAUACAAAGAUUAAAGCAAUUGAGAGUAAAAACACAAUUAAAGUAUAAAAGUUGUACAAAAAAUUGUUAUAAAAUGAUCGCACAAAUAUCAUUUCUUUUGUGAGUACUAAUCUCAAUUAUAAAUCAAAUAUAUUAAUUCCUUAAAAAAAUCAAAUAUAUUAAGUAUUAAAAAUUGGAAAAUUACAAAGUAUUUUGUUUCCUUCUUAUAAUUUGAUAUAGGAGGGAAUAUUUCUCUAAUUUUUUGUAAUAGUAGAAGAAACUACAAAAAAAUAUUCACACAUAAGUGAAAGUGUCGGAGAUCUGAACCCAAUCAUAAUAAUCCGUCUAACAAUUUUGGUAUUUUUUUUUGUCAAUUAUUUCUCUAAUUUUAUUCAACACACUAAAGUACAAUUGAAUUAAUUAAAUGCACGUGGUCAUUAUGUUUCUCCAUUUCGUAGAAAAAAUUCUGACCAAACUGUGUUUCUACUAUAUUGAUGAAGACAUGAACCGUGCACUCAGUUGCAUCGGAAAGGAGAAUUUACAGGAGAAAAGUUUAGGGUAGAAAGAAAGAACCCACGAGUUGAAACAGUGACAAAUAGUAGUCUAACACACAUGACAUGUCAGUGUUCAUAAUAACAAUCAUAUGAGGUUAUUACCUAACACAAUAAUUAACUUCACUGUGCAUGUGAAAAAUCUUUUGCUUAACAGUGUUCAGCGUCGUUUUCCAACGAAACUGAGAUUCUCUCAUUUUGUUUGAUUCUUCAACUUGCCUAUAUAACUUAUGGUAGUAGUAAAUGCUUAUUCAUAUGAUAUUACAUGAUACUAAGGUGGUAUUUAGGACGCAUAAAUUAUAAAUUUGUGUACUAUGUACAAGUUUUUUUAUAUCAUUGGAUCAUAUAAGGAACACAUUAUUACAAUAGUCUUUCAACACUUGAUUAAAAUACUUUAUGACUCUCUCCCUUUGUCUUUUGCUUUUAUAUCAAGUUCUUCAAUAUUCAUUAUCACAAUCCCAGUUAUUCCAACUUCUUCAUUAUCCUAUUUUAUCUUUUUCUUAUUACCCAUUCAAAAAAUUAAGCCAAAAACUAAAAACAACGAAGAACAUGAUGAAGAAGUUUGGUAAUAAGCAAAUUCAUAUGUUCCUCAACUGAAGUUAUUUGAAAUCAAAACUCCAAUUCUUACUCAUGGACAUAGUUUAGUGCCAAAAAUCCCCCUUUUGAUUUCACCAAUUUUUCCGUUUCUUAAAAUUUUCUUAAUUAAUCGUUAGUUGUUUUUCUAUAUAUGUGUAGGAGUGAGGACAAGAAAAGAGAUUUACAGCCAAGAUCAGCCAUGCUUUUAAGAGAGGUUUAUGCAUGAUUCUAAUGAGUUCUAGAAGAAAAGAGACAAUAUUGUCUUAUUUAAUUAUGAAAUUAAGUAAAAAUGUGAAACAAAAUUAAAAGAAGGUAUAUCAGAGAAGGUUUAUAGAAAAAAAAAGGUAUUUAAUCAGAAAAAGUUGAAGCUUUACACCAAACAUGUUUGAUGCUCAGGUACUUCCCAUGACUAUAAUAUAAUAACUAACAUGUUGUCAAGUGCCUAGGGAAAAUAUAUCUAGAAAAUGAAAAAGAAACUAGUUUUGAAAAAUGAAAAAUAGAUCAGACAAUGAAUAAUGAGGAUGUUUCAAUCUGAAAAUUCGGAUGAUUUAUGGAAGAGUGUGGAAAAGGGCUAGGUGUUGUUGAUGGUGGGUGAGAGAGAAUGGCCGAAGAAGAUAGUGUAAAAAAUCUAAUGUCGAGAGUGUAUGAUAAGAGUGUGUUUCUCAUCUCAUCCAAUGGUGGAAAUAAACUUUCCUAUGGUGCACAUGUUUUACACCUGUGCAUCCUAAAUGUCACCAUAAAAUAAAGUUACCCUAUUUUUCGGAUGAACUAUAAAUCGUAUUCACGAGCUUAGCAACUAUGGAGAAUUUAGGAUGUGUUUGAUUUGAAAUAGAAGUUUGAAAAAUAAAAGUUGGUUUGAGAGAGUUUGCGAGUAGGAAAAAAUAUGAAAAAUAUAAUAGAUUUGAUAAAUUGUUUAGUUUUAAUUUUGAGAGGUUGAUGCAUUGUUUAAUAUAAAAGAAAGAAGAGAAUAAGGGAUGUUAUUAUUUUUUAAAAAAGAUAAAAAUAUUCUUUAUAAGAUGAUUUGUCUAAAGCUUUCUAACGUCAUUAGUCUAUUUAUUCUGUCAAAAGGUUCAAGUUUUUGUGUGGGAUUACUCAAAAAUAGGUUGCUUAUUAAUGAUAAUUUAGCAUCAAAUUGUUUUGUUGCUAUCAAUCGUGAAAGCUCUUGCGUCUUAUGUUUUCAAACGCAAGAAUGUGCACUUUCAACAACGGUGUAAUGAGAGAUACUUUCAACACAUAUCAAAGAGAUAGUUAGAGAUCAGACUUUAUAGGAAAAAGGGCAAGAGAAGAACAAAUGAGAGCAUAUUUUUUCAUUGCAAAAUUGUGCUCUCAUUUGUUCUUUUCUUUCUCUUUUUCUUACAAUGUCUGAUCUCUAGUUAUCUCUUUGAUAGGUGUUUAAAGUGUCUCUCAUUACACCGUUGUUUCACAUCUUUUGAGGUUUGAAGUCUAUACAAAAGACAUAAUAAAAAAAACUUUGUAGGGUUGAAUAUUUAAUCUAAUUUGCUACAAUGUGAAUGUUGUGGUCAUUUAGAAUGUUGUUAUAUUUAAUUGGAUUAAACAUCUUAAAUAUGUCAUUGGUUCUUGUAAUUUUUUGUUUGUUUGUUUUGGUUCAAGUCCCUACACUUUGUAAAAUAAUUGAUAUCAGUCCAUAUGUUAAAUCUGACAUUUAAAUAAAGUAAACCAUAACGGAGUGUCACGUAGACAAUUAUUCCACGUCAUAUGGCACACUAAAAGUGGUGAAAGUGCAUGAAUCAAUGACAUACAUACAUAUAUAUAUAUAUAUAUAUAUAUAUAUAUAUAUAUAUAUAUAUAUAUAUAUAUAUAAAUAUAUAUAUAUAUUUAGUUAGGUAGCCUAGUGGCUAGAAUUGGUGAAUAAGUGGGGUGUCUGGGGUUCGAACCCCGGCCCCUGCAUAUAAUAAUGCAUUGUCCUAUCAACUGAGCUAUGCUCAUGGGACAAUCAAUGACAUAUUUAAACCCCAAAUAAAAGAGGAAUACAAAAGACUUAGGGGCUUGGACCAAGGAAAACCAUACAAAAGUGUUCGAGUGAAUCCUAACGGAUAUUACAAACAGUCAUACAACACAAAAUGAUAUUGAACCAAUUCUAAGGGGUAAUGAAAAGUAAAUGAUUCUGAAUGGGAUAAAAAGAACCGUCAUAAUCGAUGGUUCAACAUAACCCAAGCGCAAUUCAACGUACGUUAACCCAGAACACCUGCAAUUACAAACAAAUAAGUGAGUGCGCAACGAAUCUUAAUAGAGCAACAACAACAUGGUGUGUAUUGUACUCGAAGCAAACAAAACAAUAGACACUAGAUUUCCUGGAUAGAAGGAUCAUUAGAAACUCAUAACAAAAACCAAGGUAAAAGGUAAAUGGUGGGAUCUAGAUUAAACCCAUUUUGAGAGAUUACUACGAAUGGAAACAUGUCAUCUUCGGGGAAUUGGUUCAUUUGUAGAGAAGGUACAAAAUUGGGAUACAAUCACUCUGAUUGGUAUGUUUCUCCUGUGACAUGUUUAAACUAGGGUGAGAUUGGUUUUGUUCAGGAGGAAAACUGAACCGAAUUAAAUUGACACAUUUGUUCAAAUUAAAAUAAUUGAAUUAAAUUGAACUGUUUGAAUUUUCAACCGAACCGAACUGUUAUAAUGAUUUGGUGUAUGGUUCAAAACUAAACCAUAACCAAUUUUUUUUUAAAAUUAAAUUUAUUAUUCCGAACCGAAUAAUUUUUUGGCUUAAUUGCACUUUUCCCCCUAUCUUUUGCUAAUUGUACAAUUUUGCACCCUCUCUAUUUUUUUGAGCGAUUUUGCACCCAUCUUUUUGCCCCAUUUCUGGUUAGAUGGACCUUCUUGUGUUUAAUUGCACUUUUGCCCCCUAUCUUUUUCUCAAUUUUGCAAUUUUACACCCCCUCUUCUUUUUUUUAGCGAUUUUGCACCCCAUCUUUCACCCAAUUCCCCCUCUUUUAAUGAUGAUUUUGAACAAAACACAUUUGGCAAAAGAUGGGGUGCAAAAUCGCUCCAAAAAAAAGAGGGGUCAAAAUCGCACAAUUAGCAAAAGAUAGGGGGAAAAAGUGCAAUUAAGCCUAAAAAAAUUUAAUCGAAUUGUUAUUAUUAGUAUUGUUUAAAAAAAAAACUAAACGAAAUCGAAUUUUAGAACUUUUUAAAAUCGAACCGAAUUGUUUGAAAACAAACCGAACUGUUACGAACCAAACUAUUUUAGUUUAGUUCCAGAACUGUUAGUUACGGUUUGAUUCAAUUCAACAGUUCGGUUCCGAAACGGUGAAUUAUAUUUGUAUCGGUUUUGAGUACCCCUUGUACUACUUGUGAAUUGAAUAAAUAUUUGUAUCGAGUUAGAGUUUAUGUUGAGGUUUGAUGCCACACGCUGAACCAUGUUCCUAGUUUUUUUUUCUUCUUUUUUUGUCAUUCUACCAAAAAAAGGCUUUGCUAUUGCUUUUGCUUUUUGAGGUGACAUUGAGUCUUAAGGUUAAUUUCGAUCUCUAAAGGCGUUGCUAUUGCUUUUUGAGGUGAUAUCGAGUCUUAAGGUCAAUUUUAACAAAAUCAAGCAUGUAGGCGUCAAUGUGCCCGACUCUUGGCUCACAAAGGCUUUUUCAGUCUUGAACAGUAAAACUUGACAUUUACCUAUUAUGUACAUGAGUCUCCCUAUUGGCGGUGAUUCUCGUAAGCUGAAUUUUUGGAAUCCCUUGCUUGAUCGAAUAAGGUCAAGAUUGUCUCUGUGGAAGAGUAUAAAUCUUUCUUUGGGUGGUUGAUUGGUUCUUCUGAAGUCUAUUAUGUCCUCUCUACCAGUCUACUUUAUUUCCUUCUUUAAGUCUCCCGCAAGUAUCAUUUCUUCUCUUGAAUCUAUAUUUAAUUUAUUUUUUGGGGGGAUGUGAGGACUUUAGAAAAAUAUCUUGGAUUAAUUUAGAUACUAUUUAUUUUAAAAAGGAAAAUGGAGGUUUGGAGGUUCGAAGGAUUAAGGAGUUUAAUUUAUCAUUUCUUGAUAAAUGGUGUUCGAGGUUGAAGGAUAAAAGAGAGAGUUUUUGGAUUAGAGUUUUAUCUGCAAAAUAUGGAGAGGAGGGUCACGCUAUUAGUGAAGUGGAGAGGUUUGCUUCUUUUGUAGUUCUUUUACAGAGCUUGUUUUUUGGUUCUUUUUUAUUUUGUGCACUGAUGGAUAUUUUACGUAAAAGUUGCUUUUUUCUCGUAGUAUUUUCUAGCACUCCUUGUGCGGAAACAACUAGGUGGUUCAGUUAAUAAAUUUCAUUUUAAUUUUAAAAAAUAUAAAAUAAUUUAGAUGAUAUUUUUUUUUUGAAGAAGUUAAAAUGGAAUAUUAUAACUAAAACUUAGUCUCUCCCGCACAAGUUUUAGAGAAAAACUAAGGAAGAAAAAUAGCUGUUACAUUAGGUUACCAUAAAUAAUGUAAGUGAUAGAGCCACAAAGCAGGCACGCUUAAAAUGAAAAGGAUACAUAAGCUAAAUGAACUAAAUAAGAACUCCCAAACAUAAAAGGGGAUUAAGCCACCACAUGUGAUAAUUGUAAGCAAAUUUAGAAUGAUUUGCCUACUGAUAGCGAUUUUCGCAAGUGUACGAAAUCGUUCAAGUAGUAAAUUUAAAACGGUAAGACCGAGUGUCAAACUCAAGAAUCGUGUUAUACUGUCGAAUAAUACUUGCUACUUAAUUGAACAAAAAGGUACUGAAUUUGUUUGAUUGCAAUAAUGAAAAUUAAGCAAAGUAAAUUUGGUUUGAACUUUAUAAAGUUGUCAGGGAUGAGUUUCACUAGAUGAGUAUCUUAAGCUAUCGACUUGAAUAUGACAAUUGAAUCCACUUAUCAAAUCAUUACCAAAUUCUCUAAUAUAUUCUUGCCCUAAUUCCUUAGUGACAAAAUCAUUAAUCCUAAAAUAACCCCUAAUUCCUUAGUGAAACUUAAGAUUAGAAUUAAGCAUGAUUGAACAAGAAUUCGUAAUUGGUUUCAAGGGUUUGCAUCUAUUCCUAGAUUACAAAGGCAAGAAUUUCUUAUCUCAAAGCAUUUAUAAAUUCAACUUCCGUUUCACAAAGACUCCUUCCAAUUUCCUUGUCGCUGUCUCCUCCUCUCCUGUGUUGUGCGGCUCCCAAAAGUCAGACCCCCUAUUUUGUUGUAGCUGCACUCCUUUUAUAUUUGAAAACCAAGUGAAACCUAAUUCCCCUCCUCUCCUUUUUUUACACAUCAGCACAACCUUCUAUUUCCUUUUUAUUUCCUUUCACCUGGCCUACCCCACACAAAAUCCAAUUUCCUUUCUUAUUACUUAACCCAUCAGCAUAAGUGUUUGUUAGGCUACAUUUUUAGUUUCCUUCAAAGACCACUAACAAUGAUAAAUAUAUAAAAAGUAGUGUCAAAGAAAUAUUAUUUGUAAUUCUCCAUCAUUAGGUAAUGCACAAAAUCUUCACAACUUUGAUGGUAGUAUUUCACUUCAUUGCGUUCAAUUUGUCAAUCUGAAAUUGGAGAGAGCAAAAACUCCAAGAAUUUGUUUAGUUAGAGAUAAUUAGCAACAAGAAUAACCAAUACAACUUGAUAUUUUCAAAAUCCUCUUUUUUGCUUAGUUUGACUAUAAAAAUACCCUUUAUUGACUCAACUUUACUGAAAACUACUUAAAAAACGACCGUAAAAAUACUAACUAUUGAGACAUUAUCACAACCCCAAACUUAAUAUGUUGCAUGUCCUCAAGUAACAAAAUAGAUAAAAGUCAGAAUUUCACAAAUUUGAAAAUGACAUACCUUUCCGAGAGGGUGCUCAGAUCCUCAUUCGUCCCACUUCCGGCAUCGACUAACUUACCAAUUUCGCUCAAGCGGGGCAGACUUAGAGAAGAUGGUUCAUUCUUUCAACCACACUCUAUUUCCUAUUCUCUUCCUCACAAAUUCUCAAAGCCAGUGGGGCUGGUCAUGACAUUUGCCCGCUCAAAUCGACAUGUUAAUGCAUUUUGCUAUGAACUUGAAGAAAUUCUAAACAAACAUUUAAAGUCAUAUAAUCACACACACAUUAGAGGUCUUUCAAGGUUAUAACGUGGCUAAGGUUUAGGUGGGAUAAAUUUGGGAAAGUAGGUUAAUCAAAAGAAUUGGAGUUAGAUACACUACGGAUCCCUAAACAUUAAAGUACUACUUACGUUCAAUCUCUUUGUCAAAACAACAUGAGUACUAGUACAACUGCUUAUUUAUUUUAUAUAUUUUUUUUCAUUUUUGAAGAAACCAAUUUUUUUUUUCAUUGGCUCUUUUUUUUUUUUUUUUGUAGACCAUUUUUUUUAUUAAGUCUACCAAUUUUCUUUCAAUUUUUUUUGUGUUUUUUUUUUUUUAACAAGGUUCUACUAGUACCCCAUCCCAAACUUAAAAUGUUGCUAGUUCCAACAGCAACCCCAAACUUAGUUUCAAACCAAUACCAAGUACCUAUGGCUCUAUCUAACUCCAAAGAAAUUAAACAGAUAUAAUAUAGUGGGUUCAAAACUUGUGACAUGGUUCGUCACCAAAACAACAAAUAAAAUUUUGCAUGAAGGCUCAAAAGGGUUAGCAAAGGAUAAUCAUAAUAAUAAGGGUGGCUUGAAAAGGCUCAGAGUACCAAACAAGUGCCUGGUGUGUAUGAAAAUAUGACCAAUAGUCUGUAGAGAACCAAUGCAAGCUCUAGAAAAAUAACAUUCAAACAUGGAUACUCACAUAUGAAAGAAUUAUAGUAAAAAGUGAAAAAUGUUUGGCUCAAGAAUAACCAAUACAACUUGAUAUUUUCAAAAUCCUCUUUUUUGCUUAGUUUGACUAUAAAAACACCCUUUAUUGACUCAACUUUACUGAAAACUACUUAAAAAACGACCGUAAAAAUACUAACUAUUGAGACAUUAUCACCUACGAUCACCAGAAUGAUUAGAAAUUAAUUUUAUCGAUAAGAUGAUUGAUAGAAUUUCCAUUUUGUUGAAAAACUCUAGUAUUCCUAUCACGCCAAAUAAUCUAAACACAAAAGAGCCAGAUUAAAUAAAAAGCAGAAAAAAUAUUUUUUUAGAAGCCGCCCAACGAUCAGAAUUGGAUAAUAUGAUCCUUUACAUGAGCUUGUGUGAUUGAAACCAAUCCAAGCAAAAUAUAAAUUUUAUACCAAAUUUGGCCAAAAUAGUCAUAAGUCAAAAACAGAUGAUAAAUAUCCUCUUGAAAGUCGCAUCCACACGAGAAAAACAAGAUAUUUGGUAAAAGGAUUGUCCUCUUGAUUAAGUUGUCAGUUGUUGGAAGAUGUUUACGUAAUAAAUGCCAAGCAAAAAUGUUGACUUUUAAAGGAACCUUCUUGUGCCAAAUAAUAGUAUUGUGAUCAUUGUUUAAAGAUUGAUCCCUUGAUGUCAAAAAAUUUUAAGCACUAGUAACAUUGUACUUUGAAGAGGCAUGAAGCUGCCAAAUCCACCUGUCAUUCACAUCGGUCUGCAAAACAACUGGUAGUAAAAGAGUACAACAUUCCCCCUCAAAUUCUUCCUCCAAAGCGAACAACCUCUUUCGCCAUUUCCAAGCCUCGCCUCCCUCCCCCAAUUUCCACCACAAUUGCCAAUUUCUUGUCAGAAAGAUAAAUAAAGGCGACCGAAACUAUCCUUCAAAGUUCCUCCCUCCAACCAAGGAUCCCACUAAAAUAAAGUUUCUACUCCAUCCCCCACCUCCCGUUGUAAGUGAUCAGUGAACCAGCUACCAACCCCAUCUCCAUCACCCCUUUGAAUGCUAAGCAAAUUACUCCAUCACACUGAAGCUAGUCUCCCCUCAUCUCCUAAAGAUCCACCCUCCGCACCAUACCUUGCUGCUAAAACUCUAUACCACAAACAGUUUUUUUUUCUCCCUCAAUCUCCAACACCAUUUGACAAGUAAAGAUAUAUUAAACUCCCUAAUUCUUCUGACUUCUGGACAUCUAUCCUCCUGUUUGUGACAAAUAAUGUUCCAAUUUAUCCAUAUUAAACUCCCUCAAUCUCCAACACCAAGUUACGAGGACUAACACAAAACAUAACAGACAAAAACUCAGAAAGUAAGUGUAAAAAAAUUGAGGUUGGAAUAAAUACAAAUUCUUCAUAUUUAUUAGAAGAAAUAUAAUAGUUAGAUAGAGUUUGGUGUAUGUACUUAGUUUGUUAAUUAAGAGGUUAGUUUGUUAAUUCUCUACUAGCUCUAUAUAACCAAUAUCCAAUAUGAAUUUUAAGGAUUUUUUCUUUGUAUCAAGCUCUCAAGCUUACUUCUUAUAUGAGAUGAAUCUUUGCCUAUUUGAUCAUGUGGUUUCUAACAAUAUCAAACAUUAAUUGUAUAUAUGUUUGAAAUAAACAAACUAACCAUCAUGAGAUGAAUCUUUGGUCCCAUUAAUUGUUUACCUUUGAGUUUUCUUGAUGGAUUAAUUAUUAGUAUUUUUGAAAUAAAAUAAAAUAAGCUAAGCCAUCAUGAACAAUAGUAGAUCUUAAGGAUGGGAGCAUAAUAGAGUUGUACUUGUAUAUAUGUAACAUAACUACAAAUUUCCAAAAAUCAAGAGAUAUUUGAUAAAAUAUUAUGGUAGAACAUUUCCCUAUUUUUGUUUAAAUAACCUUUAGUAACAAACUCAAACCGAAUUGUCUACACUGCCAUAGUCAUUCUUGCCUUUACAACUAUCAUCAAUAACUGCAACCUUUUGCACAUUUUUGUAUGAAUAUCUUCUAGCAAAGAACACAAACAAGAACAAAUUCACCGUAGUUAUAGCUGCCAAUAGCCAAUAAAAUUUGUCCAAUCUACUACUAUUCAAAUCCUUACCAAACCAACUCUUCCCAUUUUUCUUUGUUAUAUGAUCAACAAUUGUUAUCAACACACUACUAAUAAAAUUUGCAGCUCCAAUCACACUUAAAUAAAAAGCUAUACCUAAGCUUCUCAUUGAAUCAGGAACUUGGUCAUAGAAAUAUUCUUGUAAUCCCACAAGGGUAAAUCCAUCACCAAAACCAAUAAUUAGAAAUUGUGGAGCCAACCAAAAAAUACUUAAUGGAUCCUUUUCAACAGCUUCAAGUCUCUUUUUCUCUAUUAAAGCUGCCACUAUCAUUGUAAUAAUAGUGAAAAACAUUCCAAAACCAAUCCUUUGAAGGAUGUUAAUUCCUCUUUCAUUUUGAUUUAUUUUUCUUAACAUAGGUACUAGAAUCUUGUCAUAAAUGGCCACAGAAAUUAUCAUUCCUAAGGCAGCAACUGUGAAAAUUGAAGCUGGUGGAAGUUCAAACCUUUCACCUAUCUUUCUAUUCAUUAUAGCACUUUGUUUGAUGAAGAAUGUUGAUGUUUGUGCUACACUUAUUCCAAAUGGUAUAGUGAAUACCCAAAUUGGUAUCAUAUUGAUUAUAAGCUUCAUUUCUUCAACUGUAGUUACAGUUGUUAGCUUCCAUGGACUUUGCUUCUCUAUUGAAUUUCCAUCGUUUUCAAUUAUAGCUGCCUUGUCAAGAAAUCUGAAAACAAUUCAUACAAGUUAGUGUUGCUAGCACUUGAAUGCGCGAAUAGACAAAUUAGUCCUCAAAAUUGUAAGCAUUGAUCAAAAUAGUCAUUGAUUUUUGUGAAUUAGCAAAUACAUUCUUGGAAUUGUUAAUUUAUUAACUUUUACCGCUAGAGUAUGGAGCAAAGGGAUAAUUAAAUAUGUGACCCCUUCAUAUUGAUCACAUCAAUACCAUCACAAGGACUAUUUUGCCUUGAAAAUUUAGGUUUUCUAGAAACGAAAUUUGUCGGUAAUCUCUUUAUAUUAAAAUUGCUGACAAAUUUAUCUCUAAGAUGACUUAAACUUCAUAAGCAAAUUAGUUCAUAGUGAACUUACUUUCAUGUGUGCAAUCAACACGCAAUGUGACAUGUUCAGUUAGCAUGUCACAUCAUAGACUCUAACGGCAUAUGUUAAAAAAUUAUCAUUUCAAAUGAUUUUUUUGAAACUUUGUGAAUACAUUUGCUAUUUUUUCAAAAAUAAGAUACUAUUUUGACCAAUACUUAAAGUACAAUAAUUUGAUAUUCACUCAUACUUCAAAUUAUGAUUAAUAAUGCACAUACCUUAGCUUCUUAGUGUGGCAAAGAAACUUUCUUUUGUUUCCAUGAGACUUAGAAACCUCAUACAAUUGAUCAGGAUUAGAAGGAUAAGGAAGCUUCCUUUUAGAAAAGGCAGCAACAAGAACUUGCAACAUUGGAGUCAAAGGACUCCCACUUGGUACCCUAUAACGAUAAAAAGGCCUUCCAAUAAUGAAUAUGAGAAGUGAAAGAGCCAUAACUCCAGUGAAAAUAAUAUCAGCAGCACCCCAAUUUAUGUUAUCUUGUAUAUAAACAAUAAGGGUCACUCCUAGAAUAAGUCCACUACAUAGAGCACAAUUCCACCAAUUGAAAAAGGACAUUUUUUGUUUCCUUUCUUCAACAUGAUCCUCAUCAAAUUGGUCAGCUCCAAAGCUUUCCAAGGAAGGUUUGUGGCCUCCAGUUGCUAUUGAUAUUAAGUAGAUAGCUAGGAAGAAAACCACUUCAUGAAUUUUCCUUGGUUCAUUGCAUGUGGUAGUGUGAUCACAUGGUUUUAAACUUGGUAGGAACCAUGAGAGAGUAAGGAGUAUCAAACCCUGUGAAUUUUUUACCACAUGAAGUUGUUAUAGUUAAGAAUCUAUAGAGUAAUUAAGAAGUCAAGAUAAUAACUUUAAUGAAGUCACUUUAAAAGUUCACAUUCGAAGAAAACACAAUUUUAUGUAUCGUCUGGAUGUGUAUUUUCAAACAAAAAUAAUGGUUUUUUUUUCGUAGAGAAGCGUACAAUCCAAAAGUCGUGUAGGUUUUUAGAAACGCGGAAAAUGGGUAAAUAUGCUCCCUAAAUUUGAGUGUAUUAAUCCAUCAAAUUUAGAAUUUUUUGAACAUUACAACUCAUUAGGCUAAGUUCAAGAGAGAUAUUUUCACCCCUUUUAUUGUUAUUUUUCAAACUACAUCCAUAUGGAUUUUUACCAAUCUGGACAACUUUUCUCGCGUUCGAAUGGGACAACUCAGAAAAUAAGGUGUUUUUCCUGGUCCGAAUGAAUAAAUUUGGAUUGAAACGCUUUUAAGAAUCAUGAAAGAAAGUUCAAUCACAUAAUAGUUUGUACCAAUUUGAAGAAAGAAAAGUUGGGUCAUUGAGACUCAAAAAGAACGGACACAACUAUUUUAAAGAAAGGGAGAUUUGGAAAAUUGCUCUUUAGGCUGCUAUCAUUUGGGGAACUUUUUGAAUCGGUUACACCAAUUUAAAAAGUGAUUUCACUAAUUUAAAGAGUGCUGAACGAAAUAAUUAACAACCAUUUUAAAAAGGUGGUUAAUUCUCGUUUAACGAAAGGUAAUAAAUGAAAAAUAUAGCAAGUCCAAGAUAAAACACUAGUCUAAACAAUAUUAAACAAGUAAAAAUAUAACAAGGGAUGCUCUAAAAAAUUAAACAAUUAUAACAAUAGUAAGAAGUCCUAAUUAAGUUGUAGUGAGGUAGCAAUUGAGCUUACCAUAAGAUAAACAAUGCUUGAUGCAACCACAGCGGAGUAACGACCCAAAUAUGCAUCAGCUAUGAAUCCACCAAAGAGUGGCAUCAGAGUUGUGACACCUGCCCAAUAAUUAACAUUCCUUGCUGCUGUCUUAAGAUCUUGAUGGAUAACCUUUGUGAGGUAAAGGACUAAGCUAGUUGCUAUUCCAAAGUAGCUCAACCUCUCACUAAACUCAAUUGCUGAAAACAAGUAUUCAAAAACUAAUCAUUCUCUUGUGGUUAAAUGACAUGUAAAACAUAAGAGUACAUUGCACUUUUAGUGCUUAGUUACUUUUUCAGUUUCAUUUUGUUACAUUUUUUUUAUCAAAUACCUUCCCUUUAAAUUAGAUGUUUUUAAAAAGUUAGUUAAGUUUUUUUUUUAACAGGUUGAUUCUUUAAGUCAUAACAUAUUCUCAUCGUUAAUGUAUUUUUAUCAAACUCGGCUAAAAAGUGUUUAUGUUGACAUUUAAUAUUAAAGUUGGUGGAUCCAAAUUCACUACUCACAAAAUUAGAAUAUCCAAGUGUAUUAUUCAGUCUUGGUUUGAAACGAAAUCGAUCGAUUACUUGAUUUAUAAUGAUUUUCAUGAAUGACUUAUUUCCAAAAUUAUGUUUAAAUUCGGAAACAAAAGGGAGAAUAUAUGUUUAAGUAAUCAUGUUUCUUGUCAUAAACACUUUUUACACUUGUCUCGUCAAUGUUAAAUGGUAACAUAUACACUUUUUAAAGAAAUUUGACGAAAAGACUUUUUAAACACUUUUCAUUGUUUUGGCACGCCUUGUGCUGAAGCAAUUAUGCAGUCAGUGUUGAUAUAAUUUAUUUUUGCUUGUUCAAAAAUAAAAUUCACUUUUCAUUGUUAAGAUGAUAAUUUGGAGAAUUUUUAAAACGAUGAAAAUUUAUAAAGUAUUUUGUUCAAGUUAAAUUUAGAAAAUUUCAAAUGACAUCUAAAAGCUAAGAAUUUGAAAUUUCUUCAUUCUUAUCGUUUUACAAAUUUUGCAUUUUGGUCCUCAAAUUUUCAAAUUGAACCCAAUAAAUUUUCAAAAAAUUGCAAAUUAUCCCCUAUUUUUUUAAAAUUCCAAUUUUACCCUGCAAUUUUUUCAAAUUUAUAAUUUGAGCCCUCAAAAUUUGCAAAUUGACCCCUAAUUUCAAUUUUCAAAUUUGACCCAAAAAAUUAAAAUUUAUGAAAGUUUCCCAAAAAUAACUUUAUAUUGUUCAAGUCUCCUAUAAUGAGAUUCGCAGAAUACGAAAAUUCAUCACACUAAACUAGCAUUGGAAUAUUGGAAUGAUAAUUAAUGUUGCGAAUUCAAGAAAUGAUGUUGAAUUAGAGCUGCAAUUUGUAUAGUUGACAUUUGAUUUGAUCUUACUACCACUGUUGCACUAAAAAUACUUUUAGAUAAAGGAAAUUGGAAGUGAUUUUAUGUUCAUAUUUGAGUGCAUGUUAGACAAAGGUCGAAUCCAUUUAAAAGCGAACAAUCAACUCAAGCCACUCAUCCCUAAUCUUUGGCUUCUAAGCACUAAUUGGACAUAAAGCAAUAGCAUUUUUGAACACAAUGGUACCCAUUGAGUUUGGUUGGAUACAUAUCCCUCACAUCCAAUUUAUAUUAAAAUAAAUGUAAUUGUUAAACAAAUUUUGUCUAUGAGGUAGUGUUGAGAGCUCAAUGAUUUGUCAUCAUUGUGUAGGAAGAAUUUUAAAAACUAGUGGAAGGUAUAGGUCCUUAUUAACCUGCUAAUAUAUAUUCAAGAUAAAUGAGUAGUUUUGAGAUCAACCAUUUAGAGCGUAAUAUAUGUUAUUUUACAUUAUCUAGUAUAUACCAAAAAGAUGAUUAGGAAUACAUCACAUUAAACUAAAGUAAAAGAUAUUUUAUUAAAAAUUGAAACUGCAACACGAAAGGAUACCUUUUGAUUCUUGUAAAUCUAUUAGACAAUUAACAGUAAUUCGUAAUAAGGAAAUCAUACAUUAUCAUCAAAAUUUUAAUGUUUGAGAGUGAUUGAGAAAAAUAUAGAUGAUUUAUGCAUGAAAUUAUGAUGUAUGCAUUUUUAAUGUCCAAACAAUAUAAUUCUUAAUCCAUGUGGUUGGUUGGAGAUCUUGAAGUAUGUUCUUCCUUAAUAUCUCUUAGUUUUUUUUAAAAGAAUCUUAGUUAUUCCAUCAUUGAUGAAAAAAAAACUUAUCCCAUCGCAUCAUUAACUGGUGUAGGAUUAAAGAUCAGGUUUGGAACUCGAGUCAAAUCAACCUUCCCUCUCAUCUCAAGGUGAGGUAAGGUAGCUUGCUCGUUCGUUGUUCAAUAUCUCGGCUGCUCAAGAAGUUGGACUAGUAGCUCCUCUGACCCAUAGUGGAUUCUAGGGAAAGGGCGGAGCCUCACCUUGCGGUAAGUAGGAAGGUCUUCAUUGUUGGGACGGGUUAAAACUGGACUAAAGGAGGUUCGAUUCUUUCUGAGUCAAUUUGGAUGGGUUAGUUAGCUUUUUAAAAAAAAAAAUAUAAUUAUUUAUAAUAAUUGAUAUAUAUAUAUAUAUAUAUAUAUAUAUAUAUAUAUAUAUAUAUAUAUAUAUAUAUAUAUAUUAACAAGCCAAAAUGGAAUAUGGUAUUAAAACGAAGGUGAUUCACCGUGCACAAGACGUGCUACUAAUGAAACAACCAACAAUAGUUACAAAGUAUCUGGUGCUUAAGCAAGGGAGCACCGCUUUAUAGAAGUAAUAACAAUGAUGAAACUACACAAAAACCCCGAUACAAGAAAGAGGAUGUCGCCAUCGGUCAUAAUACUAGAAAGUAAAAGUAUAUUUUUUGUUAAAAAAAUAAAUGUAUGUAGCCAUAAGAUGAUAAAACUGAUUUGUGUGGUUGGUAUGAUUUAUAUAUUAUUAGUACUCCUCGGAUAUAAUUUGUUUGUUGGCAGUGAGAAGAGAAUCCAUCACUUUCAAUGGAUUGGCUGCACUUGGAAUUAUUAUCUAUCUUUAAAAUCAGAUCGAAUAUUAAAUCAGAGAAUUGUACUAUUAGUUAAAUUUUACUUAUUUGAAUUCUUUUUUUUUUAGAGGAUUAAUUGAUUUGAAUUAUUAGAUGAUAGAUUUCCACCUAAAUGAAUAUGAACAGAAAGGUGUUAAAAAAGUAGUUAAAUAUGCUAAAUAUAAUCUUGAUAUGGAGUACUUCACAAAAAUAGUUUAAGGUGGAGAUUGGCCAUUUUUAGUAAAAACAAAAAGAAAGAAAAAUUUAUAACAAUAAAACUAGAGAAUAAAUCUAGUAUAUUUAAAUCUCUUUCUUCAAACCAAGACAAUAAAAAAUGAAAAUGAGCAUCUCAAGAUAUAAAAAGAUGAUUAUCGUGCGCAACUUUAGCUUCUCUUUGACCUUUAGUGCGAGCAUGGAUUGGUUUUGAUGGGACGGAUACUCAGGUUAUUUCAGAUCAUUUCACCCAAUUUAUUUAUUACACAUAUGGUCUAAAAGCGCGGUGAUCUUUCCUACAGCUCGUUUGGCUUCUAUGUGUUUGGGUCUUGUGGAAUGAACACAAUAGUAGGUUAUUUAAAAAUCAAGAAAGCUCUCUUUAUCGGUUACUAGAAAAAGUAAAGUUAUAUUCUUUGUGGUGGUUGAAAGCUAAAAAAACUAAUUUUAUUUUGGGCACUCAGAUGUGGUGGUCGAAUCAUCUUAUGUGUUUAAAUACAUCUUGGGCAGAAGAGAUUGCUUUAGUAUUGUUAAUAUAAUUAUUUUUGUUUGUUAAAAAAAAAAAAAGAUUAUUUCAAACUUCUCCAACCACAAACUAGUUAAUGUGCGCAUGUGGCCCUGUCCACAAUUGCUUUCCAAAUGGGGUAGAUGCAUUUGGAUUAUUGCUUUCCAAAAAAUAUAAUGCAUUCUAUUUUUAUCAUGAAUAAGAAGUGAAAUUAUUUGCUCUCAUUUGGAUUGCUGUGAAUUUAAUUAGAUUCGAGUGAUAAGAUCAUGUUGAAGCAAUCUCUUACUAAAAAUAUAAUUAGUGGCCGAUAUUAGAAUAUAGAUGCAAAUUAUUAACUUCCUCUCUAAUUUUCUUUCUACUAGUUAAAUUUAAUGAUGAUAUUAGUAAUAAAUUUCAUAUUUUCACUCUCUAAAUUUUCUUCUCUAAAAGAGUUAAUAAUUGUGAUUUUUUAUCUUGAAUAAUUUUGAUAUAUGUUUCCAUUUUUCUGUGUCAAAAAACAAUAAUAAGUGAUUUGUCAAAAAAUAAAAUUAAGUGGUAAAAUUUUGAUUAAAAAUGCAAUUUUUUUUUCCAUAUUGUUAAAUACAUGUCAAUAUUCUCACAGCAAAUUAAAAGAGAUUAAAAAAAUAUGGUUUUAUAAUCUUAAUUUAAAUUAAAAACUGUGAUAUAAUUUCCACUAACGUAAAUUAAUUAAUUAUGUGAUAUAAAGUCAUGCUUGUCUAAACUCAUUUAACCCGUGUCUUGGCUUCAUACUUACUUCCUCCGAGUUUAAAUAUAAACAAAUGUAAAAACGUAUUUAGUCCAAAAUUAGUAUCAAAUACAUUUUCACUUUUGCUUAUAUUUAAAAUCAAAAGGAGUAUAUAGUGGAAGUGAAAAAAAAUUGAAAUCUAGAAUAGGUUUUUUUUUGCCAAUUAAUUGAAAAUUUGAACUUAUGCUUAAAGCCAAAUGCAAAUAGAUAAAAAGUAGUGGGAAUAUUUCAAAAUUGGUAAUUGUAAUUGAUAGGUGGAAGUUUGAGGAGAAAAAAGUUCCAUUCAGAGACAAAAUGAGCACUACUAGAAAAAGAAAAAUUAGCGAGGGAAAUUAGUGACGGAAAAAAUGAAAUUCCUCACAAAUUUCAUGGUCGCAAAAUUUAGUGACAGAAUUAAAGAGGGAUUUCACAUUUUCCCUCACAAAAUUUCUCUCACUAAUUUUUGUUUUUUAGUAGUGGAGGCAGCAUAAUGAAACACAAACACAUCAAAGUUAUCAUAUAUUUGAAUGCAAUAAUUUAGGUAAAAGAAACAUUCCUUACCAAAAAUGAAAAGUGCAGCUUUCCAUGAACCAGUUGAAGCUCGUAGUGGAACCCUUCCUUUAUGAUCAACUGAAGAAUCAUGAACCCAUUUCAUCUCAUCAUCUUCUUUUACAUUGAUCUUUUCCAUCUCUAGUUAUAGCUCAAAUAUUUCAAAUUAGAGAGUAUAAUAUGUGAGCUAGUUGUGUACUACUCACUGUCAUUACUUGACCUGCUUUUAUAGGGAAACAAAUGGAGAAGGCUUUGCUUUGCUUUUUCUUUAUACAUCACAUCAUUACUAAGAUUUUUGAACUAUCCAAAGAAUAAAUCUUUUUAUUCAAAAAUUAAAAUAAAUAAAUAAAAUCAUGGGGAUCAAAACUUAAAACUCAUGUAAAAAGUUAAGGAUGUAUAUAUAAAAUUACAUUUUCUAUUUAAAUUUGAUGAUACUUUUGAGCUUUAGAUAUAAUUGUUGUGCAUUCUGAAUUACCGAUUUACUUUAAACUUAAAUAGAAUCUUUGUCUAAUGCGAAUAAGUGAAUCAGUCUUGCACUACGUCUGCACCUUAAAUAAACCACCAAUGAUGGAAAGAAUCUUGUGCAUGGUUCAAACUUUGUCUUCCUUUUACAUCAUAAACUUGACCUAAAAUAACCAAUUUAGUUUUCUAUACUCUCUCGAGUUUGGUACAUAAUGUAAAUAAAAAUAAAAAGUAAUGUCUAAAAUAUAUGAAAUUUAUCAAUUUAGUCGGUAAAAUAUAUGUCAAUUCAUCAUGUUAAUCACUAGCAUCUUAAUAGCAUAACCUAAAUUCAAGAAUUUUAAAUAUUUAAAGAUUACCUUUUUAGGAAAACCAACCAAAUACAUUGAAAGAAAAUCGUGACUUGCUUUACAUUAGAAGAUAAACCACAAAAUUGAUGAACAUGAAUUUAGGAAUUGUUCAAUAAACCACUAUGUAUAACCAACCACUCAAGAAUAAGUCAUCAAGUUGUAUUAAACACGAGACACUCAAAGAAAAGAUGAAUAAAACGUUCCUUGGUGUGACAUUCUCCAACACAAGCGAGAUAAGUAAAAGUAAGACCACCGCGCUUAAAUAAGUUGUCUUUUGUUGGAAGUCGAUUUUGCAACAACUUACAAGCAAAAACUGAAACUUUUAACAACACCACUUUGCUCCACACACUAUCUUUGACAUCAAGCAAAUUAAUCCAUGCACCUGAAACGUCUUGAGUUAAUAAUUUGUACGUGUCGUUGACAGAGUAUAUUUCAGAUUGCUCAUUCUUUCCAUCUCCAUUUGUCAACUAAAUUGACGUAAAUCAAUUACCUUCAAUUUCAUCAUCCCAAUGGUUGCCCAAAAUGAGUAAAUCAAUCUUAACAAUAUCAAUUUACUUGUUUUUAUCUCCAUCGUCAAUUUGAAGGUAUGUAUGGAGUUUCCUCCACUAUCCUUUAAAGCCCUAAAAUUAGAGGCCUAAAGCCCUAGAUUCACUUGGCUCGAGAUUGAGUUGGCCUUGAUGGAGAAUAACUUUAGAAGAUUGUUCUUUAGGUACUUAAAAAUUGAGCACAAACACCUAAAACAACCCAUCGAUAAACGAUAGUUAAUUACCUUUGGAUCCUUUAAAAAGUGACUCAACCAAUUUAAAAACGUGAUUUAACUGAUUUAAAAAGUGUUAAAGAUUAGUUAACUACCAUUCUUUUAGAUGUUUAUGAGCAUUUAUUAGGUUGGUAAAGAACAAUCCCCAUAACUUUAUGUGAAAUGUUAAUCAGUGUCCCGAGGGACACUGGUUAAGAAAUCAAAUAUAGUAAUAUUUUACAUUGAAAGCUAUGUAGUCAAUGCAUUAAAAACUUAAAAAGUGUCAUUUUUUACUUCAAAUUUCCUCUUUUAGCUUCCUUAACAAGUACUCUGAGGUACCGGUUAGCAUCUCCCUAACUUUAUUGAUCAUUGUCCCUAUUAUAUAUUUAACUAUUAACCAUGUUAUAAAUACAAUUCAUAUAGCCGACUAAAAUGGCUUCUUAAUGAUAUCACAUCAUUUGUUUGAUUAAAAAAUGAGGAUUCUAAAUCCUCUAUGGCUCCUUUAUGGUGGGACAGCAGAUAAAAUCUUUAAACCUAUUAAUUUAUAUAAUUGUUCAUUAUAAAGGAGCCAUGUGGGUCAAACUAUCAUAAUUGGAGGGGAAGAAAAGAAUAAUAAUGCAAUGAUAAGAGGGAGAAUGGAGUAUGAUGUCAUACUUUAGUUGCAAACUAAUUAUCAAUCAAAAUAUUUAUUAUAAAAAAAUUAUUAAUUACAAUUAAGGAUAGAUAAAACAUAUGACAUUUAGAACAACUCAAAGCCAGAGAAUUUGGAAGUGAGAUUUGAGAAUGUUGGACUUAUCCUUUGGUGUCAUUCUAAACCACAAAAUGUUAUUCGUGAGCCAUGUGUGAUACAUAGUACUUGCAUAAUAAUAUACUUAAAAUGGAUGGAUAAGCAUUGCCCAUAACACAUGUUUUCAGAAAGAAUAGAAAGAAAGAAAGAAAAAACUCAAGUCGUCCACUAAAUAGAGAUAAAAUUCAACGCAUAAUACAUGAUUUGAGAAAGAAAAAAAAACUCAAGUCGUCCACUAAAUAGAGAUAAAAUUCAAAAAUGAGUUUAUAUAUGAUUUAGCAUUUUUCACCAUACAAAUUGAUUUUAAUAAAGAUUUAGUAAAAAGAAAGUUUAUUUUAUAAAGAUAAACUAUGUAAAAUAUAAAAUUUAAUAUAUGACGUAAUUUAUCGAUUUGAGUCACCACUAUUUAUAUCUUCGUAUCAAAUUUAAUAGUGAUGGACAAGAGAGUGUAAGUUGAAAGAUUUGAGUCACUACUAUUUAUAUUUACGUAUCAAAUUUAAUAGUGAUGGAUAUGAGAGGGUAUGUUGAAAAAAAAUCUAAAUCUUACAUUUAUAAAGAUGAAAUAUGAAAUGAAUUUUUAAAGGACGACUCUCAUCUUAUCAACUGAUUAUGUAAAAAUGAUUUUGAUUGAUCACGAAUUAAAAAUCUAAUAAUAUGGUCUAGGUAUGCAUGGCAUUGGUCCAGACACAUGUUCAAUGGUCAAAACCCUAAACUUACUUUAUAAAUACUAACUCAUGACAUUGGUCUAGGUAGAGGUUCAAUGACCAAAGCCCUAAACCUACUUUAUAAAUACUAACUCAUGACAUUAGUCCAACUACACAUAUAUUUUAUCUUAAAAUACAUCACAGGUUUACGAUGCUUACUGACUUGAGCAUUGAAUUGACUUUGUAGGUACCACCCUCUCCAUUGAAGAAGAAGGUUGUGGACGAAGGUCCACACACAAAAGUCACUCAACACCACCAUUUAGAGAUCUCAUCAGGUCCAGUAGAUUAUUUUUUUUCAAAUUAAUUUGAGCAAUUAUAACAAAUAACAAACUAUUUAAAUAAUCCGUAAACAAACAAUAUUUAAAUCCUUUAAAAAAAGAAACUAUUUAAAUAACAAUGUAUCGCACGGGGUACAUGUACAAGUUAUCACUAAUGGUCUAAAUUUUGGUGCACACAUUCUUCACUCUUGUAUGAUAAAAGAGUGUCAUUUUCCGUAACAUUUAGCACUUUUGUAAAGAAAAUAAGACAAUGAAAUCCAUAACUUUUGACAAUAUCUAAAUCUUUUUCCGUUAUGGCCACAAUUGAAUAUUGAUUUCGACAAUAUCUCCCCUACCUUCUAGGCAGUACACAAUGCCACUAUACCAGUCCAUUUAAAGAAAAAUAAAUCCACCACACACCUUUAAUAUAAAUCAUAUGAUUAAAACUUUGUAGCCCUAAUAAGUAUUCUUCCGUUUCAUAAUAACUGAGUCAUUUGUAAAAAAAAAGUAUCAUAAAAUAACUGAAUCAUUUUACUUUCCAAUACAAUUAUUAAUUACUUUUUUCCAUUUAUAACUCUAAUUAAUACUACUUUUAUCAUUUUCAAUUCAAUAUAUUUCAUUUUACAUUUAUGAUAGUGGAGAAUGCAGCAAUAAUUAACAAGUGCGCUUAAAACUAUUUUUCUCUCUCCUUCAUUUAAUACGUGUGAAAUGAGUUUCUGGUUAAGUUAAUUCAGAUCGAAGGGAGUAAUAACGAAGUUUUCAUGUCUAUAUCUAAUGCCUUUCUUUUUUACAAAAGUUUUGCUUUCUUUCUUACUUUUCCAUAUCUUGCAAGUCAUAAAGCAGCGCAACAUGUUUUUCUUUUUUUUUUGUUGUUGAAGGAAGCAUAACAUGUUAUUGGUGACCCAUCCUGCUCAUAUCAAAUAAGGGUGAUGUCUUUCUUUCUUUCAGUCUUAAAAGGUGACGGAUGGAGGGAUGGGCAAGCCGUGGUCCCGAUCCAUCCCUCCGACAAACAGUGUUGGAGUCAGGAAUUUUAUAGAGUUUGGAUAAAAAAUUUAUCGUAAAACGUUACUUCUUUCUUGCGAAUAAUUUUACAUUUCCUGCAGAUAAUUUCACAUUUCCUACGGAUAUAUCUUUCCUGCGGAACCUAAAUCCUUGGCAAAAUCUGCAGGAAAUGUGUUUUCGGCGGAAUUUACACAAAAAUCCACAGGUAAAUCCGCAGGAAAAUAUAUGUAUGUAUAUGUAAUGAAUGUCUUUGGUAUAGUGGUUAAAGUAUUAAAAUAAGUAACUUUGCAAUAAAAAUUUGUAUAAUUAUUGGGGGUAAAUACCUCUUUUCGUCCCUGUAAUAUUAGCGAAUUCCGGUUUUACUCACUGUAAAAAAAAGAUUUACAUUUUGUCCCUGUAAUUUCAGAUUCUUCCACUUUUGGUCCCUCCUUUCAUCAAGUCAAUAGAAUCUGCAUAAAUUACUUCCCUGUAAUUUCAGAUUCCUCCCACUUUUGGUCCCUGUAAUUUCAGAUUCCUCCACUUUUGGUCCCUCAUUUUACGUGCCAUGUAUGCAGAUUCUGCUUACGUGGUGGAAUGAGGGACCAAAAGUGGAAGAAUAUGAAAUUACAGGGACAAAAUCUAAAUCUUUUUUUUACAGGGACUAAAACCGGAAUUCGCUAAUAUUACAGAGACGAAAAGAGGUAUUUACCCUAAUUAUUGUUAAGGAAAAAGUAAAAACAUGCAUUUCCAAGACAAAAUUUCAACUAAUAGAUUCUUUAACCAAUGCCUUUAGGAUACUUGUUAGCAAAACCCUAAUCUUAAUAUAUUUUUUGGUACAUCGAGAAAACAACGGGAAAAAAAAAACAAAAAAGAAAAUUAUGCUACAAUCUUAAGAACUACACUCUAGACGCAUCAGCAAGAAGUAAAUCUUCCAAACUCGGGCGGAGGUUCUCCAAGCUGCAAGAAGAAGAAUCAUGAUUGGCACCAUGUUUGGCUGAAAAAUCAACACACUGAUUUGUCUCUCAAAGGGUGUGGGUCAGAUGUACAUUCCAAGAGAGAUUAAAGAGAUCAUUGAUAUUUCUAUUGAUAGUUGCAUAAACAUAUUUCAAACAUAUGUUAGUUUGAAAUCUAGAAUUGUACUCCUCUCUAAAUCUUAGGUUCGAAUUCUCUAGACGUCAACAAUUUCUGCGAUGAGACACUACAUAUAUGACAAUGAGAUUGAUCAUAAAAUUAGUUAAAUUAGUUGAUCAUUACACUGGAUACCGUUGAAAAAAUACAAUCCUCUUAACAAGCCGGUCAAUCAGUAGAUUAGCUCCAAAUUCAUGGUGGCCAAAGCACUUUCACAUUCUUCAAUGCGCUAACAUGAAUCUAAUUGGUCCAUAUAGAAGGUGGUGGAAAGCACAACCUACCAAAUGUUUUAACUUUAAAUGAAAGAAAAAUAUAAUUUUUUUGCAAGAAACUAUAUAAUUGUAGUGAUCUACUUUAAAAUAGUCAACCCAUAUAUAGAUUGCUGUAUGUGCCCUACUUGCUCACAGACCACCAAAAUUUCAAAAUUGAUUUUUUUUAUUUUUCUUUUUAUAGAUCGAUCAUAAUUUUCAAUUUGAUAGAAUUGGAAGAUAUAUUUUGAUUGUUAGAUAAAAGGAAUACAUUCCGAUCUGCUUUAGAAUAAAUUAGAAUAUAAACUUUGUUUUUAUCUGUUUGACAUUUGAUUUAAAACAUCAAAAAGUGAGUUUUUGACUUCCAAACACUCCUUAUUUUAACCAUUGAUUUUCAUCAAAUCAAUGUCAAAGACAUUGUAUUUGUUGUCACAUUUCUUCUCAAAUCCAACUAGUAAGAGAUGUAAGUAUAAGUAUAAUCAUAUUUAUGUUUUCUUUACCAUUAAUAUUUAUUUUAUGUAUAUAUUUGUAUUUGUCUUUUUGUUACUAUAUUUUAGGAACAUGCUAAACUACUAAAGUGUCAACAAUGACAAAAAGAUAAUCAACCUCAAAAACCAUCAAGGAAUCUUAGAUGGUUUUGGGAUGUAGUAGAGGCAUAUGAUCUUUACUACCUUGGGUCUUCACUACCUUGUUGAUGUAAACUAUGGUCAAGUUGAUCACGACAUAUGCAUCGCAUUUAUGGAGAUGUGGCAUAAGGAGAUCAGUAGUUUUUUUUUCUUCUUUUAAUUGAUGAGAUGACAAUCAUUCUGGAUGAUGUUUCAUGCAUGUUGCACUUACAUAUCCUUGGUAAGUUGCUUAACCAUGUCCCACGCUAAUUCCUAAAGAUGAAGUUGUUGAGUUGAUGAUUGAGUUCCUUGGGGUAGACAUAGAAGAUGUUAUGGUCGAGUGCGAUAGAGGGAAAUAGGUUCUUAUAACCUUCGGUUGGCUUCAAAAAAUCUUCCACCAUAAUCAGUUGGUUAUUUGGAUGGAUCAAGUGCAUUCCACAAAUGGUUUUUCUCAACUUGCUAUAGUGAGUAGUUAGGCAAUUUCGACGUGUUCAGAAGAUCCCUAGACAUCCUGCCUUCGUUGCACCUGUCAUCCAAAAUAUUUAUUAGAUAUAUCUUAAAUUAUAGAAACUAAAUGAUAACUUUUAGAGAAUGAUAAAAUCAUAAUUUUUUGCAUUUCUUAUCGAAGAGAGUUAAUUUUUUGUCUACGUUUUUUAUUUGAUCUAUAUUGAUGAAAACAUUGAUGGAUGAAAAUUAAAUUGUAAUAUUGGAUGAAAUUUGAAACGUUGCUAGAAAUAAGUUAUUUUUAACUUGAUUUUAAUGUUGGAAACAAAAAAUUAUUUUGUUUCGCAACAACCAAACCAACUCAUACCACCUUAGUUUGGUUUUUAUUUUAAGAGUCAACAGAAUCAAACCAAACCGCAUACUUUUUUAUCUUGCAGUUAAAAUGAUUUUUAACAUCAAAAUCGAAUAAAUUCUCGAUGCAAACACCCUCGGUUGAGAACGCUUAAAAUUUAUAAAAAUCCAAUAUAUAUUCUCUUUGUACUUGAUCAGUGAGAUGAAGGUGGGUUAGAUUUGAAAAUUUAUGAUCAUAAUUUUCUUACCACAUGAUUUCUUAUCGAAUAUACUUGUAUGCCUUCUUUAAUGUGAUUGAACUCUCCUUGUACUUAAAUAAUAUUCCCUCUGUUUUAAAAUACUUGUUCAAGUCAACCACUUCACAUAUGUCAAUGCAUAAUUUUGACUGUUAAUAUCUUUAAUUAUCUAAAGUAAAAAAUUAUAAAAAUUUAAUAUUUUGAAAAUAUUUGUCGAGACAAAUCAAAUAAUAUCUCACAUGCUAAUAUUUGUAUUUAUACAUUAGUUAAAAAUUGAACAUGUGUUUUGAAACGGAGGAAGUAGUUCAAUAAAAUACGGUAUAGUAGACCAUGAUGUUUCUAAAAUGUGUGGUAGACUUAAAUGUGUGGUAGACUCAAAGUAAAUCAAAUGAAUAGCGCAAAUUGCAAAAAUUGAUCAUAUAUUUUAAAACGGAAGGAAUAGUUCAAUAAAAUACAAAUCUUGAAUGUGUGGUAGACUUAAAGAUCAGAAUAAUACCCGUUAUUAUAUUUCCAAUGCCUAGAGUAAGCAAACAUGGUUUCAACAUUUUUAUUUUGAAAAUGAUUUAUCAUGAUAUGUUUAAAGUACUUUUAUAAUGUAACAUAUAUAUGCUCCCUAAAACUAGUUAAGAUCAUCUGAGAUCUUCUUGCCCCACCCUUAAGAUUUAUCACUCACAAAAAUUAAUGUUACACUCAUUAAAUGAAAAUAUUGUAUCAAUUUAUCAGAAUGUUAAUAUGAUAGUAGUUGCAUUUUUUUAAAGAUAAUAGCAAUGAAAAGUUAUAUCUUUCAUAUAUUUUUCGCCCAACAACCACUAGACACAUACCCUCAAAAAAAAAAAAACCACUAGACACAUAAAAUAUGUCAAUUUCAGCUUUAUUAAAAACAACUGUUUAGUCACACAAAAAAAAAAAAAAAAAAAAAAAAAGAAAAAAAAAGGUAUCUCUUAAUUGAAUUAUGUGAUGGAACUAUAUGUGGCACCCAUUUGAGCCAACUCUCUUUGAUCAAUGUAAUGUAUAUAAGGCUUAGAAUCAAUAGCGAUAAGUUGAUUUCAUGACAAGAGUUGGUGGAUAGAUCAUAGAUGUAAAUAAUGGACCGGAUGAAAUAAUAUUUUUCUUCUCUAAAAUAAAAUAUUGACUUAAGAUGUCAAUAAUUGUAUUAAAACAUAAAGUUCGAUUCAAUUAGAAAAAUGUUCUUGAUAAAUUAUUCUCAAAUCUUUUUUUUUUUUUUUUUAUCAAAAUAACCUCGUAGGGUUCAUUGUGUAUGAUUGUACCAAAUCCAAAUACAAAUGAAAUUAUGUAGUUCAUAAAUAAGCCAACAGAAUACAUGUAACUUGCUUCAAAAAAAAAAAAAAUACAUGUAACUAGAGAGACGUAUAGAGGAUUAAAAUUAAAUAGUAAACAUUAAGAAUAAAAAAAAUUAAAAAAUUAAAACUCCUUCAUUGUCUUCAGUCAAAAACACCAGUCUGGAGAGGAUAAGAUUCUUCUUUUCUUCCUUUUUGUUUUGCUUUAUGCUAUAUCCACUUUCAAUGAUAACCCCGCUUGAUGGUUUCUUCACAAAAAAAUCUCUUAUUGUCGGUCAAAGAUGACUAUGAAACUUGCUUAAUUGACAUCUUAAUUUUGUUUUUAAUCGGGUUGUAAUUUCUGAUCGACUGUGUUUUUAUAUAAUUUUCUAUCAGAUUGUAACUGUUAAUUGAUUUUUUUUUAACCAAAUGAACAAUUUUGAGAUGAUUAUUGAACAACAAUCGAUGAUACCAAAAUCCACUAAGCAAUUAACAACAGACAACGAAAGGCCCAAAACCGACAACGAAUACGCUCCUUACAAAAGAUAUUGGAAGAAACUUUUUCCCACCCAAAAAGGCAUUCCAUGUUGGGAGUAUUUGUCUCCAAAAGGAAAAAUGUAAGGAGUAUUUGAAAAAGGGUUAUGCUAACAAAUAGUUUUAUGACACUUGUUAAGGAUAUCAAAAGUAAUAGAUUUGUAGGAAAAUAUUUAAUUGGGCACAAGGGUUUGAGCACUUGAUUUAAACACACAUACAUAAUUAAAAAAUUAUAGAGAGAGAAAAUAAUUAAAUAAUAUUUCUUUUUUAAAUAAUUAAAUGAAAUAUAUUUUUGUGUGUGAGUGUCUAAAUGAUGUGUUUAAAAGCUUGUGUCCAAGCAAGUCUUUCUCUAGAUUUGUAUUGGUUUCAACAAUUUUUAACUCUAAAAAAGUUAAAUUCAUCACUUUUAUACUCCCUCCGUCCCAAAUUGUAUGUCGCUUUGGAAAAAAAAUUAUCUCAAAUUAUAUGUCGCUUUACAAUACCAAUGAAAUAUUUAUGUUACUUUUCCUAUUAUAUCCUUAACUAUUAAUUACUCUCUCAUCUUUCAAUUAUUUCAUUUAUCUUUUCCAUACCAUUUAUUAGAGAUAAUUUUGUAAAACAACUCAUAAUUUCUCUUCCCCACGCAAUAUUAAUUAUAUUUCUUAAUACGUGUGAAAUGGCCAAAACGUCUUACAAUUUGGAACGGAGGGAGUACAAUAUUUUUAAUUUUAUCCUCUUAACCAAUACCUUAAGGACACUCUUUAGCAUUUCCUCUUAAAAAAAAUCAAAUUUUGUGUCGUUAUCAAAUUUUGUGUCGUUUAAAAUACACUACCAUAGAAAUAUUUAAGGUUUUCUUACAAAUAUUGGGGGCGGAGAACGUACCUCCCAAGUCAUUGCACACUUUCCCUAAAAAAAAAAAGUUAUUGCACACUUGAGUAACAUUGAAAAACAAAACAAACAUUAAACAUUUUUUAGAUGGAAAACAACAAUUAAACAAAAUUAUUGAUGUUUUAGUCCAAAAAUUAAUGAUUGAAAGGAAAACUCACAAAUCGAUCUACUAAACAAAACAAAAUUUAUUGGUUGAUUUUGGAUUCUUUUUGUUAAAAAAUUGAUUUGAUUUUUGGUGUGAAAAAUUGAUUUGAGAUUUGUUAUUUUAUAAUGUUAAUUCUAGUAUGUUAUUCUUUUUUUGAAGAGGCUAAAAUGGAAUAUAUUAUCAAAUUAAAGUUCCUUUCUAGCACAAGGUGUACUAAAGAAGAGACGCUAAAAUCCAAACAAUAUUUACAAAAGAUCUAAAAAGGAACUAUAAAACAAGAAAAGAAAUAAAAUUAGCCUAUGUCCAUCAUGGUGAACGGACUAAGUGACCAACCAUGUAAACUGAAGGGAAGAGAAGCGAAUUUCGCCUUCAACCACACAAAUGCGAGCAACUUUAUCUUAUCCACCAUCUGAAGAACCGAGUAUGAUUUAUCUAUAAAAAGCCUAUUAUUUAUUCCCUUCCAAAUUUUCCAAACUGUAGCAAACCAUAUAACCUGUAAAAUUAACUGACGAGAUUUUGCGGGACCACCAAUGAAACUGAAUUGAAUAAAGUGAUCCGACACAUGCUGAGGGACAGCCGCAUAAAUGCUCAACCAUCUAUAAAUAAAAUGCCAAACAGACCCCAAAAAAUUACAAUGUAACAAUAAGUGUCUGGAUGAUUCAGACGAGCCGCAUCCUGCCACGCACUCCAUAGAAUUAUGAUCAAGGACACCACGAUGAAAAAUGAUGUCCUUUGUAGGCAACCUAUCACGAAACAGCCGCCAAGCAAACAAAACAACUUUCAAAGGAACAUCUUUAUACCAAAGAGAAGAGACAUGCACCGGUGCAUCAAUUGGAGGAUGCGCAGUUAAAAGUUUGUAAGCACUAUGUUAAUGUUAUUCUCCGUGUGUGCAUAUAUAUUAAUGUUAUUUAUCUUCUAACAUGUUAUCUAACGUAAUAUAAAUUUGUAAUUAUAUAAUUUAUAUGUCAGGUAAAAAUCAAAUUACUUGAGCUAACCCAAACCACACUUAAUUUAAUCAUAUUGGAUUUUUUAUGGAAGCGGUAAAACUAUAAAACAUGUAAUUUUCUUAAUCUUUGAAUAAUAUAGUUUGUGCCCUUAAAAUUGAUCCAAAAACCAAACCACAAACACCCUUAAAUAGAAUCUAGGGGCACUGAGAUGCACUAAAGAUAAGAUCUCAAUGCUUCAAGCAACAUAAACCCUAGCCUAAGUCAAAAAUUGUAACAGAUGAGGCACAAAAAGAACUCUCCUUCACACAAUACCAAGUUUAUGUUUGGUUCCAUGUUUUGUGCAAGUGAAAUUGAUUCUUAAAUGCAAAAAUAAUUUUUCAAAUGUUUGGUUGCUCUUGAUUUUAUUUUAAGAAUUGAUUUUAAAAGACAUGGCAUAUCAAGUGAGAAUGAGUUUCUAUGGCUGAGAUUAGAACUCAAAUUGAAAAAGAGUAAGAAGGGCAUGAGAGAAAAAAGAUUCUUUGGAUGAUGAAAAAAAGAUUCUUUUCUACAUUAUUUUCUAACAAAAAAGAUUAUUUGGAUUGAACAUAAAUAAGAAAAUUAUCGUCAAUGAUUGAGAUUAGAAUGAUGAAAACUCCAAUUCUCCCUUUGGUGCUCUAGUAAAGUAACAGGUUCAACACAAGUACUUAUACUUAUGCUCUUCUUUCUUCCACUUUCAAGCACCUUUACUACUUUCCAUGAAAUGGACAUAGGAUCAUUGUAAUUUUCCAUAUUUACUGUUCUAUUGUAAGUUGUUAAAUUGAAUCAAAAGUGGAAACAUUGUGGCUGUUUCAAUCAAAUUCUAUUAUUAUUAUCCAACCCUUACAUUUCAUUGUCACUAUGGCAGCUCCACUGAGAGCUCUCUCUGUCGUGUUUAGUACUCAAUUCGAGAGAACCUCACAUUUCCAUGGCUGAAUCAGCCCAACAAUUUAACUUGCAUGUGGCUUCACAUGCAUGAGUAGCCAGAGAGUCAUGCAUGUGCCAGAAUCAUUGUCAUGUUGCAAGAGGGAAUUGAUGCUUCAGACAGACAGAGUCGACGAAUGAUGCUCUCCCAACUUCUUAUCUUUUCUUUACCAUUGUAGAUUAAAUUACAACGGUCCGUCUUAGCUUUUAGAAUAGUAUAGUAUAAAUGAGAAAUUAAACAUGUGCAUAGUUUUGAAAGGUUGAACAAAAGAAAAUAGAAAAGUUGUAACAAAAAGAAAAAACAAAUAGACAAAAAAGGAAGUAAACAUAAAGAUAUCAGUCUAUCACAUUGUCAUCUAAGCAUUUGAACUCCCAUAACAGGAAGUUCAAUUUAAUCAGUAAAACAAAAUGCAAUCUGAUUUUGUCAGAAGCGUUAAAGCAUAGGAGAGUCACGAUCACGACUAGGCAAAUCACAACAAUGCUUAGUAACUAAACUGAUGAGAGGCUUUGUUAGCAUACAUAUAUAAGGUGUUUUAUCCACGCAUUCACUCUUAGGCCCCAUCUGGUUGAAGAAAGGGGUUUGCAAUCUCAUCAGUACCAUCAGUUGGGGACACAAGCAUCACAGCAGUUCCUCUACAAACCUGCAUUUUAACAAAAAUAGUAAAGUUCAAAGAGUGAUAAUUUGCCCGUGUUUUAGCUCAGUGAAAUUAAGACUAUUGUGAAAAGAAAAUAAUCAUUCAAAUGUUUGGUUUUGUCAUGUUGUGUAGCUUCAAACUUGCAGGAAAUGCUUUUCAAUACAUGUAAUGCUGUUAAUAGGCAUUUGCUAUUAUGGUAUAAAAAUUUCAAAUUUAGCUCACUUGUAAACAAGGAAAAAUUGCUUUUAACUCUCAAGAUUCAAGAAGCUCCGAAACAGCUCCAACCAUCACAAAAAAAAAUAUAUUAUCACUUUAUUAACAGGCUAUACUCUUUCCUUGCAACUCCUCAACACAGAAUUUGUGUAAAGUACCAUUGACAUGCUUAUUACAUGUCAUCGUUGUUUGGUCAUUCAAAUGAUGAAACUGCAAUUUCAGGUUUUAACCAUAAUUUUUUGGCCCGAUAAAGAUAAAGAUUUGCAUACAUACAAGAACUUCCCAUUGGUUUCAAUUAAUAAAUGUUUUCCCCUUUCUAAACAAUUCAUCUGACUUGACUCAUGAGUCAUGACAAGUUAGCUGAUUAGGUGAACAAAACAUCAGCAUGACAAAUUAUGUUCCUAAUUCCAAAUGCUCUAUCAAUUUACUAACAAGACAACUACAGUAUUCUGAUAAUCAGACCUCAUGCAAGUUAAAUUUGAGUGUUUCAUGCUUUGGGAAAUUUCUGUUUUAGAAAAGAUUAGAGGGAAAGAUAGAAACUUACAAUUAAGCCAAGACUUCUUGUCUGGUCGGUAGUUUUCAACGGAUCAUCAGGAUCUGCAGCACAAAAACAAAAUACCAUGGAUUUCUGAUAUGAAUUUAACUGUGAGACGCAUUAUAAAAGAAUAAGAAAAGAUGUUAUUUUGUUUAUAAAACCUUUAACCAUUCAAGUUUAUCUUCUAUCUUUUUUAAACUGAACGAAAUAGUUGAUUUGCAAAGGGGAUUGUUAACUCCCUUCUCAAACAUGGAAAAAUUACAGAUUAUAUUUGAAGGAUGAAUUACUAUUAUGCAAACAAAACAUAGUUGGACUCUUGAAUUACAGUUUUCCAGGGGUGAAUUUACCGACUGCAGGACUACUGUAUUAGAUGAUAAGAGAGUAUAAAAUUACAUCAAAAUGACCAAGCUCAAUAAGCUUGACAAGAAAGGCUUGGCAUGUACACAAGUGCCAAGUACACAUAAUGUUUGUAGAUUCAGAGGUAAUCAACUCCAAAGUGUUAAAGCAGUAUCAAUGUGAGUUAUUUCAACUGUUGAAAAUGAAAACUGAUGUUACAGUAUGCUACUUUUAAUUAAUUAUUCAUUCAGGCUUUCACUCUCACAAGUUGCCAUAAGUUCCUUUUAGUGCUUACUGAUUAGAUAGUAUUGUAAAAUAAAAAAGUUUAAGCUUAGGAAAAAAAAUCAAUUUUAUGAUAUAGCUUUUGUUUAGAAGCUAAUUUUAUAGCGCUUUUGAGAAAAGCACUAACACUGCUUUUCUGGGACUUUUUUCUAUUCUUUGAAAAGCUUAACUAAUUUACUAUACAAUUUUUCCUAACAUUUUUCUAAGAUUAACAGUGCACGUUUUAAAUAAGAAAUAAUUUUAAAAAAAAAUAAAAAUUGGGCAUCUGAUUCAAUGAAUUUUCUACUCAAUUACCAUCUAAUCCUGAAUCCUGAAAACCCAUAUUAUUUCAAUGAGUUAUAUGAAAAUGAAAUCAUUGGCAUUAUAUGAUCCAAAAUUUAUAAAUAUCAAAAACAUAUAUAUCAUUGGCUGAGAAAACAAGGUCCUGGUACUAAGUAUUUACCUCUCAGAAACUCAACAGCUUCGUCCAGUACAAGGUUAAGUAAUUGAUCAUAUCCUUUCAAAGUUCCUGUCACUGAAAUUCAACAAAUUGAAAUAUGUUAGAACUCUCGUUACCCAUGCAAACAAUAGGAUGCAAAUGCACAACGACAAGAAGAGGGUCAGUGAGAAUAGUGAUUUGAGUGGUAGAGAAAAAUAUAACGAGAGAUUGCUCUGAGGGGUUCAAAUGCAGUUAGAAGAAUGAGAGUGAUUUGAGUGGUAGGGAGGUUGUAAGCCGUUGCUUGCUCUAUUGGUUUCGACACAAGGAACCGGUCCCGGUUGAACCCUUGUUCAACCAUUGGCUCUGAAACUAUUGUUGGGUCACGAGGGGAGCCUGGAGUCCACAUAAUACACUGGGCCAACCACACAAGUGAGUUGGACACCACAUCUUCACCCAAAAUCUUAAGGCAUUGGUUUUUUAUUUUAAAAAGCAAAGAAAUUUUUAUUAAAAUGAAUUGCAACCCAAAGCACAAGCUAUGAUAAGAGAUUCAAUGAUAAACAGUACAAGAACAACAUGAGAGUUGAGCCUCACAUUUUCACCGGUGAAUAAGUGAUAUCACACCCGUCACAUUCUGAAACCACACCUAUACCUCCAGCAAUGAGAGGACAAGAACCACUAGGCUUCCAAGAUAGCACAAAAAUUAUCAGAGCUAAUCAAUGAAAUUGAUCAACAGACAGAUCAGAGAGAAAAACUUGUUAUCUUAGGAUCUUGCCCCAAGCCACUAACAAGCAACUGGACACCAUUAGAAAAUAUAAACAAAAACACCUUCUAAAGAUCCGAAGCCAAACAGACAAGGAUUUUGAGAUACAACCAAGAUAGCACAACAAAUAUCCUCUCUGACUUGCUGCACUUGUAUUAUACAUAACCGCAAAAAAAGACAAAAGAUGACCUCCACCUCAAUUUUCGAACCACCACAUUUUUGACAGCAAAUCUUAGAACCAUAAACUACAAACUUCGGCAAAUUCUAACAACAUAAGCUGCUAAAUUUCACGGCACAGACCAAAAGCACCCAGAACCACUUUUGAAAACAAACAAAAUAGAUGGCUCACGAGCUAGUCCUCCUUCCAAACUAUGACCUGACACUAGAAAUUGUACCAAACCCUAGCAAAUAUGCUUACUUUCCUUUCCUACGGGGUGUUGAUGAACACCAUUUUUAGCUCUAGCACCAAGAUGCUCCUGCUCCAAAAUCACAACGUCCACCUAAAAUCACUCAAUGUAAUCCACCCAUCCAAGACAAGCUUUAGGGUUCACAUACCAUUGAUUCAAGUCGGUAUUCCAUACUGUUUGUCUUAAAUCUCAACCAAUUCCCCGAGCACCGUUUCACCGAUUCGGCAAUGUUUUCUAAGAUAACUUCCUUGUUUUUGAAUAAUUUAUUGUUCCUUGCCUUCCAAAUACAUACUCCAAAUGCCAGCAAACCAAAUCACUCUAAGGUUGUUAACAACGACUCUCCCUUUAUCACACAAACCUUGAAAUUGAUCUAAUGAGAAGUUCUUCACCAUUGGGUUUAUGGGUCCUCUCACUUAUAUAUUACUCAAAAUUCACUUUUCUAUCUAAUGUAGGUUUUCUAACUCACCUCACACACACUUGCCACAACAAACCUUAACUUAAUAAUUUUUCUCUUUGGCCUAAAACAAAUCAUCGAAGAGAUAACAAAGAAAAUUAACUAUGGAUAAGAAAAUAUAAAUUCAUAUUUUGAAACCACUAGUUUCAUUUUCAUAUAAUAACAAAAUUGGUACAAAACAAAACCAAAUAAUUUGACAUAAAAUGAAAUAAUCAUUAAGUUAAUCCAGACUAAUACUUAUUAGCAUGUCAAAUUAAAAGAAGAAGAAGAAGAAACCCUAAAAAUGGGUUACCUUGUCUACCACCGGUGAGCUUAACUUGAACACCUUUGUCAACGAAUUUUGCCAAAUCCAAAACUGUUUCUUUCCUCCCUGACUGUUAAUCACAUAUAAAAUUAAACACACGUUAAUUAAUUAAAUAAAUUGUGAGAUUAAUUUAAUUAAAUUGUAUGUGAUUUAUGUAGUUGUACUCACCAUGUCGAAGUCGAAGUCACUCACACUCAGUCGCCGCUGAUUGUACAGUGUGAGAGAGAAGAGAGGGAAGAGAGAGAGAGACUGAUCUGAGUGCGGGGUGAGUAACGUGGGUUAUAAACAGGGCCUUUUGAUCACUAAAGUUAAAUUAUUAUAUUUUGACCAAAUUUUUUUUUAGGAGAAAUUAAUUUUCAUUUUAAAAAAAAAAAAAUACUAAAAUCCAUCUUUAAUAAAAAUAAAAAGGUUGAAUAUUCUACCCAUACAAAAAAGUUUAAAUAAAUCACACAAAAAAGAGUAUACAUGUGUUUUUAUAUAAAAGAAAAGUAUUUUUAUCCCUUUAUAAGAAAAUAUAAUUUUCUAUCCCUCAAUGUAUUAUUUUUAUUUUUACUUCUUAUAAAUAUACAUUUUUUUAUAGGGACAGGUUGGAACUAAAGAGCUAACAUAGAAGUGAAGACACAUUUGACAUCGCUAUCAAGUAGUAAGUCGCAAUUGAAAAAACAAAGUCAAUAUUCACUCGGAGUCUCAUGACACUUAUAGUAAGGAGAUUGAUAUAUUUAUUGGUCUCUCGAUAAAUAUGAUAAAUAUUGAUUCAUGAUCAAUGAGUUGAGGAAAAAACAACCUAAGAAAAGAAAGGUUUAAGAAAAAGAUUUAGGCCUCACUAUAUCUACCACCAGUUUGGAGUCUAUCUCAAAUUGCAUUGAAUCGAUAAAUAAAUCUUGCAUCAAUUAAAUACCUAAACGGAGGACCGACUCUUCGCAGAAAACACUAGAAAACCAACCCUCUUGUACAGAUCAAGAAUGAACUUACCUUAAGAGUCUUUAGCUAGCUCACCAUAAGUGUGGCACCAAAUAAGAGUCAUCAAUAUUUUUUCUUAAACGUCAUGUUAAAGGAGGGCACCAAACCACAUCAAUCACAUUUGUUUAGUGUCUAGUGUUUCUUAAACGUCAUGUUAAAUAAGAGUCAUCAAUAUUUUUUCAUAAACGUCAUGUUAAAGCAACAUACAUCAAUCUUCUAUUUUCUGGCUAGGUAAUAGAUGAUAUGUUGCUUACUAAGGUGGGAUCAUAAACACAUUCUCUAUUACCUAGCCAGAAAAUAGAAGAUUCAUUUGUCAUUAAUGAAUUUUGAGCAUCUAAAGGAUUGUGUUCAGAAGUUCAUUCACUAUGGAAGAGUUCUCUCUGAAUUGUUUCAACAUAGCAGACUAAUCUAGACUAUGCAUGAUUAUGGUGCUUUUGAUGAGCUGGAUAUAUAAUAUAGAAAAACUUUCUCAGCAUCUACUCUAAAAAGAUGACUCUGAUUGAGAAGGAAGAAGUGAAAGCCUCAAAUGUAUCAUUCUCUAUCAAAAAGAGAGCUCGUGACUUAAUGGUGAAAUAUCCUUCAAUCACCUUCUAUAAUAACAAAGAAGUGAUUCAAAUUUGGAAAGAAAACAACAAGGAAGACAUUCCUGCUAGACCACCUGAUAUAUAUAAAGGUAGGAAGAAGACAAUUCCCUUUUAAAAUCAAGAGAGUCACUCAUGUGCAUCAUGUUACUUGGACCCCUCCUCCUGGUGAAACUAUCAAGUUCAAUUGUGAUGGGUCUGUCAUAGGGACCUAUCCUUGUGGUGCUAUUGGAGUUGUGAUUAGAAACUCCAAUUCUUACUUCUUAGGGGCUAUUGUUAGCAACAUUGGUCAUGCUUCUCCUUUGGAGGCUGAAUUCAGUGCAUGUAUGUCUGCCAUAGAAAGAGCUCAACACAUGAAUCUUCACAACAUUUGUUUGGAAACUGAUUCUUUACAGGUGGUUAAUGCCUUCAACAAAGAGAUUGGGGUUCCUUGGCAUAUGAGAUCCAUAUGGUACAAUUGCCUAAAGUUUUGCUCUAGCAUAAUUUGCUCCUGUGUCCACACUCAUAGAGCAGGAAUUUUGGUGGCAGAUGCACUAGCCAAACAUGGCCAAGGACUUUCUCCUUUCUCCACUCAGUGGUGGCCCUCACCACCCCCCUUCAUCCACUCUUUUCUUUUAAGGGACAGUCUUAGGCUACCCUUCUCUAGACUAGUUAAGAUUUUAUUUUUCCUCCCUGUUUGUUGUUUUAGGAGGUUUUGUAUUGUUUGUUUGGUUUCUUGUUGCUUUUUGCUUUUGUUGUUUCUUGUAUUGCUUGUUUUGUUUUGUUUUGUUUGGAUUGGUGUUUGUAUUGGUUCAGGCCUCACCUGGUUUAUCAAUAUAUCUCUAGCUUUAUAAGAAAAAUAAAAUUAUAAGACAAUUUAUAAAACAACACUGCUAGAUACCACAAACCAAAUUCCACGAAAACCACGAUCACGCACAAAGCAAUAGUUACAAAAGUUUUUUUUUUUUAAUUUUAAAUUAAUAUAAUUUGGGAUUUGGCGGCCAUCAUGUAGGGCUGUGUUAUUCUUAGUUUUCGCGGAAUACAACAUUUUCCUUUAUAAAAUAAAACCCUAAAUAUAAGUUCAUCUUCACUUUUUAGAUGUAUUUAUUGCUCUUUUUUUUUUCAAAUGUAGCUCUUUUUAAUAAUAUCAAUAUAUAUUGAAAUAUGAAAAAUUAACAUUAAAUAUAUCUACAGACAAAUGACAAUUUAGUAAUAGGCAUAUACACAUGUGAUUUUUUUUUGUUGGUAGAAUUUACAUAUGUGAAAAAUUUAUUACUUUACCCAUGAUAUUUAUAAAAUAGACUUAUAAAAAGGGGCGGAGGAAUAGGCAAAACAAUUUCAACAAAAUUACCAAAUUUGUCUCUGAACUCUUAAUUUCAGAUAACACUUUUGUCAUUUUUUUUAAUUUAAUAAUUUAUGUUAUAAAAUGUCAAUUUUUUUUCACUUUUUAUAAAAAAAAAAAAAACAUAAUAAGAAACUCAUUAAAAUCAUCAACAAACCAAAACCUUCAUCUUCAUCUUCAUGAUAGAAUUCUAAAAACCUAGAUUUCAUUGAAAAAUACAAUUCAAAAGCAUAAUAUUAUUGUAUGUAACGUCCAGCUCAACUGACAAUGUCAAUAUUGUUAAGUUGAACAUCUUCAUCCGAGUUCAAAUCUGAACCUUGUAGUGUCUGAGUUUCAGUGGUCAUUAUCACUUCGUAUACAUACCAAAACAAAAGAUACAUUAUUGAUCCUUCAACAAAAAAAAAGAUACAUUAUUGACAUUUUAUAAUAUAAAGAAUUAAAUUAGAAAAAAAAAAAGAUAAAAGAUGAAAGAUCACCAAAACUAUUAUUUUAAAAAAAUGUCAAUGAGUUAAACAACCUACCACCGAGUUAAACCGCGAAGCAUCUCUAACUUUCUUCUUCUCCAAACUAAAAACACUCUCAUCACAUAAACGACACGUCGUCGAUCACCAAAACCCUAACCAACAAUGGCCACCGACAAAUCAGUCCUCGCAGUAAUCAGAGCUGCGCGACCAACCUUCCGCAACCAAAACGACAAAAUCGCUUUCGUCGUUCACUCCUCUUUCCUCGCUUCCGGUUACAUCCUCACCGCUACUGGUCCUCAAGCUCUCUCUGAUACCGCUCUUUCCAACCCCUCCAAUGGUAACCCUAAAAAAAUAAAAAUAAAAUUCAAUUUUUUUUGGUGAUUUUUGAAGUAUUUAUUGAUUUUUGUGUUUUUGAGUGUAGAUGAGGUUUCUGUUGAUCAUUGGAAUGAGUUGAAUGAUGAAUAUGCGUUUGUUUAUGCGAAUUCGGAGAAGGAGGGUUUGAAAAAAGUGCUUGUUAAAUGUCUUGUGAUGAAUGGGAAGCUGCUUGUUCAUGCUUUGUCUGAAGGGUUUAAAGAGCCUCUGCAUCUUGAAAUCAAGUAAUUGUUUUUUUUUUUUUGUUGCAGUUCUGAUUGAAAUAUUUUGAUGUUUUGUGUUGAUAAAUUUGGAUUUUAGAUAAUGGGUUUUCUUUGUUUUGUUGAAUUAUGCUAAUUUUGGAAAUUGGGGUCUUUUUGUGGGUUAAGGGAAAUCAGGUAGUAAUUUAAGAAAAAUCAUAAUUGAAUGUAAUCACAUGUGUCGGUGAUGUGUACGUGGACAUCUGUUGGACACCGUGCACGUCUUCAAUUAGAAGUGUAGGUUCUAACGAGGCUGCAGAUGAUUUUAUUUUCUUAUUAUUUUUGUGUUGAAAAUUUUGGAUUUUUGCAACUGGGUUUUCUUUGUUGGGUUGGGUUAUGCUAAUAUGGAAAAUGGGAUAUUGAUUUUAUUUUUUAUACUGCAGAUGAUCUGGAACAGUGUUGGGCUUUAAAGAACCAACACGGAUAUAAAUGAAGUGUAGUAGAGAUGAGAAUGUUGUGUUGGAUGUGUGGUAAUUAUAUAAUUGACAACAUUAGUGAGAGAGAGAGAGUUAGGGUUGCACCUAUAGUAGAAAAGAUGGCGGAGACUAGCCUUAGGUGGUUUGGGCAUGCAGGGAAAAUGCAUGUGGGUUGUGGAAUAAGGAGAGUAGAUCAGAUGUAGGGUAGUCAAAUCACUAGAGACAGGAAGACCGAGAAAAACUAUUAAGAAAGAUAGAAAUAUGAUUUAUGAUAGAACAUUAUGAUGUCUGUUGGAAAUUCCACCUUUAAUGCGGUCCUCCCCUAGCCACCUAAUUGCGGCAUUUGGGUUGCCUUCAUUGCAGCCUCCAACAACAUCAUUGUGUUGGACUUGAAGGGGUGGGUUUAGUCCCUCAUUGUUUAGAAAUAUGGCCUAUGUAGUGUUUAUAAAGCAUGCCCUCACCUUAAAAGCCGGUUUAGUAAGGAUGAGUUAGGCCCAAUAUAAAAUUUGAGAACAUUGUUUGAUCCAUGUAGCUGCCCCACUUAGUGGGGCUUGGUUGUUGAUGAAAAUGAUCUGAUUUUUUGUGUAGGACAUUUAGGAUUUGAACUGUCUUUCUUUUUUGGAUUGGAUUGUGCCCUGUUUGGAUAAACAUCUUAAUAUAGUACUUACAGCAUAAACACUUAUCAUCAAAGUGCUUAUGUAUAAACUAUUUCUAUAAAAUAAAAAAAGUUAGAAUAAAGUCAAACUAUUUUCAUUUAAACUAUAAGUUGUUUUUAUAAGCUAUCCUUGUGCGCUUAUGGAAAUAAGCUGAGAAUAGUUUAUGGAUUGGACAUAUCAUUUAUAAGAUCUCCGAAACAGUUUGAUAAGUGUUUAUGCUAGUUGAUAAACUCAUACAAGUCAAUCCAAACAAAUUUGCUUAUUAUCUGAAGUGUCUAAGGAGCAAGUAAAACCUUAAUUUUAGUUUUAAGAUAUUUUAUUCAUUUGUGCAAGGCUUAGAAUUUUGUGAGUGGGUUUUGUGUUUUAAUUAUGCUCCCUUUGAGACGUGUUCUGAGUGUAUUUCUAUAUGUGCAGUGUUGCGGACUAUGCUGGAGAGGAUGGAGGUAGCAAUUUUUCUCAGCAGUUCAAGAAUUUGGACAAGCUGGUGAAGAAAAUAGAUGCUGAUAUUUUGUCAAAGUUAGAUGGUACUGCCCAUGCCAGCUCAUCAACUAAAAGGUAAAUUUGGAUUCUGUGAACUACUUCCUUUUCAAUUUUCAAUGUAUCGUGUGUGUGCCAACCUUAUAUAAUUCUGAGAGUACGGACAUGAAAUUUUUUAACUGGCCAUUAUCUAAUCAUGACUUAUAACUUAUAAGAGUAGAAAACUUUAUGCUGAUAAUGAAUGGGAAUGAUCUGUUUAAAGCUUUUGAUUGUUAAAUCAUGCACAAGUGAAUGAGUGAUGGUGUAAAAAAGCUUCUAUAUUAAAAAGCUUCUAUAUUGGCAGUGGAUGAAAAUUAAAUUUCACCUUGUUUUUUCAGAUAAUGUUUGCUAUUAGCCAUGAAGCAUAGCUACGAACGUAGACACCGAACACGGCCUCAAAAUUACAUUAGUUUUCUGUUUCCAUGUUAGAACCAAGACAGCAAAACAAAUUGUGAAAGAAUUAAAAGUAUCUUUUCACACCAUCAAAAUGUUUUUAAAUAUAUGUUUUUUUUACUUGGUCCAUUGCUCCAUGGAUGAAUGCUAUAUUAGCUAGUUUCUUAUUUGAGUCGACCAAACGAAGCACUUCGAUAAGAGGAAGUGCACCCUUCAAACAAAUCAUAGUGCACUUUUAGAACUCCUGGUCUAAAAAACAACAUUCUCAGUGGCUUUCCCAUCCCUUUUCCGUGCAAAGCUACUGGACUUUUUCAUUCCUUACAUGUCAACAUUCUUAUCAAAGCAUCCUUGGUUUCUCAAAUUCUUCUCUAGCAUCAAAUCAAAACAAUGUUUUAUACAAGGUGUCCAAUAUAAACUUUUUCUUUUCUGCUUCAAUAUCUUACCUACAACUUUGUAUUUUGCUACAUUGUCGGGGGCAAUUUGGAUAACAUAUUCUUCUCCAACAUCUUCCACAAUGGUGUCCAUCCAUCCUCUUAAUUUUUUUGUCAGUUGUUUUUGAUAUAUGAGAUGCAUCUUGCAACUUAAAAAUGACUGUCAGUAUGUAUUGUCCUUCUCUUAUUGGUCCACCCAUCAGUCAGUAUGGAGCACCCCAAGUCCCCAACCUCUUCCAUUCAGCUUAAUUCAGUUUCAUAUUCUUACAAAUAUGCAUUUGUCAACUUAACUUCCUUUAGAUGAUUCACUUAAGUUCAUUAUAAAAUGCUGGCUUAAGUCUUGAGCCAUGUUUUGCAAUCAGUCAUCACUCCUUGGAAAAUUGAACGAAAUGGCAUUACUUAAGAAAACUUCACAAAUGCUUGACAUGCUUCCUCCCAUCUUUUUUUUUUUACAAAAACUAUACUGUUAUAGUAACUUGUGUGCUAAUUCCGCUCCUUGAAAAAAUUACUUGAGCCCUAACAAAUUCUCUUUGGUACUUUUUCUUUUUUCCACGACCUCCACCUCUUCAUUAACUUUGAAUAUUUUGUCGGAUUCUGCUGCAAACCAACGUACAACAGUGUUCAACCAAUGAAAGAUAAUAAAAGGUUAAAUUUAAUGAUUUGCAGUGUGCACAAUUAAAGUUAGAAGCAAAUUCAACAAAUAAAAAACACAGCAAUAGGAAAAAAAUAUAAAUAGCCAGAACAAGUUACAGACUAAUGUAGUAAAACUAUACAAAAUAGGCACAAUACAUCAUAAGAAGGGUAUCACAUCCGUGUCGGAGUAGGAAAAAUUACCUUUUCAACUGGACACCUAAAUGAGGUAUUUGGCAUGAACUGUAUGUUGGUUGUGGGAUCUAUGGGCAGCUUUCUGUUUUGUUAUUAUAAGAAUGAUGCAUUAGAAAACCUGGCCAUUGUAUUUGUUUCAUUUGGGAUAGUUAUGUUGUACCAUGUUGCAAUCCCUAUGUAUUACAUUCUUCGUGAACUGAGACAAUUUUUCCAAAAUUGUUUUUGUUUCCUUCACAGCUCAAAAACUAGUGACAGCACAAGACCAGAGACAUCUGAACCUGUUCCUGGAUUUGGUGAACCUGCUGGUCCUAAUGAUUAUCACCCUGGGUAAGAAAUUUCUAAUUCCUGAUGCUAUUUAAGUUUCACUGUGUUAGAUUUUAAUGCUGCUCAGUGAUCUGAUUGUCAAAUAUGUGAUUAAUUUGGGCUGUCUUGUUGUUGACUAUUUUGAGCUUAUUGGUUUGACCACCCUGUUUGGUAUAUAUUUUAUCCAACACAAAAGUGGUAUUUCCCACAUUCUGAUGCAAUAUUUCAACUAAAAAAUCUUUAGCUCCUUUCAUUGAAGUGUGUUUCUGAUUUCAAAAAUCUAGAACAAAGCGGAAAAAAGAGGGUGUUACUGUUGGGAUCCUCUCCAUUUUACCUCUCAAUCAAGACUAAUUGGACCCAUCAAAUAUCACAUUAUAUAUUUAUACUUCCAAAACUUUGGUAGUGGAGAAAAUGGAGAGGAUCUUGACCCUGCAUGUAUAUAUGUUCUGGGUAGUGGGAUAUUUAGUAUUGAUGGAAAGGGAAGUUACAUGUGUGACUUCAAUUAUGAUGUUCAACAUAUGGUUUCUGUUUGCUAUUAGGCCAAAAGAAACCCUGCUAUAUAAAUGUGCCUAGUUUCAUAUUGGCUAUCUUGUCAAAGAUUUAAAAAACUAAAAUAAUGUUAACUAUGAUAUUAUAUUUAUCUUUCUUGAUCAAAGAUGGAUUUGUUCAUGUAUUGAGCAUACUUGUUAUGGCUAAUGUAACCACUAGUCUUUGGAAAUUGGUGAAUUCCACUAUUCCAUUUCAUGAUGUUACUUCAACAGUUAAACCUCUGUCUAGUUUAUGAUUUUUUUGUUGCCAUCAAAAUUCAAAACUGUUUUUUGCUUAGCUUAUGAAAACAAACCGUUUUUUCUUAUUCUCCUUGUAAGUUACAUACUUAUCCACUUUAUCAAUGGAAAAAUUUGUUACCUUAUGCCGUGGUAUCUUUAUGAUCCCUUUCUCUAAUUUUGUACUUGAACAAGUACUUUUGGCUUCUGUACUAAUUCAUCAAGUGUCAAUAUUUUGUUGUGUUUGUACAGAUUCAUUGUCCCUCCAGUUCCCGCUGGUUCUGGUAGUGAUCUUUUUCCAGGGCCUGGUGCCGGUAUGUAUCCGUCAAGGUAAAACCCCACCCCACCCCACCCCACGUUACAUUUCUUUUGUUUCUUGGGACAAUUGUAAAUUCUUGUUUUUAACAAUUCUUAUAUCCUUCUAAAUAUGCACCACUCAAUUUCAGGGGUGAUCAUGACUUUGGAGGCAGCAUGCUCGUAGGGCCUAAUGACCCCCGUUGGUUUAGUGGUGGUACUGGUGGAGGUAUUGGUGGAGGACCUGGUUUUAUUGGAGGAUUGCCGUAAGUCAUUUAAACUCUACAUUAUUGAUCUUUGACUGAUCAGUGUGGUUAAAUGUAAAAGGCGACAAAACCCCAAGGCACACCCUUGGGUGCUAAGUCUACGGAAAGGAAGGGUCCGCCGUAUUUUGUAGAGGGAACCUAGCAUUUAACAACUUCACUUAUUUUAUCAUUUCUAUAUAAAUAAUCUGUUCAGUGUCGCAACCUAGAUGUGUCUUACAAGAUAUAAUUUUUACUUUUGAUCGCCAGCGCCUAUCUUGAUGGGGUGUAUGGCUUUUUUUGCCUCUUGCCUCUAGGCAUUAAAAUUCCCUUAGCGCCUUUGAGGGUGCCUUUUGUAUUUGACUACCCUGUGAUCGAUACAUGUGGCUAAUUUGAAUUCCUAUAUCUGACUGAAUUUAUCUAAAUAGGGGUGCUCCACCGGGUGCUCGAUUUGAUCCCAUUGGACCUCCUGGUGUCCCUGGUUUUGAGCCCAACCGAUUUGCUAGGUAUGGUUGAGUAUAUCAUAUGUGUUUGUAUACAUGUAUAUCAUGAUAUAUUUCAAAAUAGAAUUUUACAUCAUGUUUUGAACAUAGCUGUUCCAUAAUUUGUUUUAGUCAAUCUUCGACAACAUUUUUCACAUGAUAAGGAAACACUAUAUGUAACACAAAAUAAACACACUUUUCUUUCCUAUCUUGCAGGAAUCCUAGAAGGCCAGGCUUUGAUGCUCAUCCAGAUUUGCAACAUUUCCGAAGAGACACUGAUUCAGAUUACAUAUAGUCGCAUUUAAUAUCAACACCUCUCUCUCACCUUCCAUUUCCAUAUGAAUAUGACAAUAGGAUGAUGUAAAUUUGUGAAAAUUCAAGAAUUUAGCUAUAAGUUUUUUUUGUUGUUGAAGGAAUUUAGCUAUAAGUUUCGUUUAAAUAAAGCUUUAUAUAUAAUAUUAAUCAUCAGAACAUCAGACAUAAAACUUAUUCCUCAAUUUAGUUUAUAUUCCUUGUAAUCCUUUUGUUAAUUACAGUGUUAGUCUGUUUUCAGAAUUGGUAUUUUUGAAUUGUUAUUAAUUUUUUUUGUUGCGAAAACUGAACUAAAUACUAAUGCCCAAAAUAUAUAAGAGGAACGGAUUGGGGCAUAGCUGCCCCCGUUUACAUAAUGUUUUAAAAAACUUUCCAUACUUCUUAAAUGUACACAAAAUACUAUAGUUUUUACUCCCUCCGUCCCAAAUUGUAUGACGUUUUGGGCAUUUUACACAUAUUAAGAAAUAUAAUUAAUAUUGUGUGGGAAAGAGAUAUUAUGAGUUGUUUUACAAAAUUGUCCUCAAUAAAUGAUAUGGGAAAGAUAAAUUAAGGAAUUGAAAUAAGAGAGAGUAAUAAAUAGUUAAGGAUAUAAUAGAAAAAGUAAUAUUAAUUUUUCAUUGGUAUUGUAAAGCGACAUACAAUUUGGGACAAAUAUUUUUUCUAAAGUGACAUACAAUUUGGGACGGAGGGGGUACCUUUUAGGUGUGGGUGUGUGUGCAAUGAGAUCUCCUUUGAAAUGGAGAUAAGAGACAUUUAAUUUUACUUGUUUACAAGGAGAAAAGAGACAUUUAAAGUGACUCAUUGUAAUGGAGAGAAGAUAAAAGACUACUUAGGUAUGAUGCAUUUGAGAAAAUAAUAAAAAUAGUUAUUUUGACAUUUUUAUUAUUUCUAAAAAUAUUAGACAAAUGUUCACUCAAGAUUUGUGCUCUUUGACAAUAAAAGAUUUUGUGUUGUUAACAAGUAAAACAAACAUAAAUAUUCAGAAAACUAAAAUGUUUUCACAAAUUAACCGAGGCGAUUGUGGUCUUGAUUUAGAAGUAAAACUUGCAAUACAUAAGAAUAAGUGACUGAGAUGGUAAGAAUUUAUUUCGAUACUAUAUAGAUCUUGAAUUUGAAUUCUGUUCUAAAAAUGUUGUAGUGUUAAAUCUUUUAAAGGAAAAGUUUUGCCACACAUUGCGAUUGCGAUACUAUCUGAUUCGAGAAAUUAAUCUAUAUAGUUGAUAUAUGAUCCACACAAAAAAGAAGCAGAUAUGAUGUUAUUCAUAUUUGAAUUUUUGUUUGAUUAUCCAUGGUUUUAAUUUACGAGUUCAAUGAUUUUGAAAUUUGAAUUUCAGUUCACUACAGUGUGAGAAACUGAUCUCUUCUACUAGAUACAAUUUUGGUUGGUUAGUUCAUUAUGGUUUUCAUCUGGGUAAAAGUAGUUGUACAUUAUUUUAGCAUCUAAAACUUCUUUUAAAAAGGUACUCCAUCCCAUCUUUUAUAAGAAAACGUUUAUUUUUAAGAUUCAUUCAAUAAACGACAUACCUAAUUUAUAAUAUAGACCAAAUCUUUUAUUGAAUGAAUGUAAGAAAAUUGAACUUUAUCUUAUAAUAGAGAUUGGGGUAGUAAUAUUUUUGGAUCUUUGUAAGAAUAUAUGUUGAUUUUUUUUUUCUACUUAAGUAUAUAGGUUUUUUUGAGGGACUUAAGAAUAUAGGUUGAUGGGCUAUAGUAGCAUUAUUUUUGUUAAUGUAACAUCUAAAAGUGCACGACUGCACGUAAAACAAAAAAACAUUUAAAAUUAAAAGAGAAUAGUUUUUUUUUUUUUUAGUAAAUUACACUUUCCUCCUCUUAAAGAUGCUUGAAUUAUACUCCCCUUUUAUGUUAAAAUAUACACUUCUUCUUGAAAAGUAAAAUUUAUACUCCCCUCCCUUAUAAGAUGCUUGAACUAUAACUCCCUCCUCUAAUAAUUAAAUAUGCACUACACUUUAAUCUAUUUUGACAUAAAUAAAUAUUUUUAUGAUAUAUAUUAAUUUUGAACCACCAUUUGAAAAAAAUUGAUUAAUUUCUUUAUAAUUUAAAUGUCAAUGAUAAUUAAAUUUAAAUAUUUUGCUAUUGAUUUUAUAAUUCAGAGUAUAAAAUUAACUUUUAAAUAACUAUGAUUUAUUGUCUUUAGUAAUUUUUUCGCAUAUUUUAAUUUGAUUUUGGGUUGUUUCAUAUUUUAUAAUAGGGUUUAAAACUACAUGUUAAUGAAAUUGUGAAUAAAUAGUAGCGCAAAAUAUGUAUUUAAUUUUUUAUUAUAUUAAAAUAGACCUGCAAUUAAUAUUAAUUUUUUUGAAGUGUGUUAGAUUAUUAUUUUUUGGCUAGAUUAUUAGAAAUAAAAAAAAUUGAGGGAGUAAAGUGUAGAUUUUAACAUAAGAGGGGAGAGAAAUGUGAUUCAAGCUUCUCUUGAGGGGAGGGGGGAGUGAAAUUUUUUCUAAUAUAUUUUGAAUAAAAGGGGAUGAAAGUGUAUAUUUUAACAUAAGAAGAGAGAAGAUUACAGCUAUUCCUAAAAGUUGUUUGAAAACACUCAUAAACUUUUAUGUCACAAAAUAUUCCAAACACGUUUGUACCGUGAGACAAUUUCUUAGUUAGUUUCAAAAGUUUUUUUUAUGAAUAAGUUAGGUUCAAAAGUUGAUGUUAUUUGAGUGGAAAAAAAAAGUUGAUGUUACUAAUUUUGAAUUUAUUGUAUUUUGUUUUAAUGUGGUGAAUCUUUUUUCACAAAAAAAUAAAAAUUGCAAGUAUUCGACAUACAAAUUUAAUGUAUAAUUCUAUUUUUUUUCACCUCAUGUAUCCCUUUUUUUUUGAACGUGUUGCUCUUAUGUCUCAUCUCAUGCAUUUCUUGGUUAUAUUUCAGAAAAUACGUUUUUAAUUUUUCAUUGCCAAAUUAUUUUUGCGCUAUUAAUGAAUAAAACCAUCAUAUAAGUAUAGCAAUAGAGUUUUUUCACUUCUAAAUAAAUGUAAUUACAGAUUUGAAGGGCAUGGAUAAACUUAUUUUUAAUUAAACGAUCAAAAACUAUCUAGCAGCAUUUUGAUAAAGAAAAAUGACUAGUUGUAUAACAACUGGUAAUUUGGUUGCAAGUCCACAUUUAGAGGUGUCCUGGAUUUUCAACUUGUUGCAAGAACAUUCAUUAAUUUACAUUGCUUAUAAUAUUCCUGUUAAUUAAACAUAAUUUAAACAACAAACAAAAUGGUUAGGGCAUGAGUUAGUUAAUUAGAUUAUGUUUAGCAAAGAAUAUUUGUAUGAGAUGGUAAGAGACAUCUUCCAGUUUAAUUAUAGGUUUGGAGUUCGAAUUCAACUUUACAAAUGCAACAGUGUGUUAAACUUUUGAGAGUGUGUUAAAAUCUCUUAAAAGUAGGGGACAUCCCGGUUUGGUUCAAUUUUGAUGCUAAAAAUCAUCCGAACCGCAAGAUAAAAAAGCAUGCGGUUUGGUUUAACUCGGUUGACUUUUAAAAUAAAAUCUGAACCAAACCAAACUAAUACGGUUUGGUUUGGAUCGGUUGGUGCAUUUUUUUUGAGACAAUAUAUUUUUUUCCAACAUUAAAAUGAAGUUAAAAAUAUAUUUUCAACAAUGUUUUAAAUUUCAUCCAAUAUUACAAUUUCAUUUUUUAAAAAAUUUCCAAACUACAUGGACCAAAUUUAAACGUGAACAAAAAGUAAUCAUAUUUUGUAAGAAAUACAAAAGACUAAGAUUUUAACAUUUACUAAAAAUUCAAGUAGCGUAUGAAUACAUUUUUGAAAUAAAAAGCAAAGAAGAAACUUAUCAAGAGAAAAAAAAUAUGUUCUCUUUUAAAAUGAUCUGAAUACAUCCGAACCAAAUACGAUUUUUUGUGGUUUCAGUUUCGGUUGAUUUGCUUUACGUUUUUUCUAUUAGAUUGAUUCGGUUUUAAACACCCCUACUCAAAAGUGUUACCACUCAUUACGGUCCUGACUCAAAUAUUAAUAUCUACAAUUGCGUUCAGAAGAUCAUCGAUCCACACAACAACAACAAAAAGUUCGAUACGUUUGAAAUGGUCUUGCUAGGUAUGAAGUGAAAAUUGGAAAACAAGAACAAAUUUUCAACAUUGAGAGGGACAAAAGCAAAGCGUAUUAUCAAUCAUAUUUCUAUUUUGAUUUGCCAUUUAAAGACAAAUCUUGACUUAAAUAUGGACUUGAAUAAAACCAAAAAAACGUUAGCGAAGUGGUAAACGAUGUCUUGGUCAUGAACCCAUUAGAGACGUAACAAAGUAAGAAAACGUGUGUCCCCUACUCCCCUUGUCUUUACUUUACAGCAACUUAGAUACUUUGUUCUCUUUCUUAUGUCUUACUUAAAUAUUUCUUAAUUAAGAGGGCAUAUAGGAUUUCUUAAUUGAUAAUUAAUAUAUUUUGUUUCUCUAAAAAAAAAAUUAAUAUAUUUUGUAGAGUAGGACCAAAGAUUGGUAACAUGGAAUCGCCUAAUAAAAACAUGGAAUGAAAAAACUUUGUUUACAAUCUAUAUUUUUUAAGGAAAAUGAUAGACACAACAACUAACUGUAUUGAGAAAAUUUUAGACAGUGUAUUUGUUAACACCUUUCCUUAAUUACACCAUUACCUCUCUUGAUUUCCGACAAAUAACGAAUUUAAUUUGCUGAAACGUUUUCUUGAUCAAUUCUUGAUAAAAUCUCUCUCGAUAAAUAGCAAUGUUCAUUUUUUCAAAUCAGACAUAAGACUGAUUUGGUGACUCAGGGGUAAACGGUAGAAAGUGAAGUCAUCUCGAGUUCGAUUCUCAUCUCUAACAAAUACUAACAUUGACUGUUUAAAAAGAAAUAAAACAUUGUAUUUUAAAACAAUAUAAUCUUGGUUUGAUGAUUAGGAAGGGAAGUUACAGAGUACAAUAUUGAUAAGGACGUCAACUAUUAGAUCUAUAUACUCUCUCAAUAUAAUGCUAAAUAUUGUUAUAUUAAAAAAAAUAUAUUACUAUUACUCUUUCGACAAAUUUUUUAUUACGUAACUAUAUGUUGGGUUUUUGUUUGGACAAGAAUUAUAUAUUGGGUUUAUUACAUCAAAAAUUAAUCAUAUGUUGCGUCGUGUAUUUUAUGUUUAGAGAGGACAUUUAAAUCUGUCACAUAAACUUGUCUUCUUGGAUCGUCCCAUUUCUAAUGUAUAAGUUCCCAUCCAAUCCAAGUAAAGAGAAACUCUAUAAAUUCGAUUUGUUUUGUACCAAAAAAAAGGAAAAAGAACCCAAAAACACUUAGAUAAUAUGGAAUAAGUCUCUUCUAAUUUAACUAAGGCUCUGAUUCGAAUUCAGCAUUAGGUAUGCAACAACAUUAAAACUUUUAGGAAGAACUUGUCGUUCAUUUGGUCACACAAUACUCGAAAGAUUAGUCUCCCAGUUACGUGCGGAGGAUACCCGGUAUAACAAAAAAUGCAAUUUGCUUUAUAUAAAAAAAACUUAAUUUUAAUUAGAUUUUAUAAACGAAAAUACAUGCAGACAAAAAACCCUACGCCCUCCGUCCUAAAAUAUAAGAAAAAAAAUCUCAUUUUCUGUCUCAAAAUAUAAGCAAAAAAGAUCAACUUUUAUGCUAUUUUUAUGUUUUUUCAAACAAAUCAUCUUUUCCAAUGUAAAAUUAAAUGCAAGUUGCAUUUAAUUUGUUCUCCUUUUUAUUUUCUCCAUAAUUUUUAAUCAACGAGAAUUAUUUUUACAUCUCUCCAUGAAACUUAUUCCAAGGAGAACACAAAAAAUCAUACAUCAAAUCACUAAGUGUUAUAGUUUUCUUAAUAAAUGUGAAUUAGCGUUUUUUUUUUAUAAAUUAGGACGGAGGGAAUAUGUAUUAAAAUUUGCUUUAGGUUUGAUUUACAAUUAAAAUAAUUGGAUCAACAUUGAACAAGUAUUAUAAAUAAAUAUAACUCUUUCAAAAAAAAAAAAACUACCGUGAAAAUUAUAGAAGUAUGUCGUGUUUUGAUUAUUAAUUCAGAAAAAUAGGUCAUUUUUAAUCAACAAAAAGAUGCAAACAAAUUUUGUUUAAAUGUAAACAAGUGUAAUAAUCACUAUAUAGGAUUUCCAAAUUAUGCAUUUACAAUAUAAAAUGUUGUCUGAAGUUAUUAAUUCAUAUAUAUUUUUUUUAAAAAUAAAUGAUAUUCAUUCAUUUAAAUUGAUAAAGUACAUUGAUAUAAUGUAAAUUCGUCAAGAACAAAAAGGAUGAAUCUGCGAACAAACUCACACAUCAAUUUUAAUAGCAUAAAACGACAAAGUACAAAAGCAUACACAUAUGAUUAUAUUCAAGUAUCUGAAAUAGUCGUUUCUCCAGAUCUGCAACGUGGACGACGCCAAAGUCAUUGAUUGGAUCUGCACUGGAUCGAAGCUAAUUUGACAAUCUGAACCGACCAAAUACCUGAACGAAACAAGAAAGACAAACAGCGACGCACAAAGAUGACGAACAAACCAACGUCGCACGAAGACGACGAAAUCACAAAAUAAAAAACAAAAUAGAUGUGAAAAUCACAUAUUUCAAUAAAAUAGAAAGAGAAAAACGAGUUAGAGAAGUGAUUUUGAGUCAAAAAUUGACCUUAAAUCACCCCUCUUUGAUGAAUGAAGUUGAAGAAAUGAGGGUUUUGGUGACGGCUCACAAGAGAGAAAGGGAGAGAAUUGAAAUAAUAUUUUAAAACAUUUUUUUUUUAUCAAUUCAUAUUUGAUCACGUAGGUAUUUUAUUUUUUAUUUUUUAUUUUUUAAGGAUCAAUAUAAUAAAGUAGAAAUAACGUUUGGAAUAUAUCAAUUAAUUUGUUGUGUAUUUUUUUGAAUUUUCUAAGUAUCAAUAUAAUAAAGUAGAAAUGACCUUUGCUAUAUAUCAAUUAAUUUGUUGUUAUAUCAAAUGUAAGUCGGUUCAAAAAAAAAAAUGAAAUGUAGUUUUUCUUUUGACAAGAAAUGAAAUGUAGUUAAAAAUCUCAAAUUAAUCGUAAAAAAGAGUUAUAACCUUCCCUUAUAAACAAGCCAAGACAAAAGACAAAAAGCAUCGGCAGUAAGAAGAAAAAAAAAACACAAAAAUAUUAAAAUUAUCCUAUGAUAAAGACCAUAUAAAUUAAAUAAAUUUAUCCCCAAAAAAGAUAAAGUUAAUGAAUAAGGCAAGUUUUUCCUUCUAGACACACACAAUAAUAAAACAUUAUUACAAAACUAUAUGCAUGUCACUCUCACCGUUAUUUUUCUAAUUAAUAAUAUAAAAACAUCAAUCAUGUGGCUACAUACUUUCCAAGCAACAUCCCCCAUCUUACUAGUUUCCUAUCCUUUUUAUAUAUCUCCCAACUCAUCACUGCUCCAUAGCUCUUGAACCUCUAACUUUGAGGUUUCAUAAGCUCAUCAAAAAAUAAGAGAUUUAGGUCAAAUUAGUAUCAAAUAUGAGUCCAAACAAGCCUUAUGUCUUUAUAUUACUAAUCAUCAUGCUUGUUUCAGUUUCUAAUAAACCUUCAUUUAUAGAAGCAAGGACACUUUCCUUAAAUUCAAAUCAAGGUAAUUAAUUGUAAUAUUUAGAAAUUAAUUUUACAAUUUUUGUUCCUCUCUUCCACUAGAUCUAAUUUUUAUUUUUUAUUUUUAUGUGUUUUCAGGGUACUCAAAGAUUUUUCCAACACUUGGAGUUGUUUGCAAAUGUUGUGAUGGAAUUGGAGGUACUUGCACUAGUACCUGGACACAAUCUUGCAAAAAUUUGAAGUGUUCACCUUGGAAAUCACACUAGUUAUUUUUUGUGAUUUUUCUAGUUUUUCAUUUUCUGUACCUAUAUAUCAAGUUUAGAAAUAUCAAUUUUAUAAAUAUGAAGUUUGUGUCUGCUAGUGGUAAUGUGAAAAGAGUGUAUUUGUAAAAAAAACUUUGUGUCCAUAAGUUUUUUUGUUUGAAUCAAGUCAAUGGGUAUAAUAAAUGAGUAUAUAAUUAUUACCACAUGUCUAUUGCAACUUGUUGAAGUUCAAAGCUAGAUCUCAAAUAAAUUGUUGUACUGUUUAAUGAUUUUUCAUUGAUGAUAAGGGAAAAUUGUGACCUUCAACUAAAGUUGACUGAAGAGUUUAGAAGGAUAAGGGAUGGAUAUCCGGUUUUAGCUGAAGAGAUGCUAUGUCUGUAAUUUUAAUUUGUUUUGGGUUUGUUGAAUUUGUACAAUUAUGAAUUGUGAAUCUUAGUCCUUGUGAGGAAUCACUUUGAUUUUCACAAAAUUAUGGUGACACCAUGAAUCGUAAGUUACACAAUUCAUGGUACUCCUUCCGUUCUAUAAUAGAUGAUUUAUUUGAAAAUAUGCACUAUUGACUUAAACAUAUUUUGACUAUAUUUUUCUACUAAUAUACGAAGAUAAAUAAUAUCAUAUAAGAUAUCGUUGAAUUCGUCUCGAUGAAUAUUUUUAAAAUAUCAAAUUUUUAUAAUUUUUUCUAAGAGAUUAAUAAAAUUAUUCAAGAUCAAAAUUGUGCAUUAGUACAUAUGACAAUGUCAGCUAUGUCACUUAAUACGACGGAGGGAGUAUAAUUAUGAAGCAUAUUUUUUUCCUUCAAAAUCACGGCGGCACCUACAUCGUGUACACUAAUUAUGCUAAUUCAAAUGUACAUACUUAUUUCCAUAGCAAAACCAAAUGGAAACUCUUAUAUCUAUUCAUUCUAAUUAUUGAAGUUUUAGUGAACUCUCACAUUGAUCAGGUUUUCGAAUUGUUAGAUGUAUAAAUGUGUUUGAAUAAUCUCACCUUUUAAGUUAGCUUUUAAGAUGAUAUCUAAACCAAUUUAACAUAGUAUCAAACUCGGAUUGAUGAUCACAAUGCAAGAAUUAGACCUAGGACCAACACUAGACAUAUAUGGCUAUUGAAGUUGUAUUGAAAUCUCACAUUGUCCAAGUUGUUGUGUUGUUGGAUCUAAGUGUGUUUAAACACCCUAUUACGGUGAGGGAGUUCAACCUAUAACCCAAAUUAAACGUGAGAGUAUGUAUUGAAGUUGUAUUGGAGUCUCAUAUUGCUCAAAUUUUUGGAUUAUUGGAUGUAUAAAUGUGUUUGAGUACCCUCGCCUUCUAAACUAACUUUUUGGAUGAAAUUCAAAUUCAUUUAACACUAACAAUAGUCUUCUUAAUUAAAGACGCCACAAUAUUUCAUUCCUAUUUUACAACUAUUAUGAGGAAAUUAUGACUCAAGACCUUGAGUUUAAAAGACCAAACUCUUACGGUAGAGUUUGCACCUUGCAAGUGAUCUUUAUUGAUGUUUAAAUAAAAAGUUUGCAAACUUCAAUACUUUUUUUUUUGAAGAAGCUAAAUUAGCCGACCCAAAUUGACAUUAAGAAGAAUCGAAUAUGAGACUUUGAGGAGGAGCACAAUCCCAAAUUCUAAGCCAAUACCACUAGAUCAACCCAAGUGGGUUGCAAACUUCAAUACUUAAAGUUCAUCGGCUACAACGAUCACGAUUCAAUGCUUAAAAAUGUAAGUGUCACAAGUAUUACAAAUUAAAACCAAUUAUAAAAAAAAAAAAAAAAAAACUAAGUUAUGGCAUUUGAAGUAAGUGAAACAAGAGUAGUCAUUUAGUAUACUUAUAAAAGGGACAGAGAAACAUUGUUAUUUUUAGAAUGGCGGAUCUCAAAUUGUUUCUCUGAAAGAGCCAAUUAUAUACAUUAAAUAUGGGUCUUCUAACACUAUGCUGGAGUGUUAGAAGACAUAGUAUGUUAUUAUGAAUGUCAAACGUAAUAUAUAAUACAUUAUUUGGACGAGUCAUGUUCAUAGAGAUACUCUGCCACAUGCAUGAGUCCUCUACUGAUGGGAUAAAAAAAAGGACUCCUUGCGGUCACAUAAUCUUAAAUUUAUAUAGUCAAGAAAAUUAGGGACAUUGAUAAAAGAUCAAAUGGUUUAACUAAAAACAAAAUUUCAAUAUCUAGAUCUUUAAUUUUUUAUGGACUGAGUAUUAGAAAUAUUGUCACUUAGUGAGUAGCUUGUUACUUUUUGUUCUAGUUUACAUUGAUCAAUAUAGUAGAGAUUUAAAUUUUUCUCUUCUCUUUUCAUAAAUGUCAUGUUUCCUAACACCGAGGUUAUCAUGUAGGCACUGCUAAUCGGAUGAAAUCUACUCCAUCCGUUUUUAAAUAUAAGCAAAAUUUACUUUUUAGGAUCGUUAAAUUAUUGAUGUAUAUGAUUUAUAAUAUGAACUACAUACAUCAUUAAUUAAAUGAACCUAAAAAGUUAAUUUUACUUAUAUUUAGAUACGGAGGGAAUAUUACCAAAGAAAAGAGGCUUGUUUUUUUUUUUUUUUCUUUCAGAAAGGGCUUUGUUAGUUGAAGGAUUGAAUCAUAAAUUAGUUCACUCAAAAGAUCCAAAAAAAAAAAAAAAAAAGAAAGAUUGAAACCUAAAUUAGCGCCAAUAUACUCAUACAUCUUAAUAUAUUGGGCUUUCGAAUAUUGGGCCCUUCUACUAAAAUUCAACGACAAUUGCUUUUAAACACCUUAAAAAUUGCUUACCUUGCGAAAGAUAGUAGGUCGGGAGUUAUUACCCAAUCAAAUUUUACACACAAAAAUAGUCAAUCGGAAGUUACGAUCCGAUCGAGUGCAAAUUUUAGGUGCUAAAGAGCAAUUGUCGAAUCCAACCCAACUCAGUGUUUGAGCGUGUUUUUACACCUUUUGGAUUAUCCACAACAAUAUCUCUUAAAAAUGGUUUUUAUGAGAAACUAUUCACAUAACUUCUCAUUUUAAGCAUUUUUUAAAAUUUUAUCAUCCACAAAAAAGGCAUAGCCCCUCAUAAUAUAAUUAUUUUAGUGUUUUAGCGAGUCUUUUACUACUCAUUUGAGGACUUUUUAUAGAUUUUAGAGUGAGUUACUUAUGAUUUAGAAAAAGAUUUAUAAUGUUUUGUUUUAGGUUAUUGUACUUCUCUUUCUUCCAUACCCAAACCACUAUAAAUGUUGAGUCUUUUUGUGUAUGAAUCAUGGAACUAAGUCAACCAGUACAUCUCAUUAAAGUUAUGGAAGCAAGAAUAUCAAGUUUAAUGAAGUUAUUGAAGUUCAAACAACUUGGAGAAUAUAUGUCCCAAGUUCAUAUCAAAGAUGAAAAGCACAUGAAAAAUGAAAAAUAAAAGAAGGGAAAUAGCCUCUGGUCUGUUCACCCCAUGCAUGCAGAAGGAAAAAACAUGAUAUAUAUAAUAUUAUAGUCUAUCAAUACAAUGUUAUUGAUAGACUUCACCUAUGUGCUAAUGAUAUUUUGGAAAAAAAAAUUCAAAUUCCUUUUUCUUAAGAAACAAAAUUAUUCUAAAAGAAGAGACAAAGCACAAGAAAAACUUAAUUUGAAGAUGUCAAUAAUCACUUAAAUUCCAUAAUGAAUAGAUAUAAAACAUUAAAUAAGUUUAUAAAGUGACGUUAGAGACAAUUUUAUAAAGUGAAUUAAGCCAAAAUAUAAAAACAUAAAUAGUAAAUCAUCCAAAUACUAGCUCAUUGGUCUAGACAAGACAAGAUUGGGGACACUCCUUGUGGGUGGAAGUGGAAAAUAGACAAAGCACGUAUACUAAGGGAUGACCCUUAGUAGUGAGAAGUGAGUGUAUUGGUGCCUUCCCAUACUCAUCCUUCAAUGUGGACCGUUGUUUUGCAAUCUUCCACUUAAUUUAUCUUGUCAUCAUUUGCUAUAUGUGAUCCAAUGGGGUCCACUUUCCAUCAUUAAUCUUGAUUAUCUACUUUAAUCAAUCACUUUAUUAUCACUCUUUUCUGAAAACUUGUUAAAUAUAAUAUCUUGAUUAGUACCUAUCUUGUGUGCUUGGAACCUAAUUUGUUGCUUAUAAUGGCCCCAUAUAUGUGUGUGAUGUUUAUCUUGUAUUUAAAUAAUUCAACAUAAUCUUAUGGGUAUGGCUCAAUUAAUAAUUUAUAUUGAAUUUGUGAGUGAGAUGACCAAUGUUUGAUUUCUCAAAUUUUUAAUGUUGUGGAAGGGCAAUGAGUGUAACUAAAUCACGAACUAAAAUUUAAUCAUGCAAUCAUCUUAAUAUGUUGCAUAAAACAUUCAUUACUUUUGUAUAUGUUUAAUCUUUAUCGAAGAAUCUAAUUAGCCAUCUUUGAGAGAAUUUCGCUUUUCAACUACAUUUUUUUAUUCAUAAAAAUCAAACCUGUGACCUUACUGAUGGUAUCAGUAUAAGUCCAAUUUCACCUCGAUGCUCUAUAAUACUAAGUUGCCAACCAUCAUAAUUGGAUUACAGUUAUUUUAUUAAAAAAAAAAGAAAACAACUCAACUCCUACAAGCUACAUGUGUAUCACAUAUUUUUAAACCUCCUUUUCCAACAUUCAAUAAUAAUAAAAAUCACUCCUAAUAAUUAUAUCAAAAUAGAAUUAUAAUUUUAUUAGAUUAUAUAUUGGACCGUCAAUAUAUUUCUAAGGACUUAAAAAUCUUCUAGAAAGGCUCAGACGUCCUCCAGAAGGGCUUCUAAGGCCUAUGCGCGUCCCCCAGAGGCACCGUCUUAGCCAGCUUCUAAAAACAUCUAGAACUGGGUGAAAAGAUCCAAAGCCUAGCUUGCUUGAGACUUAAGUCACGCUAUAACCAGCCCACAAAGGGUUGUAAAUACCACUCUUGAAAUCAUUAUCAAAACAUCACAUAAACAAACAGUCAAAACCCUAAAUUCUAUUACUGUACUUAGUGCAAGUACAUGUACUGAAAGUUACACAUUAAAGAUAAGUGGACAAAAAAAAACUGUUAAGGAUAACAAAUGAAACUAAUAGAUAUUUUAAAUUUUCACUUUAUAACAAAAACUCCUUAUCUUAAGUAUUGAUAAACCUAAAUUGCGUGUUGAAAGGCAAAUCCACCCUCGAAAAGUGUAGUUUCUUGUUUGAAGACAAAUAGAAUUUAGAAACAAUAGGAUGAUCAUUGGUAAAGAAUGGAAAUGGGAGAAAGAAAUUAAAAGAGAUGAAAGAUGGAAAGUUUAACAUAAAUAUGUCAAUAAUUUUGAUUAGAGAAGUGCACUAACACAUUUUAACAGUCUACUUUCAAAAAUAGCAACCAACACACACAGUGACUCAUUUUUGACAAAUAAUUAAAUCCUUAAUAAUGAUUUUAGAGUUCAUUCUCAACUUUGUUUUUGAUACAGCCAAAAGCGGUCCAUUUUAUUGGUAAGUAAAACUUUUGCUUUAGACCUAAAGAACAAAUUACUAUUUAAUAGUACUAUUAACUUUUUUUAGAAAAUAUCUAUGAUAGUUUUGUAAAAUAGUCCAACUUAGAACUCUAACAACAUUAUUGACUAUUUUCCAAGAAAUCUCUCAUAUGCCAGCUGUGAUUGAGUUAACUGAAAGUAAUUAGUCUUUUACCAAGUAGGAAAUCAAAAUUCAAAUUCUAGUACGAUAUGAUGUUCAUAUUUAACGUCUCUCUAACAUGAUUAGUUGAGGGGGACAUGUGCAGAAAAAAAGGAGUCUCUCGUGAUAAUAAAACAAGUUCAUUUUAAAGUUCUCAUAGUCUUGCUUUAAAGAAAAAAACCAAAGGUUCUAUUAACUAAGAUCUUUUGUUCGAAUUCAACUUUAAGCAUGCAACAACAUUAAAAUUUAAUGGACAAGUCUCACAAAAUUCGAUGGAGUAGUCUCACAGUUCUACGUCGAAGAUGUCCAAUUUACACAAAAAAACAGAUAUUAACAAAAAGGUCAAAUUUUAAACUUUUACUUUCGUAAACAAAUCUCUUCUAAAAUCUAUUUUAAAUACAAGUUUGAAAUUGAGUUGGAUAUUCUUUACAUACUUUCGUAAACAAAUUUCUUCUAAAAUCUAUUUUAAAUACAAAGUUUGAAAUUGAGUUGGAUAUUCUUUACAUACAUGAAUAGAACGAAGUUACUAAUUAAAGAUUUGGUGUAAACGUGAGUUUAAUUGCUUGAAAACCUCGAAGCAAACACACUAAAUCUAACUCAUUUUUAAAUCGGUCCAGGUAUCAAGGCCGAUUUAAAAACUAGAUAACAUACUUAUAUGAUUACAACCACUAAUAAAAUUCAUUAAUUUAAAGCAUACAAACAUAUAAGUACUUAUCAUGUAAUUGUUUAAAAUAUCACAUUAUUUAAAUUUUUCUUCUUUUACCUUUUUGUCAUUUAUAUAUAUAUAUAUAUAUAUAUAUAUAUAUAUAUAUAUAUAUAUAUAUAUAUGGAUUUGCUAGAUCGCACCCACUAGUUUUUAUGUGGAAGUGUUUUAGCAAGCUAGGUGUAUUUAACCACUUUUUAGUUAUAACUUGUUAAAACACACCUUCUAAAAAAAUAAGUAGGUGUAUUCUAACAAAUGCCUAUAGGAGUUGCUAACAUACACACACUUAUUUUUUAGAAGGAGUGUUUUAACAAUAUUCACCUUAAGGUGUAUUUAACAAUUUUUUAGUUAUAUCUUUGCUAAAACACACAUUAAUAAAAAGGCUUAAUUGCAUUUUUGGACCCCUAUCUUUUCAAAAGUUGCGGUUAUGGACCCUUAAUUAAUUUAAAUACAAAACAGCCCCCUAUGUUUGGAUUCUUUAGCAGUUUUGGACCCCAAGGAAAAAUAAAAAAUAAAAAAAAUGACACGUGGCACCUCACUUAGGGUGCCACGUCAGCGUUGACCGAGUCAACAAUGGACUGGGGGUCCAAAACUACCAAAGAAUCAAAACAUAGGGGACUGUUUUGUAUUUAAAUUAGUUAGGGGUCCAUAACCGCAACUUUUCGAAAGAUAGGGGUCCAAAAGUACAAUUAAGCCUAAUAAAAACUAAUGAGUGUAUCCUAACAAACCCCAUAUAUAUAUAUAUAUAUAUAUAUAUAUAUAUAUAUAUAUAUAUAUAUAUAUAUAUGUAUAUAUAUGUAUGUAUGUAUAUAUGCUCAAAUAAAAAUUGUUUAGAGUUGUGAUCUAAAUCAUAUAUGGUAACAUUAUCCUUUGUUUAUCUUUUUAUGAGUAUGCCUUUUUCAAAUACUAAAUGUAGACUUUGGGUCCCUGUCAUUUCCUCAAAAUGGCUUUCCUUCUCCAACUGUCAUUCCAUUCUUUUCCUAUUCAAUGACUUAAUACAGCAACAAAUCUAAACCAUUUUAAGUUGGUAUUGACGAAGAGCAAAGAAAAAUCAUUCAUUUUGGGUUCAACAUUAUAAAAAGAUAAGAUCACAUAGCAUAUGGUCGGGGUUAGGUGAGGUCAUUCUCUAACUUAAUUUAAACGUACUUUUGACCCCUUAACUUUAUACUAGUUGCGAUUUUGGCUCCUUAUUAAAAAAAAUCACAUUCGCUUCCUAAGUUUCCUUUUUGUUGCAAAUUUCAAUUUUGAUAAUUUAAAAUCAACCAUUCAAGAACGUAGAAGUUCAAGAAACCAGUUUCAAGACAUAAUCUUUGCAUUAUAAAUCUAAAACUUACUCAACAAAACACCCCACUUGUUUUUAAUGUCUUGAAUGGUUGAUUUUAAAUGAUCAAAAUUGAAAGUUGCAACACAAGGAAAACUUAGGGGGGCUGGAAUGUGUUUUUUUUAAUAGGGGACAAAAAAUGCAACUAGUGCAAAGUUAGGGGUCAAAAGUGUUUUUAAGUCUGCUUUAAAUUGUAAAUUCUCUCUUUUUUUUUUCCACGAAAAAACUUGUGACAUAAAAAUAUAAUUGAAAUAAAAAUAUUAAUUUUAAGCAUGAAUGAAAAAGUUUUUUGUGUGUGAUUAUAUUGGGAUUCUCCUAAUACUUAAUGAGACGUAAAUAAAUUCUAAUUACAAUUCAUUGAAAAAAGUAGAGAUCUUUUUUAUUUAAAUAACAGUAUUUUAUAUAACUUUAUUUAAAAUUCACGUUUAUGGCCUUUUUAGAUGCAAGGCCACUUAUGAUCUCUUUGUAGAAUCAUGAUAAGAGAAUGAGAUAUACGAAUCAUAUGCGCUGUUCAAUUUGAUGAAUGAGUUAGAUAGAUUUCAUAUCAUGUUUUUGGGUGCAAAAUGUCAUGUAUUUUUUAGUGCAAAAAUAUCAUGUUUUUUCAUUGUACAACGUAAAACCACAACGAACAUAACCUUUUUAUUUUUUUUAUUUUUUAUCGUAUAUAACAAAAUAUUAUGAUAUUUUGUAACAAUGUUAUGUUUAACUCUUUUUUCUCUAAAAAAAACAAUGUUAUGUUUAACAUUGUUAUAUAUUUAUAAGUAAAUUACACUCCUCUCCCCUGAAAGAUGCUUGAAUUACACUCCUCUCCCUGAAAGAUGCUUGAAUUACACUCUCAUCUCUUCCUAUGUUAAAAUAUACACUCCUUUCACUUGCAAUAUAAAAUUUAUACUCCCCUCCCUUAUAAGAUGCUUGAAUUCCAAUCCCCUCCCUUAAUAAUUAAAAAUGCUCUACACUUUAAUCUAUUUAACAUAAAUACAUAUUUUUAUGAUAUAUUUUAAUUUUGAACCACCAUUUUAAAAAAAAUCAUUUCUUUAUAAUUUAAAUAUCAAUGAUAGUUAAAUUUUAAUAUUUUUCUAUUGAUUUUAUAAUUUAGAGUACGAAAUUAACUUUUAAAGAACCCUAAUUUAAUGUCUUUAGUCAUUUUUUACAUAUUUUAAUUUUAUUUUGGGUUGUUUCAUUUUAUAAUAGGGUUUAAAACUACAUGUUCAUGAAAUUGUGAAUAAAAAAUAGCGAAAAAUAUGUAUUCAAUUUUUUAUUAUAUUAAAAUAGACCCAUAAUACAAUUUUUUUCGAAGUGUGUUAGAUUAUUAUUAUUUUUGCUAGAUUAUUAGAAAUAAAAAAAUAUUGAGGGAGUAAAGUGUAGAUUUUAUUAUAAGAGGGGAGAAGAAUGUAAUUCAAGCUUCUCUGAGGGGAGGGGGUGAAAAAUUUUCUAAUAUGUUUUGAAUAAGAGGGGAGAUGAUUGUAUAUUUUAACAUAAGAGAUGAGAUGAGUGUAAUUCAAGCAUCUUAGAGGGGAGGGGAGUGUAAUUUACUCUAUGUUUCUAUAUUUAUUUAUAUCUUAAAAAUGCAUGAAUACAUUGUGUUUUGUAAGAAUCUUACACUUUCACACUACCAAAAAAAAAAAAAAAAUCUUACAUUCUUUAACCAAUUACAUAUAUUCUAUUUUCUCUAAAUCAAAAACUUUUUCAAUAUAGUUUUGUUUCUUGGUCCUAAAAUUAAGUUUAUAUUAGUAGUCCUUAAAACAAAGUUUAUAUUAUUAGUAUAAUUAGUUUGGGAUUUGUUGUCAAAUAUGUGAUUUUUUUUUCUUCCAUUUAUUGGGGGAUUUUGCUAUAAAUUUUUUCUCUAUAUUUGUCUCGCCAAUUUAAAUUUCCAUAUUUUGUCUAUACUGAAAAUGAAAAUUAUCUUAUUCUUUGUAGCAUCAUGAUUAUAGAAUGAUUCGUAUGAAUCAUACAGGUUAUUAUUUUAUUUUUUUUGGUACAAAAUCAUACAAGUUAUUAACUUUGAUGAAUGAGUUAUAACACAUUUAACAUCAUGUUCUUUUUGGAUACAUAAUUUCAUGUUUAAGUCAUUGUAAAUCAUAUAUUUUUAACAUUUCUAUCUAUUAUUUGCAUCUUAAAAAUGGAGAAAUACAUCAUGCUCUCCAUAAAUCUUACAUUAUUUUACUAGUUGUAUUUGUAUAUACUAUAUAGUCAAUUCUUUCUCUUUAAAUAAAAACCUUUCCAAUAUAGCUAUCUUUGUUGGUCUUAAAAUUAAUUUUAUAUUAUUAUUAUUAUUAUUACUAUUUUUUUGAAUUUUCUUUCGAAUAUGUGAUUUUUUUUCUUUUCAUUUACGGGUGGAUUUCGUUAAAAAAUUUGUUAUGGAGUAACCUACCAAUUUAAAUUUCCAUAUUUAUCAAUUUAGAGAAUUAAAGUGGUGAUUUUUUUUAAGUAAAAGAAAAAAUAAUAUUAAAUAAAAAGAAAGAUAUAUCAAAACCGGGUGACAUUAGACCUGACCCAGAUACAACUCAAAUGGGGAUAAAUGGCGAUAAAACAGACCAAGUGUAUCAUAACCAUUUUAAGUUAAUAGAACCAGACCUUUCAGAUUUAUGAAACCGAACCACUACAAAAGAGGUCAAAUUCAUUACCACCCAAUCUCUGAACAAGAACAAAAACACAAGUAACAACAAACAACACAAUAACAAAAUUAUCAAAACAAAAACAGAAACAAGAUUAUCAGAUGGAAGAAACCAGAUAACAAAGACCUUGAAUAGUGACGAGGACAUGAACCAAAAAGGAAACGCACGCGACACCCUAAAGAUUUGGCAACCGACCCACCACCCAGAAAUCCACCUGCCACCACUAGGAAGCACCAGCCACCAAGAAGCAAGAAGACACCAAUGAAGGAUCCAAGGAAUAAAGAAUGGAGAUCAAUAAUUCAUAUAAGAUUUUUGAAGACAAUAAAAGUUGGGAAAAAUUCAUUUGAAGUUUCAAAGGCAUUUCAAAACGGAAGAACACUAAGAAAAGGACGAAAAACUUCAGAAUCCGCAUUUGGACUACUGCCUCAUUCCCCCUGUGCAUGGGUGACCUCAGGGAUGCCUGAUCCGCCCAUGCGCCCCAAGCCAUGCUCCUUUGCGCAUAUGUCCGGGUAAAAUUCACUUUUAACUUGUUUUUCAAGCUGGAUUAAAGGGAAAAACACAAUUCUUAUCUCUUAAACUUCAAGUAAUGAUGCCUUUAAAUAAAGACCAUUACGCACACUUUUAUUCAUUCAGAAAGUUAAGGUAAGGGUAAAAAAUUAGAGCUUCAAGGCAUAAAGUUUUCUACUGCUUUUGUUAGAGAUGGGGGAGUAUGUUUUUAUAUUAUUCUGUAAUGAUGUAUGUCACUAUGAGCAACCAAACCUCUUUCAAUUAGGGUUCUACGUUGAAUCUCUAUUUAUUUGUUGGAUUCAAUUAAUAAAGUUUCUACUUAGUUUAUAAUUCAAUUGCUUGAUUUAAUUUGUAUAUGUUUCAUUUACAAGGCCGGACCUUGGGGGGGUGCAAACCGCUCAAUGGAACUAGACCUCCCCAAGUUAUGGGCCUAAAAAAAAAAAAAAUUCCCAACAGUACUACCCCACUAAAAAAGAUUUCCUUAUACGGUAGUGAUUUUUAUCUUUAGGUGUACCGCAUAUAUGCGGCACCUUGUAUUUAUCUUUUAAAAAAUUUAAUUAGAACAUUGUUCUUUUUAAAAAAAUACAUUUUUAUUUUUUUACGGGCCUCUUUUCACUUAUAGAGCUGAGCCUCCAAAUUCGUAGGAACGGCCCUGUUCAUUUACAAUGCUUUUCAACUAGCGGUUCACAUGAUGUAUAAGCUAAGGUAUAAGACUGACUAUCCUAUCGAUGCCCGAACAAGAACAAUAGUAAAUUGCUUAUUUUCUUAAACAAAUUCUUUUAAUUGAAUAUGAGCAUGAUUGCUGAAUACUCGAACUUUCCACCGUUUCAUCAUGAGGUCAUAUAAGAGCUUUCAUUUAUCAAGGCAAGAUCAUAACUAAUAGUAAACUGAGUUAAUUCCAACAACAAACGUAGAGAGUAUUCAAUGGUAUCUUAAUCGCCGUUAUUCAUCUUAAUCAAAUAAACCUAAUCUCGCAUUGUGCAAAACAAUUCAAAAGUUGCAAAACAAAAUCAUAAACUCUUUUUUUUUCUUCUCGCUUUUAUAAACAAAUAAACUUCGUUAUUUGCUAAGACAUCCUUAUUAAUUGUACUUCUUAGAGUAGUUAAGUGGAAUAUAAUUCAAUAAAUAAGUGUAUAUUAGUGAAAAAAAUAUAAUAAAUGUUGCAUUAAUAUUCUAAAAUAACAAUUAUUUUGAGAUAUAGAUAAAAUACUAAAGCGGCAAUUAAGAUGAGAUGGUAGUACUAUGUACAUCUUUUUAUUUUUUUUGGUGUAAAUUGGAAAUUCCAUUUGCAAAUACUAAUUCUACGAGUCUUGUGAAAUUCAAAUGAGUUACAAAUUCUUUCAAAAAAAUUUAACGUUGUUACAUAUCUAAAUCAAGAUAAAAUCCGAAACUUUAGUUAAACUAAAAGAGACUAAUACCAUCGCUAAAGUUCUUGAGAUGAAUCUAGUGUCACAGUCAUCAAUUAAAUCAUCACCAUUAAUAUUGUCUAGUGAAGUGGUUGAUGCGUAAAGUACUAAGAUAUGUGAGUUUUCUAAACUUGAGAAAUCGAAUUCUGUUACAUAAAAAAAAAUUUAAUAGCAGUUUUAACUCCCUAACUUUUUUAAUGUUACGAUUUUGGCCUCUUAAGAAAAAAACUACAAAACGCCCCCAAAGUUUUGCAUUUGUGACAGUGUUGGCCCCAAGGCCACUUUGACUCGGUCUACGCUGACGUGGUACCGUAAGUGAGGUGUCACAUGUUAUUUUUUUUAACAUAAAUUGGCCUUAGGUGCCAAAACUGCUACAGUUGCAAAACUUAGAGGACGGUUUUGUAGUUUUUUUUUUCUUCUUAAGGGGCUAAAAUCGCAACUUCGUAAAAGUUAGGGGACGAAAGCUGCUAUUAAACUAAAAAAAAAAAAAUCAUAGAACCAUUAAAAAAUCAACAUGAAAGUUUGAAGUUUUUUCACAAGAAAAUCAUAUCAUAUUUUACCUCAUUAGAACCAUUAAAAAAUCAACAUGAAAGUUUGAAGUUUUUUCACAAGAAAAUCAUAUCAUAUUUUACCUCAUGAAUGAUGCCUAUAAAUAAAUGGGUAUGACCAAAGGUUACUCUUACCCUAUCUCUCUAUCUAUCUCUCUAGUCUACAACCUUUUCACGUGUCUCUCCUUUUCAAACUUCUGUUCUCUUCUGACCUUCUUUCUUCACUCUGUUUGUUUCCUAGGAAAAGCAAAAAACCUCAUUUGCAAACUUGUUUAUAGUGGCGGUGGUUAAUGUUUCUUUGUUGGUUUGUCUUUACAUAAAAGUCUAACAUUGUUUCAAGUGUUGAAGCAAAAAAAUGGAAGGAAGGAAACAAUUUGGUUCUUCUUCUUCUGAAACUUCUUCUUUCACUUCUGAACUCUUUGGUUCCAAUGACUUGCAUAAAUCCUCUGCUUCUGGAAUUUUUGACUCUAUUUUCUCUCCAUCUUCCAAGGUUUUUUUGUGUUUGUUUUAGUUUGACUUUGUAAACUCUAAUUCAAUGCAUUUCUCAGUUGUUUGUUAUGUACUUAUAUUUCUACUAUGUAUUAUAAUCUAUGAAGCAUAGAAACGGAUACUGGACACGACACGAACACUGACACAACUUAUAAUUUGAGAAAAUCACAUAAUUCAAUAACCAUACGUGUCAGUGUCGUGUUGGUGUCGGACAUCGAGACACGCCUAAUCCGAGAAGUGUUCCUGUUUCAUAGAUCAUUAUUGCAUAGUUUAAUUAUCAUUAUGGUUUUGUAUAUGUAUAUGGAUUUGUGUUGAAGUAGUUUUGAGAUUUUUAUGGUAUGUGAUGAUUUAGGUAUUUGGAAGAGAAUCUCUGCGCUCAGCAAUGAAUGGAAAAACUGCCACUGAGGGAUCAAACUCCAAAAUUGAUACUCAAGGUUGAUAUUCUCUGUUUAUGCAUCUCUACUUAAAAUAUUUGCAUGUUAUAUCAGUUGUUUGUAAUAUUCCAAAAUGAGGUUUUGAUAAAAUCGCGUGUUGUCAAAUAAUAGACGUAGCCGAAUUUGAACAAAUAGCUAUUGUUCUGUGAUAUGCUAGUUAGUACAAACUGUUGUCGAAUAAUAGCUAUAGCACUAUAGGGUAGCAGAAUUUAAACAAACCACUAUUUUCCGCGAUUGACAAUACCGACAAAAUCACAUAGUAGCACUAGCACGUUUCUUGUUGGCCCUAUUUUCCUUGAUCUUAAUGUUUAGUGUUAGUGAUUCAAUUCUCACUAAAUUCUAUUAUAGCUGUUGAUUGAUUUAUUAAGUACCAAAUAGUAUAGUUUGUAUAAGGGUUUAUUAAUGCUUUUUUUUUCAUUGUCUUGUCCUUGUUCUCAAUGUAGAGUACAUCAGUAAGGGAAAUGAUGGUGAAACUCAGAACAAAACAAAUAAGGAUAUGAGCUAUAUUUAUCAAGAACAAAGGGUGCAACCAUGUCACCUUAGCUCAUCAAUCUAUUAUGGUGGCCAAGACGUAUAUUCUCGUCCUCAGAGUGCACGAGAUUCAGGAUUGAACACUAUGGUAAUUGCAUUUAUUAAUAUAAUUUGUGUUUAUAAUAUGUUCGACAUUGUAUAAACAACUUAACCAACAUUGGUAUAGAUGUGCGUCUGAAAACACCAUUUCUACUAUAAUCCUCGCUAACUCAAAUAAAAUGUAACAUUUUUUUUAAUGAUAGAAUGAGUUAACUUGGUAUAUACUUCAAGACAGAAUAUUAAGCCUAAUGGCUAGGCUGAUUUCUGAAUCAAACAACCGUGCUUUUUGAUCGAAUAAUGGUACUUUUUCUAUGGCUCGGAAUGACUAACAUGAUUUUUACUUUAGCAGUACAAGAAAGAUGGAGGAGAGGAUGAUUCAGGAAGCGCAUCAAGAGGAAACUGGUGGCAAGGUAAGACAUAUAUUGUCUAAUAAAUUUGUGGUGUAAACCUUGCAGUCGGCUUCGGUGUCAUGAAUUUCUCACCAAUUUCCUAUGCUGUAACUUGUCUAUAAACAGGAUCUCUCUAUUAUUAAAAGAGUACACUUGCCUAGGGAAAUAUGAUCCUCAAGGUAUACGAGUUUCUGAUCCAAAUGGUAACCAAAAUACGCGAUUAGCUUGCAUUCAUUAAAUUCUUAAAUUUAUGAUUCGGCGAAGUGGAUUUCAAGAGGACUAUGAAAGGUUUGAAAUCAACUUGGCCAAAUCAGAAAUUUAGUAUGUACCUAUAAUUUACGGAUUUGGAUUUCCUGAUGCCACGAGCCCAUGCAAUUUGGAAAUUUACGCUGCGCGAAUGUGCGAUUACUUGACUACAGGGAAUCCAAAUCCGUGAUUAACAUAAUCUUGACCAUGUUUUCAAACUGCUAGGUAAGAUGUGUUAUUAAUCUGUUGUGUGUAUUUUUGCAGAUAAAUAGGAAGAUAUUGUGACCAAGUUGUCCAUCUUUAGUAACAUGGAAGGAAACAUUGUACUGCAGUGACAAAGUUUUGAAUGGCUAGUUGCUUUUUCCAGCCAAACAAAAGAAUCACAAUAUGAACCUAUAGUUAUAGUUAUUAUAUACAUAUUUCAUUCUAUUUUCCUGUACAGAAUAAUGUACCUAGUCAUGAUAUUGUAUAAGUUGUAUGGUAUAGUAUAGGAAUAUGUAUCAUCAGGUACUUUUAUGUGGCUGAUGCUAGCUUUUGUAUUAAUGGGUGAAGCUCUAUUUUUAGUGGUUUCCCCUAUAUUGUAAUUUGUAUUUUAUAUAUUUACUUUAUGAGUGUAAUUUUAUGAGUAUAAUUCCCUAUAGUUUAUUAGUAUUUUGUUCUUUAAUAUAUGUACUUUUUGUUAAAUAAUCAUGAUGGUGGCAAAAACAAAUCUCAAUAGUUUUAACUUGCUUCAUUUUUGAAUUUGUAUUAUACACACCCACUUCUGAUAUGCAAUUUUGUAGUUGUAGAAGCUUUUUGAUUAUAUAAGUAAGAUAAACUGUAAAAAAAAAAAAACUAUAUAAGUAAGAUAAGUUUCUUUUCAAGUUAUAAUCAUCAAUCAAGUCUUAAAUUUUUUGUAGAGGUUAUACAUUUUGAUCUUUGAAACUAAGAUAACCUAAUAAUCAUUUUGAAAAGCAUAAUGCUGGAUCUCGCGAGUCGCAGGAUCACGAAUUUGUCCUGAACAUGCAUUUUCAAUUUCUCUAUCAUGUUAAAAUUUCACUCUUCUCCGUGUAUUGUGCAAAAACAAGCAUUUUAAUUGGUCAAUACUUUAUUCUUCUUGAGUUCGGGACAAUUUCUUUCCCUUUAAAUAACACUGCUCUUUUGAUAAUUUAAAACCAUCAAUGACUGAAAUUGACAUUUUAAAAAAGGUUAGUAUAAUUAAUGACUUAUUAAUCAUUGCGUUGGUAUUUAAGUGUGAAUGGUAGUCUCACAUCGAUUAUGAAAGAGUUUAAUAUUAAAAUAUAUAAGCAAGGUGAUUUAUAUAUUCAACACCUUAAAGUUUUGAAUAAGAAUGUUGUGUCAAAGUCUAAUGGUCAUCCUAAUGAUUUGGCUCGUUGUGGCUCUCAUCAUUCCCACAACAUUCCUAUAAAUAGGAUCAAUUCCUACAUUUUUUUUUUAACUAGGAAUCUUAGCAUGGUUUACGUACUUAUGAUUCUUGCAGUAAGCAUCUUUUGGUGAAUUUUCUCCUUUAAUCACUAAGAAAACCAGCUGAGAAUCAUAUGUGAACAAUGUGAUAUCCAUGUAUUUUUGUUUUUUGACACACUUAAAUUAAUUAUCUAGUUUAUACCAUCGCUAUAUAUUCUUGAGUCAUUUUUAGCUACACAUUCACGGGUUGUAGAUGAUGUAGUACUACUAAGAAUAAUAAAAUAUUCUUGAAGAGUGUCAAAAGUUAUAGAUUCAUGAACCAUCUUUAUUACACUUCAUGAAAGCCAACAAAAUUUCCACACAAUCCUAUAUAAGUUAUAAAAUCCUUCAAAGAUAGUGUGGUCCACACCCUAUGAAACAUAAUUAUCUAGAAACAUGUAACACAGUUGGUUACUAACGGUCUUGUCCACUCUAGUUCUUAUCCUAGCCAGUUUCUAGAAAAUAUGCAAUUGAUUUACAUCGAUUCUUUUCUUAUCUUACGAGUUUCUGACAUGCUAUAUGCAUUUUAGAUUAUAUAAUCUGAACGGUAUAAAUAGCAUAAAUUUUUUUAAAAAUACGUUGAAAUAUUUUGGAUUUUAGCAUUCGAAUAGCGCGUAAGAGAAACUCAUAAAAUAUAAAAAAUAAUCAUCAUUUAUUUAUUUAUGUAUUGUAUGUCCAAAACAUGAUCCAUCUCAUCUAUAUUCAUCAAUGGUGGGACAAAUCCUGUAGCGGUUUCUGUGCAUGAUUGUUAAGAUUUUCUACUUGUUUUUUUUUUUUUUUCUUGGUACAAUGUUAACAUAAGUAUAGUACUUGAUAGAUAUACAACUACUAUAGUUGAGCAUAUGUACUAAAAACGUCUUGCUGAUGCAUGGGAACUCUAAUAUUCACUACUAGAAAAAACAAAAUUAGCGAGGGAAAUUAGUGACGGAAAAAAUGAAAUUUCUCACAAAUUCCUUGGUCGUAAAAUUUAGUGACGGAAUUAGAGAGGGAUUUUACAUUUUCCCUCACUAAAUUUCCCUCACUAAAUUUAGUUUUUUUUAGUAGUGAUUCUUCUUUUUCAAGUAAAAAUUUAGGUCAAAAUUUAUUCGAUUUUGAUCUAUUCGUUUAUGAAUUCCUGGGGUCCCCUCUUGUAUGGUGCAAUAGACGUAGGGAACGUCAAAUUUUCUUUUUAAAUUAACGAUUUUUACGGCCGUUGCACCGUCAAGUUGUAGGUGGACCAAUUCAAAGGUCUUCUUCAUUUCUUGAUUUCCUUUAUCAUUUUACUCUUAUCUUAUAUGCUGCAAAAGCAGGAGGGUGGAAGAAGAUCCAAAUACGUAUAAAACUACUUUUUAUAGACUGUUAAACCAAAUACAUGCUAGAAUUUCCCUGAUUCACUCUUGAUAUUAGUUUGCUAAGGAGUGUUCAAGGGAGUAGAAAAUGUCUUUCUCCUUUGUUUGCAUGGAGGGGAAGAGAAAGAUUAUAGUUUUUGAGAAAUUUGAGAGGGAAGAAAAAAUGAUAGGCAAUUGUUGCAUUCUCUUCCAAAAUUGAGAAAUUGAUUUUGUUAGAACAGUAACUUGAUACCGAAGACAAACGAAAUGAUAAUACACAAACAAUGAAACACAAUGUUUGGUAUUGAAGUUCAACCAAAUAUGUCUAUCCGACUACAAAACAAUUGUAGUCAUGUAUUAUUAUCUCUAAAUAAAAUUAGGGUUUACGCACUUGAGCCAUACCUAGCAAAUUUAAAUUUUGUAAACUAAGUGGACUAAAUUAUCGUUAUCUAUUUUAUUUUAUAAUUUAAAAAUUUUCCUUGCUAAUCAUAUCAUAAACUUCUAUUACCAUCUCUUCACAUAAGCCAACUCUAUCCUUCUCCAAAGGCCAUCAUAUAAAAGAUAUAUUCAUAUCCUUCCCUUUUAUCUUUCACACCAAACAAGGAUGAAAUAUUUAAAGAUGUUAUUCCCGGUGGCUAAGCCCGAAAUUAAACAUCAGGGGACCAUGAAAAGACGACAACAUUGAUAAAAUAUAGUGAAUGUUGCUCUAUGAAGUAUGGACACAAACACAGACAUCGAAUACGACACGGAUAAUAAUUUGAUAAAAUGAUAUAAUUUAGUGUAAUCAUAGGUGUCGUGUCGGACACCGACGCGUGUCAGACACGGGACACGCCUAAUCCGAUAAGUGUCUGUGCUUCAUAGAUGUUGCUCUUUAAACAACCUCUAAUUGAGAGAAAAAAAAUCCAACUAUGGAUGGCUGAGAGGCCGUUAACUGUUGCUCACCCAAAAAAACGGUAGUUAAGUGGCAACAUUUUUUAGAUCGGUUCAAUCACUUUUUAAAUCAGUUUAACUGAUUGGUAGUUAAUUAUCGUUAGAAGUAUUUGUGUUGGUUCAGAGUGUUUGAGAACAAACCAAGGGUAAAGAGCAAUUUCCUAAUAUAUUUUGCAUGCUAAACAUUGGUUGGGCAUAAUAAUUUGCUUAUUUUGUUAGGCAUCAUGCAAUGUUAUUUAAGUAAAAAAAAUAAAAAAUUCUCAUUCUACCACUCUUUUUGUCCAAUUUUCAUCUCUCAUUAUUUUGUUAAGCAUCAUGCUAUGUAUUUAGUUAGGUCUUGGAAGCUCAUCUGGUUCAGAUAGUCUUAAGGUUCAAAGAACAUUUAUCAAGCUACUUCCAUCUUAUUUGGUCACAAGAUCAUCACAUCUGAAGCACGAUCCAAAAUCAAGUCUUUUUAGAAUUUGAGACGAAUCUUUAUCGACUGUGGUAAUUACCGGUAAUUGAAAUAUGAUGUUAAAGCAUCCAUUAUAAAUUUUUACUAGGAACAUAACAUAAAACACUUGUUUUAUUCAGGGUUUACACCACUGAGCUACUAGCUCUUAUCCACGCUAUAACCAACAAGAAAGUUACAAUACACCAUAGUGUGUUUGUGUGCUAUGUUUUUCAGCUUUUUGAAAAACUUUUAAUCCUAGCCCUUGGUUUUAUUUUGGCCAGAUGUCACACAUCCAUGAUGGUAAAUGGGAUAAAUUGAGCAAAGGUAAAAGAAGCAAAGAUGCACUCGUAGUUUCUAACAGCAUCAAUGGAUAUCCCAUUUAUGUUUGUUUUCAUCAACAACCUCAACUUUUUCAAGGAAGAGUGUAAGCUGCAAAGUUCAUGACUUUACAAGAGGAAUUAGCAUAUUUGAUCAAUAAAAAAAAUUACAAAAAGCAAAACAGAUAUUAGCAACAUGCUAUUUGACAUGUUUAUUAGGCACAAAAUUGUUUCAACUUCCACAAAAGAAAAUAGAUUUCCUGCAAAAAAUAUUGUUACUUUUAAUGAAAUUAUUUAUUUAUUUCUUUUCCUGUGACUCUUAACUAUAUUUAUUAUCUCAUUUUACGGUAUUACUGACAAAACAAUAAUUAAUAGUAUUACAUUAAACUUUAAAAACAACAAGUAUAUACAAACAAAUUUGUUCCUAAAAAACGGCAGCUUAAAAGAAACUGAGGGAGUCGUUGGUUAUUUACGCCCACACUUGUAACCGACAGGGCGAUCAGCAAGGUUGCAACGCUUAGGGAUAGUACUAGCAAUUUGAGGGUUAACACCAGACAUUUUAGCAACGUUUGAGAGCAAAACAGCACAAAGACAACUUGGAUUCUGACCAAGUUUCUUAACCUGAGCACAAGGAAUUAGCUUAAAAGCUUCAUUGUCUAUCAAUUUUGUAACAUGGAAAACUUGUGCUGUAGUGACGAAGUAUUGGAUGGCUAGUUUCUUUCUCCAACCAAACAACAGAAUCACAAUAUGAAACUAUAGUUAUAUACAUAUUUCUUUGCAUUUUCAUGUACAGAAUAACGGUAUAAGUUUUAUGGUAAAGGAAUAUGUAUCAUCAGCUACCUUAAUGUGGCUGAAGCUAGCUUUUAAAUUAAGGGGUAAAGCCCUAUUUUUAGUGCUUUCCCCUUUAUGUAAUUUUCAUUUCAUAUGUAAUGACUGAAGAAAGUGGGAGCCUUGGCGCAGUCGGUAAAGUUGUUGUCGGAUUCAAAUCUUGGAAACAAUCUCUUGUGUAAAGGACAGAGUAAGGUUGCGUACUAUAUACGAAUUGGGGGACCCCUUCUCACGCCCUGCGUAUGAGGGAACUUUAAAAAUUAUCUAAUUUAUCUCAUUGCUAUAUAUUCUUAAAUCUUUUUUUAGCUACACACAUUCACGGGUUGUAGAUGAUGAAGUACUACUAAGAAUAAUAAAAUAUUCUUGAAGAGUGUCAAAAGUUAUAGAUUCAUGAACCAUCUUUAUUACACUUCAUGAAAGCAAACAAAUUUCCACACAAUGCUACCAGUUAGAAAACUCUUCAAAGGUGUAGUGUGGUCCACGAUCUAUGAAGCAUAACUAUCUAGAAACAUGUACAAAACAGCUGGUUAACUAACUUGUCCACUCAAUUUCUUAUCCUAAGUUUCUAGAAUUCAAGCCUAUGUUUAUUUAAUUACUAUGUCCAAAACUUGUCCUCUCCUUCCACUUUCUCUUACACACCAAAUGUCAUUCUUUUUUAAUGUUAUUGAUGCAAAGUAUCUAUCAAUUUUGUCAAUGACUAAUCUCCAUCAGAAAAUCUGAACAAUCAUCUUUAAUGAGAUCUCUCCUCCUAACCAUUUAUUUUUCUAUCCACAAGACUUCGCUUAAAGGAUCCGAGUUCAAUCCCCACUCAAACAAUGUAGUGUAUUUUUUAACAAGUUUUACAUCAACAACGAUAUUCAAAAUCCGAUUUUUGUGAGAUCUAAAUUAAAUCCAUACCAACUAUAUUAAAUAGUAAUUGAAAUAUAAUGUAAAAGCAUCCACUAACUUUUUUUGGCAGGCACAUAAAAUAAAACACUGAAAGUGAAACUGUUUUAUUCAUGAGGGUGUACACAAGUGAGCUGCUAGCUCUUAUCCACACUAUAAACAAACAAGAAAGUUACAAUACAACACAACUAAGUUGUGGUGACCAUAAUAGUAGCUAACAGCAUCAAUGCAUAUCCCAUUUAUGUUUGUUUUCAUCAACAACCUCAACUCUUUCAAGGGAGAGUGUAAGCUGCAAAGUUCAUGAUUUUACAAGUAGAAUUAGCAUAUUAAUGUACCAAGAAAAAAGACAUAUAAUUAAAACAGAUAUUAGCAGCAUACUUACAUGACAUUUUUAAGGCGUAAAUAUGUUUCUAGUUCUUUUUUUUAGCUAAAGCCCACACAUUUUAAAUAUGGAGAAGUGGGGUGUCUGAGGUUCGAAUCUCAGCCCCUGCAUAAAAUAUGCAAUAUCCCUACCGAUUGAGCUAAGCUCACGGGGAUAUAUAUUUCUAGUUCUAUAAAAGAAGGUAGACUUUUAGCAAUAUUUUAUUUUUACUUUUGAAAGAAUUAUUUAUCUUUCUAUUUUCUAUAAUACUCUUAACUAUUUAUAGUUUUAUUUCACUUAAAUAGUUAAAAUCAUUACUGAAAAAACAAUAAUUAAUAUCUUGCAUUGAGCUUUGAAAACAAUAAAUAAAUACGAACAAUUUUUUUUACAAAAACGACAGAGAGUAGUUAGUAACUUACGUCCACACUUGUAACCAACGGGACGAUCAGCAAGGUUGCAACGCUUAGGGAUAGUAACAGCAAUUUGAGGGUUAGCACCAGACAUUUUAGCAACGUUUGAAAGCAUAACAGCACAAAGACAACUUGGAUUCUGACCAAGUUUCUUAACCUGAGCACAACAACUUUGUGAGACACUAGCAUUUUCAUCUUUUGCUGCACUUGCACAAGGAAUAAGCUUAAAAGCUUCAUUAUCUGGUGUAGUACCCCUUCCACAUUCACCAGCACUUUCAACUCUAUGAGUUCCUGCAACAAGGACUGCAAUACCAACAAUGCACAGCAAUUUCAUAAGACCCUCCAUUUUUUUUUCUUAAUAUGCGUCUAAAUCACUUAGUGAAAUUAAUUAGUUCUAUGCAACAACCCCAUGCAUUUGGUGGGAUUUUAUAGUACUAAAAAUGUGGUUGGUCUAGUCAUCCACUUAGAUUAAUGGAGCUUGCACUAGUUCUAAUAGGUGAGUUUUUACUAUAUCUUAUUGCACCAUUAGUAAUAAAAAAAAUUGUGUAGACACAAAUUUGUUAAUUAUGUUGUCCAAUAUCAAGGUCGGUGAGAAUUGUGUUUAUUUUCAUAUUUGUAGGUGUAACCAUUUUUUGCAGUAUGUAAAUUAAGGGACUAUGUAAGGGUGACACCUCAUUCUCAAGCAAAUGAUUCAUUGCCCUUUUUGAAAGCUUAGGAACAACUUUUAAGCCAACUACCACAGAACACUAGCUCACACACACUUAGCUCAAUGAUACCCCUAAACUAGGAGUGCUUAUGUAGACUCUAUUAUGGCCCUACUUUGAUCGUAAUUUAUUGGUUUAAUUCAACUUUUGAAUUGGAUGGGUCGACCGACCCUCGUGCUUGGGGGAUUGUAGACUGAAUGUGACUUCGCCUAUAGGCCCAUCGCUCCCCGUGCCUGGUUGGAGAGAGACGAAGCGCAAGACCCGAACACCUUGAUCGCAUAGCUUGGAGGUUAAUCAUCUAACUGACUAGGGCGAAGAUUGGGGCACUAGGAAGCGCUCGAAUAUCUGGUCACAACUAUAAACUUGAUACUUUAGCAUGGAAGGAUGUAUGCUGCUCUAUGUGUGGGCUUGUGCCCACACAAAUUUUACAACCUUUAUUUUUUUAGUAGUAUAAUGUACCAACCGUUGACAUUUUGAUGAGAUGGCCCACACUUAAUACAAAUCAUUUCUCUUUUGGCACGCACCUAUCAUCAUAUAUCUCAAAUUCUUUCUUGAUAAUACGAAUAUUAUCAAGAAUCAGAUGCGAAAUUUAGUGGGAGAUUACUGGUUAAGUGAUCGUUUAGUUGUUUAUAUAGAAAAAUAUAUUUUUAUUGAUAUUUGAAAAUGAGAAAAUCAUUCAAAGUUUCCAUAAUAUAAAAAAUCAAUUAGAGACAAUUAUUAAUGCUACAACUUUUUAUAUAUGGUGCCCCCACUAUUCAAAUAUCCUAACCCGUCAUUGUAUUUGAGGGACAUGUAGUCCCCAAUUAGUAGAAAAGGUUGUUGAAUCCUAGGAAACAAACCCCAAUCCUUCUCUAUAAAAGGAAGUCUCUAGCCAAACCCUAUUCAUUCACUUUUUACCCUCUAAAUACUCAGAUGGCCCAGUAAUCACUCUUAGCCUACUAGGUCUAGCCUAAAAUUUGUUAGAACCUUUGUUGGGGUUUGGAGCAAGAACUUGACUAAGAAAAUGAUGAAGAUGAACAUGAUGAAGAGUGAACAUAAAUUCCGAAGUUUAUGUGUGACAUACUAACUUUUAGGUUCGAUUCACCCUACCAAUUAAGCUAACCAGAUGCAAAAGGGUAUACUGGCGAAUCCCCUUCAAGAUAAUAUGGGACCCUUGACGUGACAUUCACAUUCACACCAAACGUAUCAAUCAAUGAUUUAAUAUUAUUUUUGGCAGAAUUCUAACUCACAAGAAUGAAAUUUUUGUGUCUUUUUUUGAAUGAUUGUCUGCCUCCAAAGUGUCUCUAUUUAAUAUUUAUAGAAAAACUUAUGCCCUUUUGUUUACAAGUAACAACUCUUCGAAAGAGUUUCUUUAUGAAUAGACACAAUGGUUACAUUGCUUCAAGAAUCAAGCAUUACAUCCUUUCACUGAAAGGUCUCCAUUCAACCAAUGCAACUUUCAAAAUAUAUCUAAAUCCACUAUUUCGGAAAUCUCAUGGUUUCUGAUAAAGGUAUCUCACUAUUUGAACAUUUACUUGGUAAGUAAGUUUUCACUCAUCCCCAAAUAGAAUAAUAUGCAAGCUUUGAACCAACUAUCCAUUAGAACAAAUGUGUAUAACUCACACAUGAAAUCUUGGUACCACUGAUCGAAUUGUAAAAAUGACAUGUUUGUUAAGGUCUUGUGUUGUUAUUCUUUUCAUGAAGAGUCGAGUCAUUGAACUCAACGAAGCGAUCCUCAUUCUCAUAUAGGUAGACUAUAACAUAAAUGCCUCAAAAGUAUGCAUUCCAACAAAUAUAUAGUAUAUGUCUGUUAAGAGAAAAAAAACUCAUCCUAUCCCUUUUCAUCUUAUGGUCCAUGUACUUUUAUCCCAUUGAGACGUAUCUAACGUCAAGUACUUUUUAAUGUUUUUAGAAAAGUAACAAACACACUCUUGGAAGCACAAACCCAUUUUGGCUUUCACUCUCAUAAUUUUGAUAAAUAUUAUGGUAUGAAAGUUGCAAACCACUUUGACUCUUUGAAAGAUAAGAAAUAGAGAGAUUAAAGUGAUAAAUAUGAUAUGUUGAUUACGUGAUUAGAAGAAAGAGAUAAAGAAAAAAAAAUGAGGUGUUAAAUAAAUGUUAAGAUAUUUGGCAUGUUCAAAUAUCAUAACUUUUAAAAAAAAAUUAUAAUAGAUACCCUACCCUAAGACACAAGUGUGUUGUAGAUUUAUUUUUGACUAUGUAAGUAUUAUUCUUUUCAAGUUAAUCAUCAAUUUAGUCUUAAAUUUUUAGAGCUGUAUAUUUUGACCUUUGAAAUUAUGAAAACUUUAAAAUAUCUAUCGAUUUUUUUAAGCUAAAUUAAUCCACCCAAAUUAAUACUGGAGGGAAUUUAACCUGAGACAUUAAGGAGGAAUACACUCUCAAAUUUUAAACCUACCACCAGAUCAAUUCAAGUGGAUUAAAUUAUCUUCCAAAUUGAAAAUCAUUAAACCCUAAAAUUGGGAUUUGGAUCUUCUCAAAUAAUAAUAAUAAUAAUAAUAAAACGCGAUGGUUAUGUGGAAUAUCUCACAGUUAAAAUGUAUUUGGCCCUCCUUAUAAUUUUUAUAAGUUGUAAAUGUCGCAAUGCAUUUUAAUGGUGAAAUUGUUUGUUAAAAAAAAAAAAUGGUGAAAUUUUGCACAUAGCUCUCUCAACUUUUUUUAACAAUUGAGAGAUUCGAAAACCCGAAAAUUGACAUGUGUACAUAGAGAUUAGUUUGAUUGAUGACUUAAGAAUUAAUUUAUUGGUAUUAAUUGUGAACGAUAGUCACACAUCGAGUUUGAGUAAAUUCAAAAUAGGAUAAUAUAUAAGAGAGACGAUCCACAUAUUCAACACCUUAAAGUUUCGGGUGAAGAUGUGGUAUUGUAAUCUCUUGAUAAUCUUAAUUAUUUGGUUCGUUGUUGCUCUCAACGCUCCCCAAACAAGCGGUGUCAAAGGAUUGAUUAUUACAAUUUCUUAAAACUAAGAAGCUUAGCUUGAUGUAUGUACUUAUGAUUCUUGCUUGCAAACUUUUGGUGAAUUUUCUCCUUGAAAAUUGACAAACAAAACCAGCUGAGAAUCAUCCGUGAACAAUGUGAUUACCAUGUGUUUUUGUUUAUGGAGACACACUUAAAUUAUAUCUAGUUUAUGCCAUCACUAUAUAUUCAUUGGUCAUUUUUAGCUACACUUUCACUGGUUGUAGACGAUGCAGUACUUAGAAUAAUGCAAUAUUCUUAAAGAGUGUCAAAGGUUAUAGAUUCACGAACCAUCUUUAUUACAUUCCAUGAAAGCCAACAAAUUUCCACACAAUGUUAAACGUUAAAAAGCCUUUCAAAGAUAAAGUGUGGUCCACACCCUAUGAAGCAUAAUUAUCUAGAAACAUGUACAACACAGUUGGUUAACUAAGGUGCUUGUCCACUCUAUUUCUUAUCUUAGUUUUCUGGAAAUUGAGCCUAUGUUUAUUUAUGUACUAUGUCCAAAAUAUGAUCCAUCCCCUCUAUAUCCUUGGUUGUUGUACAUGCUUGGUUGUUAAGAUUUUCUUCUUGUUUCUUGGUGCAUUGUUAAAAUAUUUAGUAAUGUACUUGGUAGAGAUAUAAGUACUAUAUAUAGUGAUAGAUAUUUGGCAAGUGAACCAAAUUCAAUCGAAGUAAUAAAAAGUUCGUUUCUACGAGGACUGUAUUUAACUUCUACUUAGCAAAUUCAUUUUAAAAAGGAUGUAUAAAUUUAUAUUGGUGCCCUAGGCAGUUGAGUUGAUUUAGUAACAUAAACUGAUUAAAAACAAUAAAGAAUUGGUUUUUAAGAAAAUCGAGAGAAGUAUGGUUAAGUCCUUCGAAUCCUCCAAAGCUCUCCUAUGGUAAUUUGCACUCCUAAAUACGAUCAAUGAUUAUUUAGUUUCACGACGGAUUAACUUAGUAAUUCUACCCAAUCUCUUGCCCUAGAAUUCUCCCCGCAAGUGACAACCCCUUAAUCUCUUAAGUGAAUUCAAAACCAUUGGAGGUAUUAACGAACGUUAAUCCCUAUAUCAUAACCUAAUAAUGAUCUAUCUCUAGCUUGAUUACUUAGGUUAAACCUAUUACCUAAUUCGGAGUUAAAAGCCAGGGUUAGUGGUCAUUCAAUUUCUAUGAUCAAUAUGCAUAUUCACGACGCUAGGAUUAAUAGUCUAUCAUAAACGUACAUAAGGUACUAAGCACAAAGUAAUAUGAAUAAAAACUAAACUUUCAUUAAUGUUCAAAGGAGUUCAACAAAUUAGGGUUCCCAUAGGAUUACAUCAGAUUCAUCUCAGGAAUUAACCACAAAAGAAUUAGUUACUCAUAGCUAAAGUAUAAGCUAACUAACAUAAGAAAAAGGAUUCAUACAAGUGAAGGAUGAUUGACUCUUAGUUUUGAUGGUUUCCCACCAGAUCUCCAAGUCUCUGCUCCAAAAUAUGCCUUUAGGUCUCAAAAUUCGUGAACCCUUCUUCAGAAAACACCUCUUACUAUUUAUAGGCUAAUAAAAAUCGGCCACCGAGCUCCAAAAUCGGUGGCCGAAAUCCUAAACUGCGUGGCCCAAUAGUGUAAAAUCGGCGUCCGAUUUAUGCUUAUCGGCGGCCGAUUUUUGUCGAACUCAAAGUCUGUAAAUUGGCAGCAAAAUCGGUGGCCGAUCUAUCUAAUCGGUGGCCGAUUUCCAAUACUUCAAACUUCAUUUUCUUUGUCUUUUGCGGCUUGCAGCUUCAUGAAUUCCAAUAAAAAACCCCCUAAAAUUACAUGAAAAAUGCCUACUAAAAGAGUAAUGAGAGAAUGUCAUCAUAUAGUUUAGAAAAAAAGUACUAUAGUUCAGCAUAGUUACUAUAGACCAUUUUUGUUGACUAUAGCAUGAGAAAUCUAAUAAUCUUCUGUUUCAAGUAAAAGGGAAUCUAUUUUUAUAUUUUAUCUAUUGUACGUUGUGAACUUGAUCCUUUACAAGUGUUAUAUAGUGCACCAAUUGCUAUCUAACGGUUCUUACGGCUGCUUCAAGGUACAAUAGUUGUAACUUGUAAGAGAUUUGAUUCUUAUAUCUUUAUAUCAUCUCUUUAUUCUUUUUAGAGAAAUGAUAUAUGUACAUCGAUUUUUUGAUAACUUUUUGACAACUUUCUCUCUCAUACUUACAUUAUAUUUUGAAUCUCUCUCUCUCUCUCUCUCUCUCUCUCUCUCUCUUGUUUUGGACUAAUAGGAAGAGAGUAAAUAAAAGUUGUUAUCAAAGUUGUUAGAUAUGGUUAUACAAAUAUCACAACUCUUCUUUUUAUCUUCAUGCUCUUUUAUUUUUUGGACAAACUAGAAUGAUAUAUAUGAACACAUGUGAUUUACCCCGCACAAGACCUGCAAAAGGCAAACCACCCAAGAGUAUUUACAAGAACAAGGUGCUAACCAAAGGGAAGCACCACCAAAACGUCAAAACAGAUAAAAAAAAUUACAAGUGGACUCCCAUACAAAGGAGCAGUUGUUUCCACCUGUAGCUAAAUAUCAUCUGUUUUGAUUUCAGCCAUAAAAAAAAAGUCAGUUUAACCUUUUCAAUGAGAAUAGAAGAAUUAGACGCCAUGUUUUGGAAUACACGGUCAUUCCUCUCAUUCCAAAGAACCCAAACAUAGGCAAACCAAAUGAUCCUGAAGAACGUAUGAGUGAAUCUAGGCACAUCCGCCGUAGUAGUAAAUUGGAUGAAAUGUUGACGGAGAUCACCUUAAGAAACCGAAGAAAUACCCAACCAAUGCCAAACAUGAGACCAAAGAGACUCGAAAAUGUCACAUCCCAAAAACAGGUGUGCUGCUGUUUCGGACUUCCCACAUCCGAACACACACACCGUGUCAUCUUGAGAAAGGACACUCCGCCGCACCAAAUUGUCCUUAGUUGAAAGUCUGUUGCAAAGGAGGCGCCAAAUUAUCUUCAUGCUCUUAUCUUUGCAUGCUGCAAAAUUAGGGGUGGAAGAUGAUCCAAACAUGCAUAAAACUACUUUCUGUAGGAAUUUUGUUAAGAUUAUAUCGUGGCAAUUAAAAAGAGAAUUGAGAAAAAUCAAGAUAAAAGCUUAUCAUUCGAAUAUUAUGACAUAAAUAUAUUAAAUAGGUUUUACUAACAUUCAAAUUAAUAUUUGUAUUAAAUAGUUUUAUUAGCAUUUAAAUAUUUAUAUUAAAUAAAUUUUAUUAGCACAUCAAUUGUAUUUAUUUUAUACAAUAGUAAAGUUAGGCGGUCGUUUAUUUUGUUUUGAAGUACCUAUUUAUUGUACAAAUGAUUUCAUCUAUUUAUAUGAAAAAUCUUUCAAAAAACAUUAUUUAUAUGAAAAACAAAUAAAUGAGAAAAUACAAGUUCUGUUGAAAAUUUGUUCCUCUUUUAUCACUUUACACUAGUUACAAACUUGUGCUUCGCACGAGUUCAAUAACGUAUUCGAUAAAAAAAUUCUUUGAAAGAAGAGAUGUUAAAACGACGGAACAUUAUUGUUAUACCCUGAUUUUGGACCUAAAAAUACUCAUUCAAAUUUCUUUUUCAACACUGAUAUUUGUCAAUUUACUGUUGUUUUACUCUGAAUCUUUACUCUCUUUUCAUUUGCCUAUUUUACUGUCUCUGUCUCAAUGUUCAAUCAUGAUUUUCUUGCGUAAAACUAUCCAAAGUGUCUUUCUUGCAUUACAAGUCAUUUGAAAAACUCUCUGAAUCAUUGCAUUACUUUUCUUGCAUUUUAUUUCAAAAAAUCAUACAAAAAGGGUAUUUUGGUCAUUUCCUGCAUUGGAGCCCAUUUUAAUCUCUGUAACUGUCUCUGAGUCUUUUUAACUUGUCUGUACAAAUUAUUGUUGAAUCUUUGUUUAAAAAAACCAUUUCAAAAAUUGUAUCUGAGUCAGUUUGAGUCAGUUUAGUCCCUAGGGGCAUUUUGGUCUUUUCCUGUCAAAAUUUUGGCAGAGAGGUAUUUUAAAAUACCUCAUUUUUGUAAUUGGUUCGUUUUAGUCCUUUUUGUUGAUUUUAUUUUUGGUUUCACUUUACGUUUUGUCCAAUUUACCAAUUUUAGUCCAAUUUUAUUUUAAUUGCAUUUUAGUCCCUGAAACAGUUUCUAAAAUUGCAUUUUAGUCCAAUACUUUUUAAAAUUGCAUUUUUAGGUCCUUUUUCUUAAUUAUAGUCCAGUCCUUCAAUUUUUCUUUUUUUGCAGAGAGGUCCCUAAGUCCAAAAACAGGUGUCCUUCUCCCAUUGGGUCUCAAGCACACAUGGCAGCCUAUGAAAGGCACAAAUCUGCACAGAUCCACAGAAUCAGUGCCACAUCACCAAAACAGAAUUCCAUUUUUCUCUCUCCAUUCAGUUAGAUCAAAAUUCAGAAAAUCAUCAAGAACAAGCAAAAACCCUAACUUUUCCAGAACCAGAUUCAUCAACAAAUUCAUCAAUUCUCAAAGAUUCAUUGAUGAAUCUUCAUCAUUGAAUUGAUUCCUCUGCAAUUCAAGGUACGAAUUCCUCACCGGAGGCGAGGAACUCCAGCACCGAUCACAGAGAAGAGGAAAGAGAAGAAGAAGGAAAGAAACAAAGAGGAAUCAAACCACAAAAUCACAAUAUUGAAAGUUCGUAGCGAUUCAUAAACACUCAAACCGAACCGGAUCUUGGAGUGAGAACACAAAACCGAAUCGGAAUCAAGCAUAUGGAAGGAGUUCGAAUCAGCAUCUGAAGAGUGACACCAAAUCCGACUCAAACAAAGCUCAAUCGCGCCAGAUCGAAACCAAAUCGAAGUUUUUCGUAGACUAUUAUCUCCAGAUCCUAACAGAUCCAACGGAGGUAACGAUUUCGUUAUCCUUUUUUCGUUUCUCGCGUUUACUAGCUGCAUGUGAUGUGAUUUUGUUUUUUUGAAAAAAUUUGAAUCUGAAUCCUAAAGUGUAGAUCUAGAGAGUUUCGCUUCGAUUUUGAAAAAAAUAAGUUCGGAUUCGUGAUUAACACUAAAAAGGAUAUCUAAAUCUUAAAAAAAAAUCGAAAUCGGAGAAACUUGCUCAACUCCGGCGGCGGCGCCGCCACCCUUGGGCGUCCGGCCACCACGUCGGAGAAGCAAGGUUCCCCAGAGAAGAUGAAGAUCAUCUCCCACCUUUUUCAGAAACUUUUUAGAGAGAAGUGAGAGCUUCUCUCACUAGGAUGAGAGAAGAGAGAGAAAGAAGAGGAGGAAAUGAAAUAAACCGGUCCCCAAUGCCUUUUAUAAACAACUGAAUCGGUCUGGUUUAUUUCCGGUUCUUUCCCUUCCUUUCUGCGCCCUUAGAUCUAGGGUUUGGCAUCUUGGAUCAAUCCAACGGUUCCUGUGCAUCCGGAUCCAGUGGACGUUGGGCUUGGGCCUUUUCCUGCGUUUUCUUGAUUUUCUUGCUAUGCACACCCUGUUUCUUGUUAUGUGAACCCCCUGUUGUCUAAUUUUUUCUUGUAAAAAAAUUCCUAAAAAUUUCUAUGUGUUUCUUGAUGCAUUUUUGAUAUUUUUGUGAUGUUUUUUCAUGUUAAAAAAUGAUAAAAAAAUAUAUGUGAUAUUUUCUUAUUGAUUUGUUCAUUUUUUGACUAAACUUGUGAAUUUUCUUGCCAUAGUUUGUGCAUGAGGUCUUGGCACGAUAUUAAUGAUUGAUAUGCAAUUUCAUGAUGAAUAUGUCUCUGAUCAUAUGUGUGUUUUACCGUUUGUGGAUGUGAAUUUUCAUUUUUUCUUGUUUUGCAAGUAAUGUGUGUUUUUGUCAAAGAAAUAAAGUGCAAAGUAUCUCUAGAAAUAUGUCAUAAUUCUUGGCUUGAAUGUGUUCUUGUUAUUCUCACAUUAUGGUAUAAAAUAAAACCCUUUAAAAUUGCUAUGAUGAGAGAAUUAUAGGUCAUGUACAUGUUUAGGUAUUAUGACAAGUUUUGGGCAUAUUUUACCACUUUAUUACUCUCUUUUUUGCCAUUCAUUCAAUAUCUCCUUACUUGUUUCCUAUCAUUUUAUACCCUAUUCUACUAACCAUUUUAUUUCUUGUUUCAUUCACCUCAUAAGCAUUCUAUCAUUUCAUCUCCAUUUCUUAUAGUUUAGGUCUUUUACUAUUCAUUUCUAUGUUAAAGUUGGCAUGUAAUUUUAGGUAGUUUAAUUUCCCUUUUUUUAAUUUCUUGCAAGACCAUAGAAUGUAAACUAGGGCCAAUGUAACGGACAAUGGACUCUCCAAUGAUGUACACCGACACAAGCACCGACACGCACACACGUUGUAUGUUUACCGCUUUAGAUGUAUGCUUAGGAAACGCGAUACUUAGAAAAAUAUCAAUUUUCCAAAAUAAGUAAAUUCCAUCACUUGAAAAUUUUUCCUAAUAAACCUUGGAGUCAAAACUCCAUUGAAUUUUCCCUUUAUUUUCUUAAGAAAAACUCAAAUGAACUCUAAUUCCAACUUAGACAUUUUUAAUAAUAAUUCAACCAACCAUUCACCAUUUUCUUCUCUCAUGCCUUUACAGUCUCUUUCUCUUCUUCAAAACCCAUUUUAAAAAAAAAACUUAAAAUCAAUCAAACACACCAAAAACAUUUUUGAAAGAGAACUACAUGAAAUUUUGAUCCCUUAAAAGGGUAUGUAGGCAAGAGGUCAAAACCUCUCAAAGUCCAAUAAAAUAAAAUCUCAAACAUUUUCUCCCUCCAUUCUUAACCUAAAUAAACAACUUCUUUUUUCAAUAAAUAGCAUUAAAAAUAAAGCGUAGACAUAAAACUAGGAAAACGGUUCCUAUAGAGUACUAUAGUCGUUGCGGGUGCCUAACACCUUCCCGUAACGAAAACGACCCCCGAACUUAGAAUUUCUAAGGGUUUUCUCAAUUUUGCCCUUCCCAAGAAAAAAUAGAGAAUAUCAAAGAUUGAAAGGUUCAAGCCUAAUUAAUGACUUGAUACCCCAAAAUCGUGAUAACAAUUAUGAUUCAUCAUAAAAUAUGUAUGACCUGAUUUAGAAAGCAUAUAAUCAGUUUAUGAGAUUAGGAAUUGACAUAAUAUUUAGGAUGAAAACUAUUGGAACCAAUAAAUGAAUCAAUGAUGUGUGAAUUUACAUAUUAUCGAAAAUUAUAAAAAAGAGUUUUGUUGUAAUACCCAUAUUUACAUCAAAUGAAAUCAAGCAAAGAAGUAGCAUCAGUGAGUGAAGAUAAUCUAGUCUAGGAUUAAUGUUAAAGUGAUAUGUUGAAAGUGCGGAUCAUGAACACCAAAUCUUUAUUUGGAAACGACUUGAACGUGCAUAUUUUUAGGUGGCUUCUCUAGAUAAAAAAUUAACUUAUCACCUACAUCUAACACAUGUUCUCGUCAAAAUUUGAACCAUUGGCCACCUAAGUAUUUUUUGUAACUUGCUCUCUUUGCCGUUAUCAAGCGACAAUUAUACAUUUUUUGAGCUUGUUAGUCGAUGAGUGUGAUUAUUUUCCGUGUUCCUUUUCAAAAUGUCAUUGAUAUCUCAUUUGAGAAGUGUUAGGUACAAAACAAAUUGCAGUGUUAAUUAGAAGUUAUAUAUAUGUACAUUUCUAAAACAUUUACCAAAGCAUUGUAAAGAUUUACUGUAGGAAAAUAGCAUGUUUUAUUUUUCUCAAGAGAUUAGGAAAACAACAUUACAAUUAACAUGAUACUAAUUGGAACCAAUGAAGGAACCAACAAUGUACAAAUUAACGUUACAUAAUAGUUAGGUUUAUAAAAGAGAUUGCAAGUUUCAUAGACUAACCAAAAAGGAAUUUUUGCCAAUACUUACAUCAGACAAAAUGAAAAGAACAAAUGACAUCCCAAAGUCAAGAUAGUUUACGACUACAGUCCAAAGCGAUACAUCAAAAUAGUAGAAGUUAAAAUAGUUCAACAACAAAGAUCUACUUUGGAACAACUCGAAUUUGCAAGUUCUUCUGUGACUUUUCGAGAUCAAAGAUGAGCUUACCACCUUCUUCCAUCACUCGUUAUCUGCAGAAAUUGAACCACUGCCCACCCAAGUAAAUUUCAUAGCUUACUCUAUCGGCGGUAAUGAGAUGACAGUUAUACUGUCUCUGUGUCUGGUCAUCAAUGAGAGUGAUUGUUUUGCGUUUUCCUUUCAGAAUUGUUCUUGACACCUCGUUUGGGAAAUGCUAAACAGGAAAAUAACUGCAAUAUUAGUCUAAUGCAUAUUUACAUGGAUAAGAUGUAUGCGAAUAUAGUUACAUAUAAUUUAUAAAAUAAAGGUAGCAUGACUGAUUUUAAGCUAAAGAAAAUGUAACAUGACUUCUAAUUUAUCAUCCUAUUAUCUUCAUAUAAAGUCUAGAUAAAUGCAUGCAUGUACAUUAUAUGCACCCCGUUGACCAAUUAACAUUGUUGAAACAAAUGGAAAUUAAGCAUCACUUCCGCAUGUGCAUAUAUAGCUAGCACCAUUUGACAUUGAUGUCUUCGAACAUUUGGUGCAACUCUCAUAAUACAAUCCAAACUGGUUAUGAUUGAAUUUAGUUGUUUUCCAAAUAGUGAUGCAAUAUGUUUUCUAACACAAAUUAUGCACAUGAAAUAAAGAAUAAUGCAAUAUGUAUUUUUAAUUUGUGCGUAAAAAAACUCAAAGCAUGUUUGUGCAUAAAAAAGCAGACAUUGACUAAGUUUAUAAAUUCAGCAAUUGGCCUAACAUGUGACAGUUUGGAAAAAUCGUUGUACGAAGUACGUUGAGAAGAAGUCGAACUCUGACUUAAGUUCUAACUGAAGUUUGACUCUGAGCUUGAGAAGUGUUAAAGUCACGACAACAAUUCAAGAAACAUGGUCAAAAAUCAAUCAAAUCGGAUUGUGAAAUAAUAAGUUACUCUAACACUGUAUUGUGAAAUCAUAAUGCAAACUUACUAAGUCUUAAACUUCUCACAACCGGAUGAUGUAGGUUGAUGACCAACCUCGAACCUGACCAAUUGUUACAUAUAUUUGGGUUGCCAUUGACUACAAAAUGGAAGCAAGGAACUCAAGGUAAAUAGAUGGUAAAUGAUAAAGCUACGGAGUAUUUUUCCCAUAGUGUUACAUCAACUAUAUUCCCACUACAUAAGGAAAGAUAUUUUUCGGGUCAUUAUCAAACUUAUACAAAAUUCUAUCAUCUGAUGUUGACAAAAUAGAAAAUAAUACAUUUUUUAGGCAUCUAUACCUUUUAUGUGUGUGUGUGUGUAUAUAUAUAUAUAUAUAUAUAUAUAUAUAUAACAUAAGCAUAAUUUUUUUAGGCAUCUAUACCUUUUUUGAAGAAAAGACAUCUACAAUUUUACUUUUAAUUAAAAUCAAAAUUUUAUAAAAAUUAUACGCAUUAGCGUAACAAAAAAACAUACACACAUAAAGUAUUACUCUAAACGCUAAUAUGUGUGUUUGUAUAUUUGCGAGGUUGAAGAAAGAAAAUAAAAAUAUUCUGUAUCAUUAAAUGAUAGUGUAAAUAAAAAUAUUUGUGAGGUUGUUAUAAUUAAACGAUAUUUAAAUUAAAUAUAUAAGUGAUAAAAAGAUAAUAAAAUUUCUUUGAAAAAAAGGUAAUAAAAUUAAAUGGAACAUCCUUUAAAAAAUUAAAUGGAACGGCUAAAAAAAAUUAAAUGGAAGAAAAAAACAUAUUGAAAUAUAAUAUUUGAAAAUAAAAGAAAAUGUUCCCAACGUGAAUUGAAGAGAGAUGAUUGUGAAAUAAAUUGUCGAGAAAUAGUUUUUUGAAGUAGCAUUCAACAACUUUUGGUCAAAACUCAUUCCAUUCAAUUUUAUGCAUUAAAAAAAGUACCUUUUUUAGUAAGUACUUAAUUGAUAUUGUACUUGACCUAACUUCUUCUUAAAAAUGUAGAGAAGUUGAAAAAAAAAAAGGGUCAAACGGUAUCUUAAUCUCCCACAACGGCAGUGUAGAAGCAAUUGAAUUUGUGAAAAAAAAUUAGGAAAUAGUUAAAAAUAAAAAAAUUGGAAAAUAGUCAGAAGUUUUUAAAAAUAUGAAAAUUGGAAAAUAGUUAAUAAAAAUCGGUGAGGUAGCACUCAACCAAGCAAUACUAAAAAAAUUUAUAUGCUUUAGCGUAACAAAAAACAGACAGACGAACAUAAAAUAUUACUUUAAACGUUAAUGUGUGUGUGUAUAAAUUCGUGAGGUUGAAGAAAGAAAAUAAAAAUAUUUGGUAUCAUUAAAUGACAGCGUGAAUAAAAAUAUUUGUGAGGUUGUGAUGAUUAAACAAUAUUGAAAUUAAAUAUAUAAGUGAUAAAAAGAUAAUAAAAAUCUUUUGAAAAAAAGAUAAUAAAAUUAAAUGGAACUGUUCAAAAAAAUAAAAUAAAAUAAAAUAAAGUUAAAUGAAAAGAAAAUAUAUUGAAAUAUAAUAUUAAAAAAUAAAAGAAAAGGUUCCCAGCGUGAGUUGAAAAGAGGUACUUGUGAAAUAUAUUGUCGAGAAGUAGUUUUUUAAAGUAGCAUUCAACAACUUUUGGCCAAAGCUCAUUCCAUUCACUACAAGAAACAUUACCUUUUGCCAGGGAUUUUGACAGGGUUUUAAAACCCCUGGUAAAUAUACCACGGAAAAUGCCAAGGACAACCCCUGGGAAAAAGACGUAGGACCCUAUGAAGAAAACCAGGGCCAAACUCGUCGUUUUAUGUAGACAAUCCCUGGUUUUUUUUUGGCGCCACUUUUAAAUUCAAAGUGGGAGACAAGAAUGCAGACUGUCAGCCCAUUGCAGGCCAUAACCCAGGGCUUCUGCGACGGACAGCCCGUCGGACUGACAUGAAUCUCUGCAAAAUGCAGAUGAGUUGACCGGUGCCUGCAAAAAGCUGAUAAAGCUGACGUGUGAGGGGUUUAGGCCGUGGUUUUUUGCAUGAAAUCCCUGGCUUUUUCUCUGAGAAAUAUGACCGUUCUGAGCUACCUAUGCCUAACCUAUGAUUGCAAAAUGAGAGGGGGGAUUCCGUCGUAGUACCCCUGGCUUUUCUCUCUCCCUAUAUAAGCAUGCAUCGGUGCUCUCAUAUGCAGUUAACACUUAGAAAAAAAAAUCAACUCAUUAUAUUAUAUAAACUACUCUUCUCCAGCAGCACUAAACCUCUUAAAUUUGUUAAUACUCUUUUAACUUAUAUUUUCAUGUUUCUAUUUUUUGUUACUACUCCACUAAUAUUUUUAAUUUCAUUUGUAUCAGUGUCAAAGUUAUACCACCUCUUGUGUAGAUCCUUGCUAAGCAGCUUGUUCUCUAGAUCUGUUAUUUGUUAAGUCUCAACAAGUUAUUAGUUUCUCUACUUCAAAAUAUUGUUGUUGUUAUACAUGCUGAUUGUUGUAUAUAUUUUUUUUGAAUUUGUUAUUGUUUUUAAAUAUAUGAUAUUGUUUAUUUUUUUAUGUAUAUGAUGUUAUAAUUAUUUGCAUGGUAGAUCUGUUUUUUUUGUUUCCUGCAAAUCUAUUACGGAUUUUAGGUAAUAAAUUAUUUUUAUGGUAGUGAAAAAUACUGCAAUUAGAGAAAUUUUUUUUAUUAAUUCUGUUAUUUUAAUUUAUGAUUUCGAAUUUUAAAUGCAUGUAUUUACAUAUAAUAUGUAUAUGUUAUUGUUUUUUGGAAAUAUGUUGUUAAAUGAAAUUAUUUGUAGAAAAUAUAUAUGUUUUGAUGGUUAGUAAUAAAUAUGUAUGAUGAUUUUGUUUGGAAGAUAUACAUGUUCAAUAUCUUAUUUUUAGGUAGAUUUGUUUAUUAUACGUAUAUUAAUUUAUAGUUAUAGUAGAAUGUAAAAGAAAAAAAAAGGUCAAACACUAAGCUUUAUAGUAGUGUAUGUGUGAUAUUGCUUUAUUUAUAUGCAUUUAAUUGUGUUUUAAAAAUAAUUUUAUAUUUUUUAAAAUAUAUUUUAUUAAUUAAAAUGAUUUUUGAACCAUUUAAUUGUAUUUGAAAAACAACUUUUAAAAAAUAUCGAAUUUUUAAUUUAUUUAAAUUCAUUUUAUUAAUUAAAACUAUUGUAAAAUUAUUAAUUAAUUAAUAAAAAAUUCGGUUUUAAAAAGAAUACAUUUUUAUUUUAAAAAAUAAUAUACAUUUUGCCAGGGGUUAAACCCCUCGCAAGUCCCUGGUUUUUUCCCUGACCUGAUCUGACCUUCCAUCAGUCAGUCAGAAGUGUGAAGCGCGACAGUGUGUCGGAAGAGAGCAGACUGCACAGCAACAAAAAGUGAGGGAUUUUGCCAAGGGUUAUGACAGGAAUAAAGCCACGCCAUAUACCAGGGGUUGAGCCCCUCGUUUUUCUCCCAGGGGUGUAACCCUUGGCAAAAUGUUUGCGACGAGCGCUUUUGCCAUUGCUUCCGCCCCUGGGAAAUUCCCUCACAAACGUCCCUUUUCCCAGGGAUUCUGACCUUUUGACAAGGGUUUUGCCCCUGGCAAAAGGUAAUGUUUCUUGUAGUGAUUCAAUUCUAUGCAUUAAAAAAUGUUCCCUUUCUAGUAAGUACUUAAUUGAUAUUGUGUUUAACCUAACUUCUUUUUAAAAAUGUAGAGAAGUAAAAAAAAAAACCGGGUCAAACGGUAUCUUAAUCUCCCACAAUGGCAGUGUAGAAGCAACUGAAUUUGGGAGAAAAAAAUUGGAAAAUUGUGAAAAGUAUUUAAAAAUAUAAAAAUUGGAAAAUAGUUAAAAAAAAUCGGCGAGGUAGCACUCAACCAAGCAACACUAAAAAAAAUUAUAUGCAUCAGCGUAACAAAAACACAGGCAGACGGACAUAAAAUAUUACUCUAAACGUUAAUGUGUGUGUGUGUAAAUAUUUGCGAGGUUAAAGAAAGGAAAUAAUAGUAUUUGAUAUCAUUAAAUGACAGUGUGAAUAAAAAUAUUUGUGAGGUUGCGAUGAUUAAACAAUAUUGAAAUUAAAAUAAUUGAUAGUGUGUUUGACCUAACUUCUCCUUAAAAAUGUAGAGAAGUUGGAAAAAAGUAGGAUCAAGCGAUACCUUACUCUCCCACAACGGCAAUUUAGAAGCAACUGAAUUUGGGUUAAAAAAUUGAAAAAUAGUUAAAAAAAAAUAAAAAUUAUAAAGUUAUUAAUAAUAUAAAAAUUAUAAAAUAAUUAAAAAAAAUGGUGAAGGGUAAAAUGGAAAAUGCACCCUAAAAUGAUGAGGUGGCAUUAACCACACCCCAUCAAUAGGAAAUUACUAAAAUACCCCUCCAAGGGACAAAAUGGUAAAAUCCUAGGGAUAGUAAGUAGAUUGUAUUGACGGGUUACUUGUCCACUUUGACAUUAGUCGUUUAUUUUCAUUUGUUCAUCAUGAUGUACCACCGGCAGUUUUUUCGACACUUUCUUCUAAAAACUCAUCAACUGUUUUUCACCUAACAACAACCUCAACAUUUUUUUUUUUUGAAGGAACAACAACCUCAAACAUAGACCCUUGUGCAUUCAUCAAUCUAUUAAUCCAUCAACAUUCUUGUGACUCCUUAGGUGACAUGUGAUAAUUAUGGUUCAUUGAAUCAUGCAGCGACGAUGACACUUUGUGCCAAAUGUUGAUUGGGUCACUUACCACUCUAAAGAAAAAAUAAGACAUUUAGAAUUUGUUUGAGAGUUUAAAGGGGAGGAGAAGGAAAGGUUUUGUGAGAACAUAAAUAUAUGAAAAAAUUGUGAAAUCUUUUACUUUUUUUAAAAGAAUAUUUUUUUAGCGAGGGAUCAAUUAAUGUUCACGAUUAAUAUAUGUUAAUUUUAAGAAUAUUAUGAAAACAUAUAUUAAAUUUGAAGAAUUCAUAUAAACUCUUCCAAAUCCCCCAAAAUCCUCCCUUAAUAUAAUUUUUUAAUUUUCCCAAAUGAGGAGAUUUUUAUAUUUUGAAGAAAAAUAAGUCUCCCAAAGUCCCUUCCUUUUCUCCAAACCCUCCCUUCCAUUCUCCUCCAAACUCGCAAACAAAACCUUAGUGACUGAUGGAGAGGGCGGAAAGCAUGGGCUCUAACCCCCCCUUCUAUCCCACCCUAUUAUAUAUAUGUUUAUAUACAUAUGUUUUCUUUAAUUAAAUCUCUUAUAAGAGCAUCCACAUCCAUGUCAUUCAUAUGGGUGGUAUAAAUGGACCCACUUAAUAUAUUAUAUUAUUUCACAUUUUCUAAUUACAAGUGUGUUAAUCCGUGCAAUGCACGUGUGAUAGACUAUUAUUUUUCAAUCUCAAAUUAUUUUAUUUUAUUUAUUUAUUGAUGAAAAGUAUCUACGCAGCGUGAAUAUUUAAAUAUGUCAGUAUAGAUUUGUUAAAAAUAAUAUGUUAAUAUUUUUUUUGCCGCAAUGAUGACAAAUAUGUGUCACAGGUUUUUAUGUUUAUCAGUGGUAAAUAUAUGUCCCGUGUUUUUAUGUAUAAAUGAAAAAUAUAUUUAUGAGUUUCAGAUCGUCGUCGAUGAAGCGCCGCAGCGGCUAUCCUUUCAGAGUCUUGGUGUGUGUUGAUUCUAUUGUGGUCACUGGUUUUGUUUAACAUCGUCGUUGUAUUGUAGAGCUAUGGUGUUGACGCGAUUAUGAGUUAGUCUCGGUCUUCUUUUUGCUAUUUUUUCAUUUUUUUAUUGGUGUUUGUUUUCGUUUUGUUUUGUGGAAAUGAAGAUGAGUGGUGAAUUUGUUUCGGCUCUGUGAUUUUGUCUAAAAAUCUUGAAUCUGGUUUUCUGGAUUUGAAGAUAUGGGUUUUUUUAGUUCUGGCAUUGUUUUGUUGGAUGCAUAUCUCGAUUCAACAUGACUGGUUUUAUCAUAAUGUUCUUUGAAACGGCUAGGUGUGUAGAUGCUCUGUGUUGACGGUAGUAUCGUUAAUCAUUCCUAAAAUAUUUUAUCCGUCGUGGUUGCUUCUUGCAUCAUUGGUGGACAGUGGUAGAUUAAUGUCGUUUGUUCAUCCCUUGAUCUGGACUGCGCCUGAAGUUUCAAGACCACUGCGAUUUUGUGGAUUCGGUUCGUAAUUGGUUGCUUUGAAUCGAAACGGUGUUUAUGGUCUUCUGAUACUUGAAGAUAGUUGUUGGAACUUGGGUCAAUUCUGUGUUGGCAGAUGAUCGUUGGAUUAUUGCACCCCUACGUGGGUUCGCUGGAUUGCACGUGAUAAUGGUUGUUUAGGACUGUUAUCUCUUAUUACCCUUUUUGUAUUAAAUUAUUGGGUUUUGCUUUUGUGGUUUACUAGGUCAGGUAGUUGGCCCGCAACCCAAGUCAUGUAUUUCCUUCUCUUGAUAAAAACUUGUCCCAUAUUUUUUUUAUUUAUCAAUGACAAACAUAUAGUUUUAUUGAAAAAUAAUAGUCUCUGGUUUAUUUCAAAGAUAUUUAUUAUUAUUGCAGAAUGUUUUCCCUCAAUUUUUUUUCUUAUGUUUAUCCGUGAUAAUAUAUAUCUCAUAUUUUUUAGUUUUUUAUUUUGACAAAAAAAACAUUCAUAUGCAAGAAGCAAUGUAGUCAUUUGAGAUUGUAAUUUUUCAAUCAAUGCAAAAUAUAUCUUAUAAAUAAAUAAAAGAAAAAUCUAUUUUUACAGAUUUAAUAAAUUAUAAUUCUAGUUUUUUAAUUUUGAAAUUAUGUUAUUUUAUAUAAUUAUUUAUUUAGAUUAUUUUUUAAAAUUUUGUUGUUAAAGAUUUUUAUUUGAUUGUUGGUUAUACUUUAGUAUGUCAUAAAUGGUGUCAUUAAAAAAACGUUUGUCCUAAAUGGUGUAAUUGGAUUAUGACUUUUAUGAUUCAAUCUUACAUUGCCACAUGUAACUUUUCUUUUAAAUUUUAUUUUGAGAUGCCAUGUGUAUUGUUCAUUUUAAACAUUCUCAAAUGUUUGUAUAGAGGAUUUAAACCACUCAACUAUACUUUCAAAAUAUUCAUACCAUCUAUCCAAAACUCUAAAAUGGAUCCCACAAAUUUCACAAUAUACUCAAACUUUAUAUUUUACCAGCGAAAAUACGGGCACUCAUGUGUCAUCUUUCCGCUAUUUUUAUUGCUCUAACGUUUGAAAAUUGUGAACGGUGUCUUUUUUCUGAAAUUUUAAUUUUGAAUAAAACUAAAAAUAUAAAUGUUUGUUGCUUACAAGUUAUAACAAACCAAACAAAACAUGAUUAUCUAUUUCAAUGACACCAACAAUAUAACAAAAAAAUAUAUUUUAAAUUCUUAUUUUAUUUAAUGAUACCAACAACAAUCUUUAUUAUAUAUAAAAAGUUGUUUAACACUAUAAGGGUUAAUAGUGUUUUUCACCCCUGUAAUAUAUGUCAUUUCUGGUUUGAUUUGCACCCUCGUAAUUUUUUUUUCUUCCGGAAAACACCCCUCUAAUAGGCCCAUUUUCAAAAUAUUUUUCAAGAAAUUUUGGUUUUUUGAAUGACCUAUUAAGGUUUGAUUUUGGUUUUUAUAGAGGCGAAAACCGAAAAUGACAUAUAUUACAGGGGUGAAAAACACUAUUAACCCAAACUAUAAUUGAGAUAAUGAAAAAGCAAGUGUAUAUAUAUAUAUAUAUAUAUAUGUAUAUAUAUAUAUAUAUAUAUAUAUAUAUAUAUAUAUAUAUAUAUAUACUCAUCUUGUUUGUUACUCUUUUUAAAUGAUAAUGAAAAAGCAAUGAUUUGGUUGCUAGUUGGAUCCUUAAUUUUGUUUGUUGUAAGAUCUAUCAUAAUAUUUUCUAUGCUCAAACUGCAACAUAAAUCUGAUUCUAUUUAAAGGAUUAAUUUUCUGAAUCAAAUGUUCUUUUAAUAUACAAAUUGAAACAAUCAAUCUCUGCCCCUGAAACAUGAACCCAUGUUUGUUUCUCUUUACUUCACUUAACUCAAUUCUCUAUUGGAUGAACUCAAUUACAUUACUCAAGUCAACUCAUGUACAUGUGAUAACGCUAAAAGCAUUCUUGAUCAACAUAAACAAGAUCAUGCCAUGGAUUUCUGAUGACUACUUGUCAACACUAUAUUUGUGUCUGUUUGAUAACUUUUAAAGAGAAAAAGUCUGUUGUACAUGGUCAAUUCAGCUCAGAACAAGUUUUUGAGGUUUUUGUGAAAAGAUGGAAAUAUUUCUAAGAGUAAAAUAGUAAUUCUGCUUAACUUUACAUAUGAAACUUGAGAUAGGAAGUUGUGAGUUAUGAUUUAGGAAUUAACGUUCAGAACUAACUUCUGUGGUUAUUCAAUUGGUUUAAGAGAUUAAAUUGUUAUAACUUAGGAAAGAGUUUUGUGUCAAGAGAUAGAUGAAAAUUAAUUAGUCAAUUUGUCUUAGAUAACGAAUAAUUAUUGAGAGUAAAGGGAGGUAAACGAUUCAUAUAAAGCAAUAGCGGAUUCACCGGCUUAAUCAUUCAUCUCCAAAUAAUUUUCCAAACAAAUUUUAUCUUUUCGUUACUUACUUUUUAUGCACCCAAAAACCUACUUCCUAGGGCAACAAAAUAACCUUUACACAUCCUAACUAAUAAGAUCAUUGUUGAAAUUUUGAGAUUAACACAGUCCUCGUAGAAACGAACUUAUUUUUAUUACUUCGAUAGUUUUAGUAUACUUGCUAAAAGAUUUAUCAAUUUCCUUCAUGAUAGUUUUUCAUAUAUUCACAAUUGAAUCCCUCUGAUGGAUUUAUAUUCUUCAUAUUAACAUAUCUAUAAUCUAGUUCGUCAAGAAGAAAAACAAUAAGAUUCAUGGAAAGCGCCAAGGUCCUUUCUGUGAACAUUAAAAAUGGUCAAAUCCUUGCAACUUAUUAUCAAUCCAUGGCUUCCAAAAUAAGCCAUAAAAGAAAUCAGGACCACCAUCCUCUACUUUAGCUAACCUUGAUAAUCAAGUGUCAAGUGCACAAUGGAUUCUUUUAUUUAAUGUCGAUUUUGCAUCAAAUAAUCUUGACAAGGAUCACUAUUGUGAAUAAUCCAUCAAGUUGUUGUUAUGGUUUUAAGCUUUGUAAUCAAUUUGACCUUCAACAUUCAUGUGAAGGUUUUAUGUGUCCGUUUCAAUUUUAUUGUUAGAAAUUUUUUAAAAAUUAAUUCAAAUAAAGAUUUUGUUAAGUUUGUCCACGUCCAAAACAGUCAUGUCUACCCUUUUCUCCAAGAACAUAUUAUUAUUCAUCUCAUUAUUUUGAAUUAAUUCAUUUUAAUCUUUGGGUCCAUUCUCUAUACCAUCCAAACAUGGAUUAGGAUAUUUUCUAACUACGAAUUGAAUGACGCAUCUACUACAUUACCAGCUCAAUCUAAUAUAUUUUUUUGAAGAUCUUGGUAUAUAAUCAAAAUGAUGCGAUUAUGAUUAUUUCCACUUCCAAUUCUCAUGAUGAUGCCUCACCCAAUUCCCAUCAUGUUAUUUACAGAGGUGGGCAUGGUUCAGUUCGAAACGAAAACUGAAUCGAACUAAACUGAACUGUUUGCUAAAUUUAAAAUAAUUGAACUGAACUGAAAUGUUUGUAUUUUGAACUGAACUGAACUGUUUCAAACCGAACUGAACUGCUAUGAACUGAACUGUUAUUAUUGAUACCUUUGAAAAAUAUAUGAACAAAAAAUCAAAAUCAAAUUUUAGUUAUUGAACUGAACUGAACUGUUUCGAACUGAAUUGAACUGUUUCGAAUCGAACUGAACUGUUUUGAAAAGAACUGAACUGUUUCAGUUCAGUUUCAGAACUGUUAGUAAUGAUUCAGUUUUUUUUUUUUUUUUGGUUCAGUUCAUUUCAGCAAUUCAGUUCGGUUUUUGAUCUUUUUGCCAACCCGGCCCUUAGUUAUUUAGAUGUUUCAUCGAAACAAGAUCCAAAUAUCUAUCUCUCAAUACUCGCACCAAAACCCCUUUAAAAACAAACAAACCCACCAAAAUCCCUAUAACAACACCUCACAUUCUCUUCCACAAUUGAGCCUAAAUAAACACAAGAAAAUCACUUAUUCAAACAUUCAUUCAACUGCUUCCACCACCAAUCGACCCCGAUCUGCCAUACACCAAACAAAGCCAAAAACUAGAGUCUAGAACUUGACUUCCGAUCUCGAAGCAAAAGCGAUCGACCAACCAAACUUCAUAAACAAAUAACUAAGGCACCCCUCAAAAACUCUCAACCUACUGGAGAAUACACCAUAAUCAGCCCAAAAAAAAUGAAACUAGACACUAAUUCCUAAUCUCGAAGCAAUAGUGAUCAGCCCAUGAGAAUUCCGAAGACAAAUCGCCCAGGCAGUCGACAUGUGGGGAGGUAGUGCAAACAAAACAGCUCGUAAAAGGGCCCAGCUCGAAGACAACCCAAAAUAAAAAACAACUCAAACUUAACCACAAGCCAAUCAAAAACAACACAACAAUGAAAACAGCUAGCGACGACAGAAAUGGACCCAGAUUGAAGUUCACCACAGAUAUAUAGCAGAAAAAAAAAUGAAUAUUUAUCUUAAAUUCGAUCUGGGUAGAUAGUCAUAUUCCCUUAAAGAUGACUAAUUAAGGGAAUCUUACUCGUCACCUUUAAUUUGAACUCAUCUUCCAACCACACUUUUUCCGUUUACAAAAUUUUGCUUAAGAGAUUUGAAUCUAUUCCUCUCCAACCGAUAAAAAGUUUGUAUACCUAAAUGUCAAUUUGUAAUAGAUGCAAACUUAAAAUUAUUAUUAUUUGAUGAAAGACGUAUUAUUAUUAAGUUUCAGCUGUUGUUUAUUAUUUUUUAUAAUAGAAAAGAUUAUGUUGGUUAGGUUCUGAAGGCUCUUAAAGUUCGAAAACAGUUUACAAAACUAGUUGUGUCAUAAUCAAUUACAAGAUCCUCACAUCUUUAGCGGAGUUCGAAAUCAAGUCUAUUUAGAAUUUGAGAUGAUUCUUUAUCAACCGUAAUAACGGUAAUUAAAAUAUGAUGUAAGAGCAUCCACUAAAAAGUUUUAGUAGGCACAUAAAAUAAACCACUGAUAAAGAACAUGUUUUAUUCAUGAGGGUGUACACAAGUCAGCUGCUAGGUCUUAUCCACACUAUAAACAAACAAGAAAGUUACAAUACAACACAACUAAGUUGUGAUGACCAUAAUAGUAGCUAACAGCAACAAUGCGUAUCCCAUUUAUGUUUGCUUUCAUCAACAACCUCAACUCUUUCAAGGAAGAGUGUAAGCUGCAAAAUCAGAAUUUUACAAGAGUAGUUAGUAUAUUGAUCCAUCAAGAAAGUUGACAAAUAGAAGAGAAGAAAAAAACAUAAAAAUUCCUAGUAUCAUACCGUUUCACAUUUUUAACAAUAAAGUUUCGUCGUUUUUUAAGUUAUUCAUUUUUUUUCCUAUAAUACUGUUAAUUAUCUAUAAUCUCAUUUCACACGUCAAUAAUUAAUGUUACAUUGAACUUUGAAAAAGAGAAAUAAAUAUAAACGAAAUCAUUUAUACGACGACAAUUCAGAAGAAACUAAUGGAAUUGUUAGUUACUUACGUCCGCACUUAUAACCAACGGGGCGAUUAGCAAAGUUGCAGCGUUUAGGGAUAGUAACAGCAAUUUGAGGAUUAACACCAGACAUUUUAGCAACGUUUGAGAGCAAAACAGCACAAAGACAACUUGGAUUCUGACCAAGUUUCUUAGUCUGAGCACAACAAGUUUGUGAGACACUAGCAUUUUCAUCUUGUGCUGCACUUGCACAAGGAGCUAGCUUAAAUGCUUC